GAUUAGCAUCAUUUUCCUAAUUUUUAUGUAUUUCAUAGUGCCACACUUUUCCAUCUAUUGCAUGGUUUUUUUAGGGGAAAUGUAUUGCAUAGUUUUGUGUGUGUCAUGUUCACACAAUGAAUUACAAACAAUGACCGUGGAAUCAACACAUGAUAUGGAUAUAUGCAAUCAACACAUGACGAAGGGAUAAGUGUCUCUCGCGAAAACUUCUUCCGGCUUGCUUCCGUCCGAACGACUCUGGAGGCGCUCCAUCAUGAUCCCACUGACCCUUCACCCCUCACACUCUGAUCCUGGCCGGCGUCGACGCCGACACCCUUCUUGCAAAAGGAUGGAGGGCAAGGAAGUGCAUCACGGCGGCGCACCACGGGCGAUGGUGGGGAGGUGCAAGGCGGCACAGUCUCCAGCGAUCUCCGACGACGCGGGUAGUGAUCCGAUCUCGGGCGGUUUCCAAUCCUUUCGAGGAGGACCGGCCUUGGACGGCUGGGGCCGCUCUGGGUGGAGUACUGCGGGCGUUCGGAGGCGUUGCAGCCGUUUUCUCCUCUGCUGCUGAUCGGCGGCAUGUGGGCUGCUGGUUUUGCUCGACUAAGGAGGCAGUCCUGGCGCUCUUCUCGAUUCAUGGCAACGUCAUGCAUGAUCGGUUCUUCUCGAUCUCGUCAUUGACGUGUUCCGGAAGUGCCGCCGGAGAUCUUGCCCAGGAUUUUUGGAUCGGAUAGAUUUCAUUCGUGCACGUUCAUUUCAGCACACGAGGUUUCAUGAAGGCGUGGCGCGAAGCUUUGUUGUUUGUUGACAUCAUGGAACGUGUCGGUUUCUCGAUUUCUAUGAUGUCGAUAGCAAGGUUGUCAGAAUCGCGAUUCUGAAUCGGAUCGGAGCUCCGUUGCUAGAAUCGUGAAUCAUAGAAUCAUAACUACUAGGAUCAUAGAAACUUAGAUUCUAUGAACAAAAUCGUAGAAUCGAAGGGACUGGUUUGGAUCGUAAAGUCGUAAGAUUCUAAGAAUUGUGUCACGAUUCUGACAACUUUGAUCGAUAGUUGUGAAAAAGGUCAUGGUGGCUGAGAUCGGAGGAUCGGUUAGACGGACGUGGCCUUGAUGACGAUGGAGUCAAUCAGGUGUCACAUAACCCCAAGAGCAGUAAUGAUAAAUGGGGACGACAACAAUGACAUAUUUCAUUUUUUAUGAUGCUCCUUAGAUGUUGAGUCGUGACUUUCAUGAUGAAAACCUAAGGUCUAACCUUCAUUGGUUGUGCAUGGGGUUGCCUUAUUGAAGGAAUUGUUUUGUGAGGGCGGACUUUUUCGAGAGUGAAAAUCUAAGAUCUUGUAUCAGGCAACGACGGUGCUUAUACACUGUUCCUUUCUUGAAGGCGCUGACUUUGGAUACCUUUUAUAUUUUUUGGGUGUUGUAUUAGGUGGUGGUAUGUAUGCCUGUCGUUGAGAGAAAUCGAACACUAUGACGGGACUUUCCCUUUUAUUUUCUUCUUUGCAUGUGUACAUUGUGGAUGUCUUUUGUGACAUUUUUGUAGUUGCAGAAGCUGAAUGUAAUUAGUAUCUUCGCAAUAUUAACAUAUUCUUUUUUUCAAAAAAAUAAAUUAAUACUACAAUGUGGUUACGCAAAAUAUUAAUUAGACAAAGCUCAUUUUUUACGGCUGGCAACAUUAAACUAAGCUACUGAAGGGAAAUCAUGGGUAGACAAGGACGAAUGUGAAAAUUGGAACAUGCAAAAAAUCUUCCUUCCCUGCCUUCAUCGACAGGUGUAUGAUAAGGCGUACUAGUGUACUCCCAAACAUUGAAUUAUUAGUGGGUGGUCUAUCGAAGGAUGAGUUACUCAGCACCCUGACUCUGUGUAUAUAAACCGACUUCCUCUUAUCGUAUUACUGAAACCUUAAGUGAAGUAGUAAGAAGGGAAAACGUGGGACAAAGGAGACAAUCGAGCAAAGAGGAGCGUGUAUAGUGGAGCGUCGUUUUUGAGUGUACCUAUCUGAAUGUACCCUGGAAUGGGAUGCAUCGGGAAUUCGAGCAGCAGUUGCAGACAGUUGACCUGCUGCUGCUUCUGGCAUAUACGUACAAAGGAGCCCGUCCUGGCUCAGGCGAGGCCGAUCAAAGGAUCUCCUGGAUCUCGGUUAUUAAGCAGCCCCGAUCUCGGUUAUUAAGCAGCCCGAAACUGAUGGUCCUAAACACAGACUCGUAAGCCCAGAACUAGCUGCCUCUUGUCCACUGGAGGAAAUUGACAUGACUGGCUGUACGUACUUUAGACUUAGACGAGCGUUUUAACUAUGGCGAAAAGAUUCUCCCAGUAGUAACAGAAAAACUCUCUAUUGUCCCAAAUUGUGAAGGAACUGAGCAGAGCUGAUUAAAGAGGGUUUUCUUAUACCCCAAGAAAAAGCUACCAUUCGAUCGAUUACAGAAGAAAAAUAUUUUACUGCAGAGGGGCGAGAAUAACUAGCCAAUAUCACAACAAAAUUUUCAUGCUUGACUUUAUGGAGAGCAACUCUUCUUCAGUCACCUUUUUCCACACGCCACCAACCAGUAAUGUACCCUUGAGACCAUGGAUCAGUUCUGGCAUAACAGAAAUCCCAUGUUCAGGUGGCGAUCUUGAUAUUUCUAGAAAGCCUUCAUCAUCCAACUGCUUCUCGGGGUCAGCAAUUUCAAUCUGACCAUCAUCCUCAAAAUUUCCAUGUUCAGCUGUGUCAUGCUCCAGUUCAUCAUCAAUGAUAUCAAGGACAGGAAGAACAGCAGUUGAACUAUAUGAACAAGGUAUCAUGCCUAACGGACAGGGGGUCCAGGACUUCGCUACAGACCACCUAUUACGUUUCUCUGGCACGCUUGUGUUGAAAGUACCCUCGGUGCCGUUUUCAGCUAUACUCGCAUUAUCUGGUUUCCUCAGCUGCAACUUGAACGCUUCCAGCUUCUGUGUUGCGCUUUCAACCGAUUCUUGUCCAUUGGACAAGAUUCUGGAUUCAAUGAGGGUACAAUCUUUGGGUGACCUUCGCAGGGACAACAAAGGAAGCUUCCUCAGUUUCUCCUUCACGUUAUUAUUGCUGGCCAUCUCAAUCAGCAAUAGUGCUGCAUCUGCAAUGCAUCUUUCACCUAUAACGGGCAAAGUCAAGAACUUCUGCAGAAGUUUUGCGAGACAGAAACGAGGGACAGCGUUCUUGUCUGAAGAGAGUACUCCUAUCUCGUGGACAAGUCCAAUACGGCCGGAAUCCUUUAACUCUUUUAUGCUUGCGACAAUCCAUAGAACGAGGGAGCACAAGCUUUUCAUUGUUGGUGACUCAGCUGGCAGGCAUGCAUAUGAUCCACCUAUACAUAUAACGAAACUAAUAAGAUCAGUAUAUCUGUACAAACAAAAGUCUACAAGAGCCAUGAAUGGAUAUGCUAGCAUCUAGUUUGAACAACGAAAUAAAGCAUAGCAAGCCAUCCAGUCCAGGAUUGUGAUGUAAAGCAAACUAUUGGUAUAAACCAAGUAAAUAAGGUUGCAGAGAUGGUAGAAAACCGAAAUUAGGACACCCAAAUAUCAGGGCAGUACCUUUGUGUUCAAGGUCAUUCCUGGCCUCAAUCAUUUCAAUUAUUGACUUUAGUAAGCCAAGAAGCACUCUUGGUUCUUUUUCUGAUAGUUUUGUUAUUAUGGUUUUCAUAUCUCCAUUUGAUAUUUGAUUCUGACUUUGAACAUCAGAUGAGGGAUUUCCAUCCAAACUAUCAGCUUGAUGUACAUCGCUGUCAGAGAUUUCUGGGGCAUCGAGCUGAAAGAACUCCAAAAGAACAGAGAUAGCCUCAGAGGGACAUGUGUAGUAAAGUCGACGUACAUAUUUUAUGGCAUUUAAAAUAUGUUUUUGGGAACCUGCAAUAUAGAAAAAAACUCAAUUAAUACUGAGCUAUCCUGAUCAUGAGAUACAUUGGGCUGAGAGACAGUUGUAAUUAAAAAUAAUUAUGUCAUAUCUUGAAGCACUACCCACAGUUUUGUUGUCAUAAAUACUACAAAUAAUUGAUAUUCAUGUCACUAUCAGGUGGUGGAAAACAAAUUAACUAGAGUAUAUUCACAAAGCAGAUCAAUAGAUGGCAGUAAACAGAUGACGAUAAGAAUAGUUAUUCCAGCACUAAUAUAUGUAAAACUUCUGGGCAGUUCAGAUUAAUUGAAGAUAUCAGUAAAUCAAUCCAGAUUAAGUAAUCAAGAAAGCAUUAGUCUCUCACUGAACACAGAAAAAAUCUGAGGACAAACCAAAGUAGAGAAAACCUAUCUCUGACAACCCAUAUCCCAAAGAAACAGAACAAGCCCAAGUGCCAAGCUUAAUCAGAGUUCAUGCUACAGGAUGACGAUACUCACGUUUCCUUUUGGAACCUGAUUUUGCAUUUUCAGAAUCUUUUCCCUUCAGGAAUUGAGCAAUAUCAUGCAAUACUGAGCUUAGUUCUAGUCGAACAUCAGGAAUUGCACUAGUCUGGGAAUCCCAGUAAUUACACUUCAACCAAUCAAAUGCCUGAAAGUAAUCUCAAUUUGUUAAAGAUGCAGAAUCACUGACAAAACAUACCAGCAACUCUAAAAAUUAUGUUAUUUGAUUUAAUACCAAAGCCAACAUCCAGAGAGAAACAAAAUAAUUAGCUACUCCCUCCGUUCCAAAAUAUAAGACCUUUUAGAGAUUUCAUUAGGAGACUACAUACGGAGCAAAAUGAGUGAAUGUACACUCUAAAAUAUGUCUAUAUACAUCCGUAUGUAGUUUAUAGUGCAAUCUCUAAAAGGUCUUAUAUUUAGGAAUGGAGGGAGUAGAUGUCUAAGAAAUACUAAUCAAUCAACUCAGUGUACCUUAAUGGCUGCCAAAUGUAGCAGUCGCAGAGAGGGGAUGCCGCGAUGUGAACUUUCUGCAUGCAUGCGAUAUAUAUCUUCAUUAGCACUGAAUUACAAUAGUGCAAACUAAUCUAGAUACAAUAGACAGAAUUUACUAACCAUGACGAAUGUCAACGAGAAUUCGUGGUACUCCAACAGUCUCAGCUAAAUCAGAUAUUGAACGACCAGUUUCCUUGUGCGGGCUCUCCAUAAAACCAUUUACAAGCCUGGGAACAGAUUAAAUAAAAGUAGAAAAUAAGCCUUGUACAUAGUCAUCGCUGUUGAGGUCUUCCCCUGAUCAGGCAGACAUUCAGUUUCUAAUCUUAUCAGAGGUCUACAGUACAGUUUUUUUAUUUAAUAAAAGCAGGAAUUCUCAGUAGUGUUGACAUGUGCAUCUAGAUUGCAGUGUUAGUAACUGCUUGUUGGCAACUUGGAGCUAAGUUGGGCACUCUUUCCUCUGAGAAUUUGACAUUGUUUUGGAUUAUGAUAAUAUUACCUUGUUGAGACGCUUCUAGAUACUUGUCCAUUUGGAUAUCUGUGUACAAUCAACUUGCAAACAGAUGGCUCCAAACAUAUGUGAGGAAAGUGAAACUGCGGGCUUACAAAAUUUAUCUAACUUGUAUGAUAUACUAAACAGAGCAAUAUAUUUUUCACAACUUUCUUUCACAGCAGCUUAAUGGAUAAGCACAGUUCCGGCAGCUACCACAAACUGAGCUGAAGAAUCAUGGAUUUCGAGUCGCUCGACUAGUCUAUGAGUCGCAACAGCAAGGUCGACUCGAAAAGCGAGUCACGACUAGUCACAACUACAGGCUCGACUCUUUCCGAGUCGCUACCCCUGAGCGACUCGCAUGAGUCCCGACUCGAAAACCAUGCGAAGAAUAUGAUGGAAGUGAACAACAUAUGAUAGUUUUAAAAUCAGAUAUAGAAAAAGUAAAGCGGAGAAACUUUGGUUAGUGCCACCAUUUUGGUUGGGUAGAUUUCAUUUCGUUUUGGCGUUCAUCUAAUAACAACAGACCGGUGUUUUGACGCAUGUUCAUCUAAUAUGUUGGUACCCCAACAUAUUGACACCAAAGUAUGUUCUAGACUUCUAGCAGCCUCUAAUUCUAUUGCAUCAGAAUGACUAUGAUUAAGCUCCUGAUGAUCUGCAGAAGUAAACUACGUUCUUUCAUCAAAAUCUCCUAUUCGAGAAGAAUGUCUGGACCACAUGAAAAAUAUGAAAAACAGCUUUAAGAAUAGCGACUCACGAAUACUAAUUUGUUCCCCUGGACUGCUUGCACAGUCCACCUCUUUGCACAACAAGAUGUGUCACCCAUCUGAACCCAGCUAAUAAAAUGCGUUGUUUCUCCUUUGGCACCGCGACAAUACCACUGGCUCAUUUUCCCGCAAGUAAAUCGCCAGUACUAUUCAGUUUCCACACAUAAGGCGAAAAUAAAUAGCACCAGGAAUGUCCUCACCUGAUGAUUGCCAUGCUGUACAGCAAGGCGAGCAUCUCGUCUGACUCCAGCUUAUCAUCCGAAGCCACUCCAUUCCUAGAGAGGAAAAGUUUCCAUCACAUACAACUUCGUCCCAAAUCCGUCCACACGCAAGAGAAAAAAAAGGUUGGAACUGUGGGUCAAAACAACAUACCGGAAGAAGGGAUCCCGCAGCCUUAUCUCGAAGAGGGCCGCGGUGACCUCCACGGGGAUGGGGAGGCAUCCCCUGCUCCGCCACGCCGCUAUCUGCACCAACGGAGGAGUCAGGUUUCGCACCAUCCACCUGACAAUUCUGGGGGGGCUUCAGGAAGAGGACACCUACCCUGCGAAGAGCGGCGCCAGGGUCAGGGUAGGGGGAGAAGAUGGCGUCGCGGACGAGGCGCCACUCCGCCCAGCUCGACCACGGCACCAGCUUCCGGGCCGUGGAGCGGGCGCCGCCGGCAUCUUCCGCCGCCUCCAUGGGAGCGGAGCCGAGCCGAGCCGAGCGGCGAGUCCAAACCCUACUAAACCCACCGGUGGGGUCGCGCCGUUUCGCUUGGGGGGAAAAGGCGACGACUCGCUGCCAGGGUGGGGCCGGCCAAGGGUGCGUGUCUGGUUUGGUUGCGAGCGCCGAGCAGGGUGUUUUCUGCAAUUUGCCACGACAGUUGUUGAGGUGCGUCCCCACCCCACCUCCCACCGUGGGGACGCGGCCGCGGCCGUGGCCAACCUCCGGCACAUGGCCUCGCCGGCUGCCCCUCGCCGGAGGAGAGGCGUAAAGGCGAGCGCGGCCAGGACGCCCGCGCCGUCGCUUUCUCAUCCUGCCGCCGGCGCCGCUCACAUUGUCCGCUCCAACCUGCACGACACCAACAUGUGAUGUGAGUACCCUAGCCUAACCCCCAUUGCGUGCCAACCAAAACUGCAGUUUCAGUUCGUGCGCAUGCUGUCAAGUCGACAUUAAGAGUGCUAGACUGCGCAACCGGAGAGAAAUAGUCACAAUGAGGAUUGAUUUUAACCAAAUUGUUGCUGUAGUUGUAAGAUAAAUUCUUCUUUUUUUAUCCCCGCAUAAAAAAAAGAUAAAUUCUUCUUUUUAGGGGCAAUUGGGGGAUAAAUUCUGGUAGCAACCUCACUUGACCCAAGAAACCUCAAUUGACCCAAGCAAUGAUGUAAGCUGAUAAGUACAAGUGUGAUGAUUCAGCUGGGUAUUUAGCAUGUGAGUAAUGCACAUGUUACUUCAUAACACUACUUCUUUUCAUGGUUUUUACUUUCUAGUACACUAUUACACUCAUGGUCAUUAAUCACUUUCUAGUAGUUAAUUACUAUCACCAAGCUACAAAGAGAUUUAUCAGAAGAACUAGUUCACAGUAUGUCUAAUAUUUUGAUGGUCUAUUUUGUUUCUUUCCUCCUAGUUUGAUUAACCACCCUAUGACUGUUGCGAUAUAUAAACUCGAACUGCUUGCUCAUGAAGAAACCAUCGUCGCAUCAGUUUAGAUAUUUAAUCACAGUUGUAGCUUGCAACAGAAAUUUUACUCUUUAUUGAGACUAAUAUUGGAAGAAAACAAAUAAGAUUGCAGCAUCAAUGUCAUUAUGAGAAAAUGUGUCACCUUCUAUAUCUGCUCAAGCACAAUAACAUCCCCAUCAAUCUCGAUGUCUCUGAUGUGAGCUAUCUUGACUCGGUCCAUCCCACCUUCUUGGCAUCUUUGCUUAAUUUUUGGGCAUUGAUUGAUGUAAAGCUCCUUGAGCCCCCUGGGCAGACCUUCUUCUGGCAAGCUUUCAAGCUCACGGCAGUUGGAGAUAUGUAGCGUUUCAAGUGAGGAGACUUUAUGCAGACUAGGAGGCAAACACUGGAGGUCAUCACAGCGUGAUAUGUCUAAGAACUGGAGUGUGUGAGGUAAAAGCUCCAGUGGAAAGUUACUGAUGUCACGGUAGUCAGCAAUUUGGUAGUCAGCAAUCUGAAAAUGCUUGAGACGAGGAAGGUAUUGUAGGCCAUCUAGAAGUACAUGUGCUAACAGAGAGCAUGAUGUUAGACGGAUUUCUUCAACUGAAGCGGGAAGCAAGCCUCGCUCCAGGGCUGUCCAAGGUACCAGGCAAGGGCACUCGUAGAUGUGCAGGAACUGAAGUGAUGUAAGUGGACGGAAACACUCUUCUGGUAGCGAAACAAGCUCUUCACAGUGGGCUACUGUUAGACUCUUGAGGGCUGUCAGAUUAUGUGAAAGCAAGCCUACACGCAGAGAUGUUAGAUUCGGGCAACCAUUGAUGUAUAGAAACGUUAGAGAAGACGGACAAGCUUCUUUUUGAAGAUCUGGAAGUGACUCAAGUCCAGCUUCAUCUAUCCUCAGUGUUGUAAGUGUUGGUGGAACAGGGGGCAACUUUUUCAGCUUGGGGCAAUUGAUGAGACCAAGUUCAGUUAAUUGAGGGAACAACUGAUCAGCAUCAUCAAAAAUCCACUCUCCGAGCUUAGGCAUAUCUUCCAACAGAAGCUCUUCUAAUGCUGGAAAACAUUUUAUUUGCCCAAGUCCUGUGAACUCGUGUCCAAUUUGUGUCACCUCAGUUGCUCCUGCUAUAUUAAGAUUUUUGAGAAAAGGAAGUUGGCCUAAUGGCGGGAGAACUGUGCAUCUGCAGUUGCAUAUAUGGGUGGUUUGCAGAUUAGGAAGAAAUGAAGUAGCAAGCCAGCUCGGGAACCUCGCCCCUGGAAAACCUUUAAUCAUCAAUUCCUUGAGAUCAAUAUGUGGUUGAAGGCCUUCCAGAAUUUCAUCUUGCUGAUCUGAAGGAGGAAGUUUGCAGUCCUCAUCCCAUAUAAAGUGUAGAGCUCGAAGAUGUUCUUUGGUUUUCAGCUUCGCACAAAUUGCAUCUUGUUCAUCAGCCACAUUGUUGAGGCCACGAAUGGUAAGUUUUCCUUGCAGCUGAUCCAUGUUUCUUAAUUCUGUGAUGUUGUGUCCGGAGCGUUUCAAGACAACAAAUUCUUCUAAUUCCUGUAGGCAGAUUAAAUUUCCGAUUCCUGGUAUCCUUGACAGUAGCCUUGUGCUUCCCUCUAAGUGGCGCAGAUUAGUGAGCUUAGUAAUGCCAUGUGGCACUUCCCUUAGUGAGCUGCAGUUGUUCAGCUUCAAUAUUUGCAAGUUAUAGAGCUUGACAAUAGAUGCUGGUAAUGUUUUUAUUUCAGUGCUGCUGAGAUCUAGGAAGCGAAGUUGUUUCAGAUUCCCUAUAGACUCUGGUAAUUCCUUAAGACCUCUUCCAUGCAUAUCAAGAACUCUAAGGAACUGAAGUUUCAUAAAGACACCAUCAGGAAACCGAGACAUCUUAGAAUUGUAUCCAUGCAUAAGAAUUAGUGUUCUUAACUUCUUAAACCCAUACAGUGGAUCAAAAUGCCUGGUCCUGACACUGGUGCAUGGAAAUGAAAGAUGACGGGUCUUUAUGGCAUUGUCGUAUCUUGUCCCAUCCUCAAAUCGUUCACAGUGUUCCAUGGAAACUGAUAUAGCAAGGUCAUGCAUUGCAUCAUGCAUCACAUAGUUCUCCUUGUAGGGCUGGAAAAAAGACCUGCUUGCCAGCUCAUGAAAAUAUGCAUUACCAGAAUCCUCCAGUAUCUUCUUUCUAGAUUGCCUGAUGAAACCAAGUGCUAGCCAAAUCUUAACCAACUUCUCUUUACUGAAUAUAUAAUCUUUUGGAUAUACGGAACAGAAUGCAAAGCACUGCUUGAGAUGUGGUGGCAAAUGGUUGUAGCUUAGCCGCAGAGCUGGCAAUAUGUUAUUUUUAUCUGCUGGUAGCUCCCAUAUAUCACUUCUUAGUAUCCCCUUCCACUCCUCUUCAUCUGCUUUGCAGAAGAGGAGGCUCCCUAAUGCUUUCGAUGCGAGAGGCAAUCCCUUCAGCUUCUUCACAAUUUGCCUUCCUAUCACCUCCAGCUGUGAGUAUGUGCUGCAAUCACCAUCCCUGAAUGCAUGGUUCUUGAAUACGGACCAGCUGUCAUCAUCCGAUAGUUGCUGUAACUUGUAGGGCUCUAUCCCUCCCAUGAUUCUGCCAACAUUAUCAUUGCGUGUUGUAACCACUAUCUUGCUUCCAAGCCCUCCUGAAAUUAAGGCUGCUCUAUAACUGAGCCAUUUGUCAUAGUCUUCAUUCCAAACAUCGUCCAAGACAAGCAAAUACCUCUUGCCCCGCAAUACUCUAGAGAGUGUUUCCUGCAGCAUAUUCAUGUUGGUGCUAGGAAAGGAUUCGUCAUAAGCAGCAGCCUCGAGAGUUUCUUGUGUUAGCUUUCUCCCAUCAAAACAUUCAGACACAUAGAUCCAGAUCCUCAACUCAAAGUGUUCUAUCACUCUCUCAUCAUUGUACACCAUCUGCAUAAGAGUCGUCUUACCAAGCCCCCCCAUGCCAACAACUGGAAUCACACAAACAUUGCAGGAAGUGUGUCCAUUCUCAGAGAGCAUGAGCCUCACCAUUUCCUCUCUGUCUCCCUCCCUGCCAAACAGAGCUGAACCAUCCACAAGAGAGCUCGACUGUGGCCUCUCCGACGUCUCACGCCUGCUCAUUUCACCCAACAUCUGGAGCCCGAUCGUGUCGCGUUCUCUUGCGAUUUUAUCCAACCGCUCCAGUAUUCCGCUAAUCUUACGCUUUAUCCUGUACUGGCACAUAUUCUUACGCAGGAAGGAAGAAGGGGAACCGACACUUGCCUUGGUGGACAGUUUCACCUUCCUCUUCUUCAGAUACAUAAUCUUGGCUGUAUACCUGUCGAGCAGAUCAUCUAGGUCGUAUGCGACGUCCUUGAGCUUCGCUAGCCAUCCCCGCACGGACGCGUCCGCCAGCUGCUUCGCCUCGGCGUCAUCGAGGAAGGCCUGUAGCUGAGAGAGAAUCUGAGAGAGGCUCUCCAGCUUGCCAUGGAUGCCCCUGCAAGACUUGAAGUGGUCGAGAAGUGCUUCCGAUAAUUUCUGGAACAGGGUUUGCAUGAAGGCUCCUAAAAUUGCCUCUGCUGCCAUGGGAGCUUGUUUCCUUGUUUAUCAGUUGUUUCUCUGUGUGAGAAGGAAGACGGGGAAGAAAGGCUGAAAGGAGUAGACACUAGUGAGGACUGAGGGCCAUGUGCUUUUUGGGACGUGUUGACUUGUUCACCCGAAGAUGCUUGGCCAUUUCCAUGCAUUUUCCUUAUUCUGGGCAAAGUAGCAACUAGCAGGUGGUGAAUUCUGUUCAUGUGAAACCAAGCCAGAAAGGUAUUCUGAAAAUUUCAGUCUGGACUUUGCAAGCGCGUCUCUGGUUAACUAUGGUUAGUCAUGUUAGGAGAAGGUUCUUCUUAUGGUCGUGCAAUCCAGUUCAGGAGACUCAUCAUCGUCAACAAAACCGAUUAUAAUAAGCAGGAGAAGAACCAUCCCCUGGCAUGGAGAUAUUUAACUGCUCCUUUGGACAGAGAGCCUUUCGUGGUGUACGGUGGGUGAUGGAUGGUGUGCUACCUAACUUUUGGCUUUCACACCUCACUAUCUGCGAGUGACAGGACCUGAUUAUUGAGGUUCCUUUCAAAGUGACACUGAAGAACAAUGAAAAAUAAGUGGGCAGUUCUAUAAUUCUAAGGGCCUCUUUGGUUUGCGAGAUUUCAAAAAUGCAACAUAAGAAUAGAAAAUGCAGGAAUUUGGUGUCAUGGCAUGUUAAAUACUCCCUCUGUUCCUUUAUACAAGGUGUAUUUGUUUUUUCAGAAGUCAAACGAGUGCAUGUUUGACCGAGUUUUCAGAAAAAAUAUAUCAACACCCACAAUACAAAAUUUAUAUCAUUUGAUCCAUCAUGAAAAGUAAUUUCAUAUUUUCUCUGUUAUGUAUUGCAGAUGUUGUUAUUAUAUUCUAUAAUCUUAGUCAAACAUUCAAAGUUGACUUGCACGGAAAUCAAUACACCUUAUAUUCUGAAGCGGAGACAUCUUCUGAGAGCAUCUCUAGCAAACCCCGUAAAAACGCAAACUGUAAAACUGGGAUACGGGUAAAAAAAGGCAUUUUAAGGGUCCAUUUUAGCUACGGCCGAACAGAAACUGUAAAACUGGGAUAAAGAGCGCCUUCCUCCGGUCCGGCGGCCGCCACCGCUUCCCUCAGUCGGCCGUGCCGGCCACGCCGGCCACGUCCAACCCCGUCGGCCGCGCCCCAUCACCACGCCGGCCGCGCCCACCCUCGCCGGCCACGUCUUGUCGCCCGCCGGCCAUGCCCCGUCGCCCGCCAACACUGUCCUGCUCCAUUGCCAGCCGAGCCGUGCCCCUUUGCCGGCCGUGCCGGGAGGAUUCCGGCAGCCAGGCUGAGGUCAUGGGAGGCCACGGCGAGGUCGAGCUCGUCCAAUUCAAACCGGCGGCGAUCGAUUGCGGUGUCUAGCGGCCUUUUUGGUGUGCGGUGAUGAAUUCCGACGAGUUUAGGGCGGAUUCCGGAAAUCUCCGCGGCGGCGUGUUUGCUCCGACGAGAUUUGACCGGUAUACGGGGCCCCCUCGGUUCGGCCUUCCAACCUUCAAACAUAAGGGUUUCGGGUGUGGCUUUUCCGUGCCCCUUAAAACAAUUACGAGUUGGACCACUUAUACGUUUCUGUUCUGGACACUUUUUUCGACCAAAACUGUAAAACGCAAAACAAUUACUGGUUUGACCACUUAUACGGGGUCUGCUAGAGAUGCUCUGAACGGAGUAUAUCCUAUAUGAACUGAAAACACAGGAACAUGUAUAAAUGUUGUUUGGCUGUGCCAUAGGAAAUGCAGGAUCUUUUCCAAAUCAUUAGGUGUGUGCCACAGUUGUUCUUCAAACGAAGGUAAAAAAAUUCAUGAGCUUGGACUCGAUGAAGUUCCCGUGUGGAAUUACACACUACAAACCAAACAAGUUUCCUAAAGGGUGAGGAUACUCUGAUAUUUCUUUGAACCAAAAGAGGACCCAAAAGCGAAACUUGUACACUCUUAUUUAGGCAAAAUGCAUCAUCUGAAGCUUUAUAUGAUUAAAAAGGCGAUCUCUUACAAAAACACAAUUUAUACAAAUAUAAUGGGAAUCAAACAUAUAUAGCCUUCUUUAUGCCUUGUGCAAAGAUGUGUUCCUUCAGUAUCUUAGUUGUACAUCCAAUUUGUUUAACGGAAUGACUACCAUGGAUACACAUAAAACUUUUCGUGGGGACGGUGCUGUCGUUUUACUUUUGGCACUUUCUGUGAAAAAAUAAACAUUCUGCUGAUCAAUGUUUCCUCUAGGCUUCAUGAUAUGAUGCCCGGAGGUGUUAGGCUGUGUUUGGUUCAAGCCCAAGUUUACGUCAGCAAAAGUUGGCUUGCCCACAAGAUACGAUUCAUUAUACCAGAACUUUGUUGUUUGUUUCAGCUGAAACUUGGCUUAAAUGUUUUUCAUAUAUAAUUAUGUGAGAGUUGAAGACUAUUUGGUAUUUCCAAGAUAUGAUCACUAUAUUAGUAAAUUUUCUUGUUUGAUUCAGGCGAAUUUCUGCCUUUAUUGGAACUCUGAAGAUAGUAACCACCUUUGGUGCUCCAGUCUGAAGAAAGGGGAGAUUGCUGGAGUGUUUGCAAAACACACUUCAUGAGCUGAGCUGACAAAGAAAGACCUCUUACAGUUAUUUGAUGAAGCGGUGACUGGCUUCUGCUUGGCCUAAGGCGGGGAUCAAGUGUGGUUUGGGAUGGGAUCAUUCCUGACUUGGCAACAUGAGGGAUGAUCAUUGGCAUGUCUGGAAUGUUCGUGACAGACGGCUCUGCAGAUGCCAAGACGAGUUGCUAUUGCGGCGUCUUUUGAGGCUACGCCAAAGGUAUAGUACUACUAGAAGAAGGAACUUUGUCUAACCACUCGAUGGAUGCUCCCUGAUGAAUAGUAUUAUUCUCACUAGUGAGGAAUUUAGUCUAAAGCACAUGCAGGACUUUGUUCUGGCCAGAGUGUCCGAGAGAAUCAAUCCACAGAAAUCCUCGGCUCUCUUUUACGGCACGCCGUGAAAAUGGCCAUGAUGGAUGAAUUUGCCGUUGGUGCUUGGGCUCUGCAAGUCAACAGGCCCGUGGAGGUGGAGGAGAUCAUCCGGUUAUAGAUUGGGGCCGCACCAGCCAAUCCGGAGCCUUUCUGUUGGACAAGAUACGCUCGCUCCUCUGUCAAAGAGGGAGAAGGCGUGAAACAAACCAACAGGCUAGCACCACUGCUACUCCUACUCUGCUGCGGUUUGCGAGCGGGUCGCGGCUAGCAGGAGUUGGGAAGCCAUGGCUACGCCCUGCCGCAUCCGCGUCCUGUUCGUCCUGCUCGCCGCCGCCGUUGCCGGCGCGGCGUCUCACCCGGCACACGAGGUGAGCGCCCCGCUUUGUCUGGUGGUUCUUGUUUUUCUUCCCUUACGCGGUUGGAAUUUGGUUGUGCGCGCGUCAAGUUCUGCGCGGCCGCGGGAGGAGGAGGAGGAGGAGGGGACGGCACGAGGAUCCUGAUCAAGGGCGGGACGGUGGUGAACGCGCACCGGGCGGAGGAGGCCGACGUCUACAUCGAGGACGGCCUCGUCGUCGCCGUCCGGCCCAACAUCCCGGUGAGUGCUCGCUCCGCGUCUGGGAGAUUCCUACUACUUCGGGGCUCGGAAUCUUGGGAUCGGGGAGGCCGAGGCUUGACUUCCGAGACCGACGAGCCACUCUGCUGCGCACACCUGCUGACCUGUUGCCCGCCUUCUACGAUGCCGAGUGGUAUACCAGCUUGGCUGCUUUGGGAUCGCCGCCACUGCUUAUUUUAGGGCCAAAUGAUACUGCUAGCUAUCACUAGUAGUAACAGAAAUCUGCGGGGAUUUAUAAUAUCGACCUUAUUUUUCUUUCUUCUUUGCGGGAUUUCCUUUGGGAUGAAGUGAAAUGUUCCGACGAAAUCAUGUCCUCCCCUGAUUCUCUUCUGUUUUCAUGUUACUUUUAGGUUGGUGACGAUAAUGUCAAAGUGAUUGAUGCAACCGGAAGAUAUGUCAUGCCAGGUCAUUUCUCGCAACUGUUCUGAAUAUCAAGAAUUCAGUUGUUGCCUGUUGUUCAGUUCAUGAGGCUUCUGGCGAAUAUCGCAGGUGGAAUUGACCCGCACACCCACCUGGAGAUGGAGUUCAUGGGAACUGUAACCAUAGAUGACUUCUAUAGUGGUCAUGCCGCAGCACUGGCUGGUGGGACUACAAUGCACAUCGACUUUGUCAUUCCAGUAAACGGGAACUUAACUGCCGGCUUGGAAUCCUACAAACACAAAGCAGAAAAAUCUGCUAUGGAUUAUGGAUUUCACAUGGCCAUUACCAAGUGGAAUGAUGAGGUUUCGAGGGAAAUGGAAGUCAUGGUCAAGGAACAUGGUCGGUGCAUACUUUCUUUUAUAUCGUUUGAUUAGUCUGUUACAUGACGCAGAUCUUCUGUGUCAAAAUUUCAGGGAUCAACUCUUUCAAGUUCUUCAUGGCAUACAAGGGUUCAUUGAUGGUGACCGACGACCUCCUUCUGCAAGGCUUACAAAAAUGCAAAUCUCUUGGUGCCCUGGCUAUGGUUCAUGCAGAGAAUGGGGAUGCUGUUGCUGAGGGACAGCAGCGGAUGAUUGGUCUUGGGAUAACUGGUCCGGAAGGACAUGCUCUCUCAAGACCUCCAGUUGUAAUUCCUUUGUCUUGAGUCUUUACGUGUUCAUGUUUUUUGACAAAAUCUAAGUCCCUUGAUGAGAUAGCUAUAACAUGAGAUUUGUGCUUUCCUCUCACAGGAAGGUAGUGAUGAGUCAAUUAAGUUUCUCUUGUUCUCUGCAGUUGGAAGGCGAAGCAACUUCCCGGGCAAUUCGAUUAGCAAAAUUUGUCAAUACACCGUUGUAUGUUGUUCAUGUGAUGAGCAUCGAUGCGAUGGAGGAGAUUGCCAAGGCUAAAAGAGAAGGUAUGAUGUCUGACCAUUCGGUUCAAACAAGUUCCUCCUCAAUUCAAAACACAAGCCAGAGUUAUUUUAUGAACAGUUACUCUCAGAACAUUGGCUAGUUAUGGCUUUGUACAAAAGUUUCAGGACUGGGUUAGUCCCAAAACAACUUGCUGGGGCUUCAAAACUUAGUAGUCCCAUGGGAUUGAUCAUACUCCAAACCUAAGUACUAAGUUGAUUUAAAUUUUCAACUGUAAGUUGAUGUAAGCUCGAACUUUGCAGGGCAGAGAGUCAUCGGCGAACCUGUGGUAUCUGGGCUAGUCCUUGAUGAUUCUUGGCUUUGGGAUCCUGACUUCGCAACUGCUUCAAAGUAAAUAGAACACACACAAUCAGUCUAUGUUUAUGUAGUUGUGUUUCCUCUUAUUUCAUAUCAUUCUUCUAGAUAUGUGAUGAGUCCUCCAAUCCGGGAAGCAGGGCACAAUAAAGCACUUCAAGCUGCUCUUUCAUCAGGAAUAUUACAGGUGACACGCUUAAAUCCAGAAUCCCACCUUAGUUUCCUAAAGCGUUUCAAGCUGGUGCUUAGCUUAUCCGAUUGAAGAUUGUUUGGGGGCGGUAAUAAUAAUGGAGUAUUAUUUGCUAAAUUGUUGUCUGUGCAUUGUCUACUAUGGAGGCGGAAAAGUCCCUUGAAUAAGCACCUAACUGUUCUUUGUUCCUCUGCAGCUUGUGGGAACUGAUCAUUGCACCUUCAAUUCCACUCAGAAAGCUUUUGGUUCUGAUGAUUUCAGAAAGAUUCCCAAUGGUGUAAAUGGUAAUCAAGGGGGCUUGGAAAAAGGAAGCUGUAUGUUGUGUCAUUGCGAAAAAAAUCGGGCUAAGACAUUUCUCUUUUGAUUAUUUGAUCCAGGUAUUGAGGAAAGGAUGCAUAUAAUUUGGGAUAGCAUGGUGGUAAGUUUUGAUUCUAAAUGUUGUUUCUCGUGUUGGGUACGAAGUUGAUUCCAUUGCCGGUAUUUCUGUUUUCUGACUUCAUUCAAUAAAUGUACAGGAGACCGGCAAGAUCACUGUCACCGAUUAUGUGAGAGUGACAAGCACAGAAUGGUAUUACUGCAGAAAUUCUAUAGCUACAUGACUACAUCAAAACAAAAUCAGCAAAAGAACACGAAACUACCAGUUGAAACUUGAAAGUAGAAUGAUACAUAUUACUCUCUAAUCUUUUCAGCGCCAAGAUCUUCAACAUAUACCCUCGAAAAGGAGCAAUCCUCGAGGGAUCUGAUGCAGACAUCAUCAUCCUGAACCCCAAGAGGAGCUUCGCAAUGGGCGCGCGCACGCACCAUUCUAGGUCCGACACAAGCGUGUACGAGGGCAGAAAAGGAAAGGUUGGCCCCUCGUUGCUCACAACUGUUAAUCUGACACGAUAUGAGGUCCAACCUGUGGAUGUUUCUGUCUGAUUGGUGUAGGGAAUGGUAGAGGUCACCAUUUCAAGAGGGCGAGUGGUGUGGGAGGAUGGCAAUCUGAACGCCGUGCCCGGUGCAGGAAGAUACGUCAGGACGCCGCCUUUCGGCUACCUCUUCGACGGCAUCGACAAGUCAGAUGCCGUCUACAGGGCUUCCCUCCGAGCCCCUGUAAGACGUGGUGAGGCUGCUGCUGCUUAACGGCGUGUUCGACGGCUGGUCUCAUUGCCCCCUGACGGUACCACCAUCCUAUCUGGUUCAAGAACAAAUUGCGCCUAAGGUGAACAGCGUCUGCUCCAUAUGUAGCUUCCUUGUACAUACAAUCUGCCUUGUUUAUAUCCAGAUUCAGAGAUGGGUGGAAAUUGUAAAGUUAAUUAUUCAUACAAGGCACUUUUUUUCGUGCAAACAUACAAAUCACAUUUCUGAUUGGGGAGAUUGCAAAUAGGCUCAAGUUCGACAUAUCCUGAUGUCAAAUAAACUUGGGAGUCUGGUACAACUUCCAUGAUCAUAGUUAUAUACCAGGAGCACACGCUGAUAGCAGGCACAGUUGUAACUCAAAUGAUCAAAUUUUCUAGUAUCCUACUCCCAUCCGUUCCUAAAUAUAAGUCAUUUUUAGAGAUUCCAAUAUAAACUACAUAUGAAGCAAAAUGAGUGGAUUUACACUCUAGAAUAAUAAGCAUGAUACAUUCCCACUAAAAAGGGAUUGAGGAUGAUCACACUUAUCUUUUUGAAACAGUUCAUCACACAUUCGUGUAUGAAGCAUGAUCUAUGAAGUAACUUGGCUUUUCUUCGAAAGAACAAAAACUGAUGUAUAGAUGCUUUAUGAAUCUGAUAACACCUCGUCAUGCUGUAUGGUUUAUUUAGGCGAUUAUACACCGCAAGCACAUCACAUCAUAAGAUCUCAAGUUAUUCUGCAAGUAUGUACAUCCCCAAUGUUUUCAAAAAUGCUACGAACUUGUUCAAUAGUUGAUAAUCUGAUGUCACCUACUACAGACAGCAAUAUCCAGUGAACAUUCACCGUAAACGUUCAUGACAUGAUUCUGAUCCAAACCUCUUGCUAAUACAAGAACAUUGUGAAGAAUCUAGGGAGUUGGGAAUACCUGAAUUCCUAUGGGGCUGGCUAAUACAACACUCAAGAUGCAGUACCUAAUAUUAUUGUGCUAUUUGUGAAUCGAUUCAAUUUAUUCCCGUGGACGGGCCAGCCAAAGUGAACUCAAAGCGCGUAGACGAGAGAAGUAAUCGCUUAUUGCAAGCAGAGCUCGUGCAGACUGGCGAGUGGUUAAUAUGCGUUGCAUCUGCUGAAGGGUUUGCAGCCGCAGAUUAUCAGCCUGCAGAUAAGACAUUGUUGAACAGUUCAUCACCAGUUGAAUACAAAUCUAAUAUAUUUUUUCUAUGUUUUCUUGCUAUCCCCCCUUAUUCGAUGGUGCAUCAGUUUAAGUGAAAAUGUGCAGGUGAAAACCCGAUACUCAUUUUCUUUUGGGACUUCUAUUAUCUGUCAGUAACAUUCGGAAGCUCCUGAAUUCAUUCUCCAAAAUAAAUAAAUAAAAAGAAAUGGAGCAUGCUAUGAAGGAAGUGCGUGUUUUAGUAAUGAAGUAGAAAAAGAGCAUAUCACAAUAUUCGAAAUCCCCAAAUAGUCUGCACAAAACACAUAACGACUUAAGCAGAGGAAAGAACGACAGCAUGGUUUGUGUAGGUUACCUGUCGGAGGAAGUUUUCUAGAGUGCCAAGUUUUCCCAUUGCCAUUGCCAUCUGCCCCAUGUAGCUUGCAACAUUACCGGAAGAUCCUGCAGGGCCCAGGGAUCCAGAUGCUAGGGUUUCUGCAAGCGACUGUUGUAGAGCCUCCAUCCCUUGAGAAAGAGCAUCCUCAGCUUGUUGAGAAGACUGUUGCAAGUUGCAUAUGCCAGUAAGCUGCUGCUCAGUAAGAGGUUCUAGUUGACCUGCCAGUAACUGCAACAGAAAUGUCGGAUUAAAGAACUAGAUGGAGACAUGGUAACUAUAUAUUGACCGCAAGUUAAUCAUCUUGACAUGCUCAUAAGGGCUGUGGAAAGAAAACCACUCACUAAGUUGGGCCCUGGUUAAGGAAUUUAAUUGUGUCUGUAACAUAAAUCGUAUCACAUUGGUACCUUAAGGAGCUCGGAUGAUCUGAAGCCACCUAACCACAUGAAGCACCUCUCAGCAGGGGUCUUCCACAUUCCCGACAGCACAUGGAAAACGUCUGCUUUGGCCGCAACACCCUUGAGCCUGAAAAAUUCAUCAUACUGUGCCAUGAUGCUAUCAACAAUACUCCGAAGAUCGUCAUCGCCAGCAUGUGCAUUGGCUGCAGCCCUCAACUCAUUUAUAUGCUUGUUAUGUUCCUCCAACCAUCGUGCGUACUCCAUGUCAAAUGCCACAGCUCCUACAAAUUAGAGAACAUUAGCAUAAAAGGCACCAACAGAAUACUGGCACAAAGAACGAGCUUCACCAAAGGCCUAGGAUAAUGUAUAUAACAACUAAAAAGUAUUCCCUCCGUCUUGAAAUAAGUGACUCAACUUNNNNNNNNNNNNNNNNNNNNNNNNNNNNNNNNNNNNNNNNNNNNNNNNNNNNNNNNNNNNNNNNNNNNNNNNNNNNNNNNNNNNNNNNNNNNNNNNNNNNNNNNNNNNNNNNNNNNNNNNNNNNNNNAAGUUGAGUCACUUAUUUUGGGACAGAGGGAGUAGUUCACUGCACCAAAAUAAGGCAUCAGCGGAAGUAUCUAUAUUUUCAAAGCCCAAAUAGAGGUGCAGAAAUGGUACUCGCCAACAAAUCAGUUGAUGAUUGCAUCUUGAGGUUGUAUCUAGAUUGUUUUAUCUAUCACAUUCUAAGGAACACCCAAGCAAAUGACAAACAGAAAUCCCAUAACGAAACACAGUACACAGCAUAGUACUGCUGAUAGCAAUCUAAUAGUUAGAUAAUAUUACCAUUUCCACCCGCUGAGUGAGCCUGAUCCCCUGAAGAUGAAAUAAAAAUGCCCUGGAGAAGUAUACAUUGGUCAAACAAAAGGGAUCGAUGUUUAACCCAAGAAACUUCCAAUGAAUCAUGUAUGGCGAUGUAGAGCACAUACCUGUUGCCGAGCGCGCUGAAGCUCUUGCUCUAGUUGAGUAAGUUUCAAUCUACUACUCUCCAGGUUUUGGAUAUAUGCCUGACAAAGCCAAAUGGUGAAAUAAUGCAAAUCAGUUCUCCCAAGUGACUCAGUAGAACACACAUAGAGGAAAACAGGGAAAUAGGUAGGGUUAAGAUGAUAACAAUAAAGGAUGCUAACCAAGUCCACCACUGAAGUAAAAUCAUGUGUUAGGCUCACAAAGACUGUCUAGCACAAAUCCAUGCUACACUAGUACUAAAGGUUUAGGGUGAAAUGAUACUCCCUCCGUCCGGAAAUACUUGUCCUAAAAAUGCAUAUAAUGGAUGUAUCUACAAUUAAAAUAAGUCUAGAUACAUUCAUCUCUAGGACAAGUAUUUCCGGACGGAGGUAGUACAUCAUACACUGUUUAAACUAACUAUCAUGCUACCAAAGUAUGCAAGCACAUCACAAAUGGAAUCUAAUAACAUUUUAAGAACAUAUAAGCUCACCUUCUUUCUUAAACGGCUUUUCCUAGCAGCUUCACGGUUUUGGGCAAGACGGCGAAGUGACUGCUGGUAAAGAAACUAAAAUCUUUAAGCAAUGGAUCAGCAUGUGACCGAAGCAUCAGAUAUGUAGUGUUAACUGUACCUUAUGAUCUAAUUUGUCCCUUGAUUUGUCACUAGAAUCAGAAGCUGUGGGGGCAGCAAGCUGUCCUUGUUCAAACUGUUAAGUGGGAUAAUCAUCAAUAAGUAUAAAUACUGUGGCAUUAAUUUUCAGCAAUUGUGUUAAUGAGAACUAAAUUCAAAUAGGCAACUAGGCAAUAUGUGGGAAGAUAAAGGUGCUACUGCUUGAAAUGUCAUUAAGAUAUGACACCAUCCUGGAUACACAUAGGACCUUUUUCCUCUCUCGGAUACAUAUCAUUAAGAAAUAAGAAGCAUGUCGAAAUGACACAAAUAUCCAAACAGACUCAAACAAAAGGAUAGGAAACCAAGAACAGGAACAAGGUAUCUAACUAACGCUACCGAAGGACCUUAACACUAACAAAUCAUUCAAGAUCUCAAGCCAGGUGUACACGUACAUAAUACUGAAAUUCAAAGAUCUUUUAGGAAAUUUAAAAAGCUCUUUAACUGCAAGGAAACAAACAUUUUGGAAACGAAAUUUAGAUCUCCAAAACCUGAGAGUAUGAAAAGUUCAAUAUCAAGCGUGCCACUAUAAUGGGACAGGCUGACAAAGGGUUGAGCUGAGAAUGGUAGGUACCAUUUGGUUCCUCUCAUCAAUGUCUAUAUCCGGAUCCGUUGAUGUAUCAGUCCUAGGACUUGUAUCAGCCAUACUUGACUCUCCCCAGUUCUCAUUGUUACGAGUUCUUAAAGCUACUAGAUUUGGCUGCACUGCCUUUUGCUGUAGUAGUGCCUGAGGAUCAACUGCUGUUACUGCUGCCGCCGCCGUAGUAGCUAGAUCAGUCGGAGAAAUGGACUGCAAUAUGGGGUGCAAAAAUUGCAUCAAUCCCUAAUGCAGAUGGAAUAUCACCUAAUAAUUGGGGCUCUGACUUGCCACUGGUACCUUUCCGUAGUUUCCAAACUGAAGGGGGUCACUGGUAUAUGCAUGUGUAUUUGGCUUCAGGUUGAAUAAAUUAUCUGAACAUCAGCAGACAACGGAGAAACAAACUUCAGUAAUCAUGAACAUCGACGGUGCUACUUACUGAAAUCUUAUAUGAAGUUGUAAACUUCUCACAAGCAGAAAAGCGUAAAGGAUCCAUGAUUGAAGUCACUGGAGGAGGCUAUGUUUCUAGCGCAAUUGAUUGAGGAAAGAGCAACAUACUUGUACUGAAAUUAGCAAGAUCUUCUAUUCUGAAUCCAGCAGAGUGCGCGAGCGCCCCGAAAUCAGCAACUCGGGAUGGCUGCAUGAUGUUCACAUCUGUUGGGCUGCAAGAAAUUUUCACCACAGUUAAAAAAAUCUCAGAAAACAACAUGUGCCUGCAACAAAACUCCUAUCUUUUCUUAUUCUUGUCUUGCAUGUGACAUGCUACAUCCUAUGCCCAUCCCAUACCGCUCAUUCAGUAACUAACACAGCCGCAACCUAUAUAUUUAUUUUCUAUUGGAAGAAUCACAAUGCCAUUCAACUGCAUCGGUCAGAGAGACUUAUGUAUGUGCACCAACCAUCAAGAGGGACCGCUCGGAUGUGUGAUAAAUAUAUUUGGUUUUGGUCCACAAACCCAUAGUUUCUUCUACUACAUGUAGUAGUAGUAGUGCUUUGUUCAAAUUAUUACUCCAUGAGUUUAACCCCAAACGUGCAUGCCCAACCUGCAUGUUCUGCCCUUUUUUUUCUGAAGAUCUGGACCUACCACAUGUACGUGCCACUGAUUCCCAGUGAUCAGUGAUGAGCCCCCUGGAGAGUUAAUGAUGCACACACAAACGAGGCAAUCAUGGUACUACUAGCAUGGCAGGAAGAGGAGUAGCGAGGCCUCGCGGCAAUUAUUGCUCCUUCUUCGGCUUCCGAAGACCCUGUUACUACUACUCCUACUCCUCCUCCUAGUAGUAAAGCUGCUCUGCCCCUCUAAUCAUCACGGCACUCGAGCUAAAGGUCGCCGCACUCCACAUCGACAAGGGCUAAUCGGAGGGGAAAAGCGGCCGGCUUUUUCCGUGCUGGAAAAGGAGGAGCAAUCAGCGGCGCCGGGGGCGCCAUGAUCAAUUAAGUAAUCCGCAACCAGGGGUCGUUAAUUCGUAAUCGCGCCGUGCGGCACAGGGAUGCGAGUGAGACAACACGGAGCGUGCGGAAAUGAGCGAGCGAGCGAGCGCAUGGGGCAGGGAAGGAAACCAUCAAGAAAUGGAGGAGGGGGUGGCGGACGUACAUGGUGUGCUGAGGAGCCCCGAAUCCCGGCAUCGGCCCGCGCGGGUCUCCGGCCGCCGCCGCCGCCGCCGCCGCCGGCCCUCCUCCUCCUCGCCUACUCUCCAUCGGCCACCAUCAACCGCCGUGCACCCCCGGUGCUGCUGCCUGGCUCAUCACCCCGCCUCACCAGCCUGCGGAAGGGGAGGAGGCAAGGGGGUCUUUCUCCGACGCCGCCGCUGCCACCAACAGAAGCGAAUCAAGAAGAGGCAGAGGGAGAAGAAGAAGCUACUAGCUAGCUAGGAUACUUGGAUGUUUCUGAUACUCUGAUCAGUUGCUGAGCAGGUAGCAGCGGUAACCUGACGGGACGGGGCUGCGAGGUGACGUUGGUGGUGGCCUCGUGUGGCUGUGGUGUGGGUGAAGCCGUGGAGGGGGAGGUGGAAGGUGGGAGGGAGAGUCCUCCACCGGCGACAGUGGCACAAGGGAGGGAGGGAGGGGGGAGAGCUUAGCUUAGCUUAGCGAUGCAGCGCCUCGAAUUCCGGCCAUUUUUUUUAUGAUGGCUCCUUGGUUUUGCGAGUCCUGCUAGAGGAGGAGUGACGUUUGGACCAUAGCAAUCUCUAGGCGGGAGAGUCAUCCAUCCUCUGCCUCUGCACCACAGUGGGCUACUGUGAGGCAGUCAAGGCUCAUCACCCACCGUGCCUGCCUGCAUGCAUGCCUGCCUGCCUAAUCUCCAAAUGCAAUACACGUAAAUUCGUAUUGCUUCAUUCUCGAAACAGGCUUUCGUCCCACUUUAUAUAUAAAGCAAAUAGAUCAGUAUCUAGACAUCACAUCCCAACAAAGUGACAGAAAAGAGGAUCCGUUGGGACAGCAACACAAUCCAGCCCAAGAAAAGAGAAGAAACAAAAAAUGGCAUCAAAGGGACAAGCUAAGCAGCAUGCGAGGUACAGGAGAGCCGUCGGGCGGCCACCAUCAACGCGUCCAGGUAGCGCUGAAGCCGGUCCCAGUCUCGGGUCCUAACGAGCGGAUGCCAGUGCUGCAAGAAGGCAAGAAAUUUGAAGAACGAGUCAGAUGCACGCUGCUGAAACACCUUCUCAAUCACCAUUUUAUUGCGACUAGUUCAAAGAGUCCACAUCAUAGUUGCGAAGACCAGCCAAAACAGUCGGCAUUUACGGCCGACCUGGGUGGCCCGCACCUGCAGAAAAUCUGCAAGGUCAUAGGCCUCCCACUCCGGCCCCAGAGCCUCGCGUACAAAGCACCAAAGGGCCUGCUGUUAGGGCAUAGUUUAUGCCUAAGUAAUUUUGGUGAUUGAUGACAGUACCGUAAAGGACUAACCGUGUGUGCUAAGAUUUCAGAUAACACAUGUCAACGGCACAAGACAACUCGCCCCCUCUUUCAUGGAACAGAAGCACGGUGUACUCUACGAUUCUCUUUAUUUGAGUCAUAGAAACGCCGUACUAUUAAGAGAGGAAUCGUGGUGGAAAGGUUUGGGUGGAAUCAAUUUUGCACGCGCACACUUCAUCUCCUUUCCCCCUUGCCGACAACUUUGGAGUGGCUCCCGCCUUUGUGUUUCUCUCUUCUUUGCAAAUGGUCCCUCAGCGGUAGUACCGCUGUGCCUAGCGGUAGUACCGCUAGCCCUAGCGGUACUACCGUUGGAGUGCUAGCGGUAGUACCGCUGCAGCCAGCGGUAGUACCGCUAGUUGGCGGUAGUACCGCCCCUGGUCAGCGGUAGUACCGCUCCAGNNNNNNNNNNNNNNNNNNNNNNNNNNNNNNNNNNNNNNNNNNNNNNNNNNNNNNNNNNNNNNNNNNNNNNNNNNNNNNNNNNNNNNNNNNNNNNNNNNNNNNNNNNNNNNNNNNGUGGUUGGCCCGGUAGUGCUUAUGCACUACCAUGGGCCCAGCGGUAGUGCCGCUGCAGCCAGCGGUAGUACCGCUGGAGUGCCAGCGGUAGUACCGCUGCAUCCAGCGGUAGUACCACUAGGCACGGGCUGUGAGUGGGAAAACGGUUGGAUUCCCCCCCCCCUAUAUAAGGGGUUCUUCUAGCUAUGGAACCUCAUCUCUUACCCUCCCAAGCUCCAUUGUUGCUUCCUAAGCUCAAAAGUGCCCGAUCUCUCUCCCUAGCCAAUCAAACUUGUUGAUUCUUUAGGGAUUGGUUGAGAAGGCCUAGAUCUACACUUCCACCAAGAGAAAAGUUGAUUCCCCCACCAAUCCCUUGCGGAUCUUGUUACUCUUAGGUGUUUGAGCAUCCUAGAUGGUUGAGGUCACCUCGAAGCCACAUUCCAUUGUGGUGAAGCUUCGUGGUAUUGUUGGGAGCCUCCAAGCUUUGUGUGGAGUUUGCCCAACCUCGUUUGUAAAGGUUCGGUCGCCGCCUUCAAGGGCACCUAUAGUGGAAUCACGGUACCUUGCAUCGUGCGAGGCGUGAGGAGAAUACGGUGGCCUUAAUGGCUUAUUGGGGAGCAUUGUGCCUCCACACCGCUCCAACGGAGACGUACUUCCUGUCAAAGGGAAGGAACUUCGGUAACACAUCCUCGUCUUCGUUGGUUCCACUUGUGGUUAUCUCUAACCUUUACUUUGUGAAUGCUUAUGUUGUUGUCUAUCUCUUACUUGUCUUAGUAGCUCUCGUUGUUAGCUUCAUUACGGUUCACCCCAUUGUUGUUAUAUUUGUGAACCCGUAUGUUGUUUACCCUAACUUGCUAAGAUUAAUUAAAAAGUGGUCGUUGCCUAUUCACCCCCCUCUAGUCAACCAUAUCGAUCCUUUCAAUUGGUAUCAGAGCCACGUCUCUUUAUUAAGGGUUUCACCACCCGAAGAGUAUGGAAGGCGAAGAGGGAAUUACCCAUGGGCAACCCGAGGCCAUGGACUUGACUUCGGUCACAAGGGACGACUUGAAUACGGCUAUGGCCGCCCUCAAGACAUCCUUGACGAACGAAGUCAAAACCAUGCUUAAAGAGUUAAUUGAGGGAUUUAAAAGUCCACCCGAACCGGCGUUAGUGGUUAAACCCACCAUCACCGAUUCGGAGGCCAAUUCCUCUAAGGAAACGGCUAAAGGUAUGCGACCUUCCUCAUCUCACGAAAAGGAUGGGACUGGAACCUAUGCCUCAGUUCCACCUCCCAUGGUCUAUGGAGGAUCCGUUCCCACACGGCGUCUUAACCCUGUUGGUCCUCCUCCUAAGCUUGUGAAAGGUGACUUUGCUAACUGGGUAUUUUCUAUUAAGUCUCAUUUGAAUCACAGCUCAACAAAUUUGUGGAGAAUCAUCGAGCAAGGAUAUUAUCCCCAUGAUCCAAGCAACCUCACUCCAAGAGAAGAUGCAUACAAUCAAUACAAUCACUCCGCUUUGUUUAUUCUCCAGUCCGCAGUGCCACCUGAAGAUCUUCCUCACUUGCGUCCCUUCACUUUGGCCAAGGAUUGUUGGGAGCAUAUUAUGGUGUUGUACAAGGGAAGCUCAAGCAUUCAACGAUCCAACUAUGAAGUGAUACUUGAUAAGGCCGAUGAGUUUGUGAUGAAGGAAGACGAGGACCCUCGUGAUCUCUAUCGGAGGGUGACUGAUAUUGCUAUGGCACUCAAGGAUCAUGGGAGCAAGGAUGUGGAUGAUACAUGGGUCAAGCGCAAGUUUCUCAAAGCCAUCAUGCCUUUCAAUAAAGCUAUGUCAUCUGUCAUUCGUCAGCGACCAGAAUUCCACUCCUUGUCUUCCAGUGAGGUGUUGGAUGAAUUUAUUGCAAUGUCAAUCAUGAAUGAAACAGCUGACAAUGCACUUGCUCGUGUUCGCUCAAAGACAACUUGACCCAACCUUGAGUUAAAAGCAAAAGCAAUGUUUGAAGAAGAAGAAGAAGAAGAGGAUGAGGAAGAGGAGAGUUGCCCUGAAGACACAAAGUAUGCCUAUCAUGAGCACAUGGCUCUUGCGUCAAGGCAAUUCUGGGGCAACAAGAGGAACUCAAGACCCACCUUCACCAACAACAACUCGAGUGGAUUCAAACCCAAGCAACGAGCGAGGACAUGUUAUAAAUGUGGUAACGUGAGCCACUUCGUGGCCGAAUGUCCCUAUGAGAAAAUGGAAGACAACGGGGGCAAGCUCAUUCGCAAAGACAAAACCAAAGUCAUUUCCAAUCAAGAACAACUUUGUGAAGAAACCCCACCCAAAAGGGAUGGUGGCCCUUGAAGAGUACCCUUCCGAUGAUGAUGAUGAUGAUGAUACAGUGGCAACGGCAACUGUUGCUAUUGCCACUACCUCUCCCCAGAAGUUGUCUCUCUUCAACGCCCCCAACGAGAACCACAUCACCAAGUGCCUCAUGGCAAAAGGUAUCAAUGAGGUAACCCCCAUCGUUAAGACCAACAUCACUACUGCUCCUUCAAUGUUAAAUUGUGUUCAUGAUAGUGAUGUUGGGGAACUUAAUGAGCAUGAUCUUGACAAGUUUUUGUGCACUAUUAAGGGAGAAUCCAAGAAGCACUUUGUUGCUCUCUUGGAACAACUGGGUGAGGCCAAUGACCUCAUUGAGUCUCAUGAGGAGACCAUCUCCGAGCUUCAGGGAUACAGUCGUGACUAUACCGAUGAAAUUGCUGAAUUAUCUAUUGCUCUAGAAAAGGAGCGCACUCUUCGUUUGGCUCUUGAGGAGUCAUACAACGAUGACUGCGCUAAAAUGCAAAAGAAACUAGAUCAUGAUACUAUUCUUACUCGUAUGCUUAAGUUUGAGAAGUAUGCUCUUGGGGUUGGCCAUGACAGACUCAAAGUGGAGUUUGACACACUUGACAAGGCCCACAAGGUCUUGAAAGGUGUUCAUUUCUCUCUGAAAGAGUCUCAUGAUCAACUCCAAGCAAAGCUUACCAAGGAGAUCUCUACUUGUCCUCCCUUUGUGUUAAUUGAUAAUGCUUGUGCAACUAAUCCCUGUUGUGAGCAUGUACAUCUUGUGGAGGAAAAUGCCAAGUUAAGGGAGAAACUUGAGAAGGGCCUUGUGGCAUGCAUACAAGGUGAGAAGAGCCUGAACGACCUCUUGAGCACUCAAAAGGGUGUUGUAGGAAAGGAGGGACUUGGACUUACCUCCAAGUCAAAAGGUAAAAGGAGGAACAGGAACAAACGAUCUCCUACCCUCAUGGACAUCUUUGUCAAAGAGGGUGAGGGGACUCAGGAGGUGAACAGGAAUAAGGUGGAUGAUGGAAACGUCAAGAAGGGCAAAACCAUUCCUACUAACACAGCCAACAAACUCAAUUCUUCUUAUGUCUUAUGUCGUGCUAGUGAUGGCCAUGUUUAUGCCAGAUUUGUUGGUUCCUACUAUGAGUACAUUGAAUGGGCUAUCUGGGUUCCUAAGACCCUUGUCUCUAACACGAAAGGACCCAUUAAAAAAUGGGUACCUAAAACCAAGCCUUGAUCUAUUGCAGGAGUUUGCUUCCUUUGGGGUGUCAUGGUUGCUUGAUAGUGGAGCAACAAAUCAUAUGACCGGAAGCAAGGAAUUAGUGGUGGAUGUGCAUCCUUCUCCAUCUAUGCCCACCCAUGUCCAAUUCGCCGAUGCAUCCUCGUCAAAGGUAUUGGGAUUUGGUAAGGUGGUUGUCUCUCAAGAGUUAUCUAUUGAGAACGUCAUGCUUGUUGAGUCGCUUGCCUACAAUUUACUUUCGGUUCGUCAACUUGCAAUUAUGGGUUUUUCCACAUUCUUUAAUCUUGAUACUGUGAUCCUCCUGUGGAGCAAGACUCUUAAAGUAGCCUAUGUUGGAUAUGUCGAAGAUGGUCUUUAUGUGGUGAACUUCUCAAAGCGACCCACUAAGACCGCGACGUGUUUAAUGGCUAAAGUUGAUGUGGGCUGGCUUUGGCAUCGCCGAUUAGCUCAUGUCAAUAUGAGAUCUUUGCAAAGUCUUCUAACACGGGACCAUAUUCGUGGACUAACAAAUGUGAGUUUUGCUAAAGAUCGUGCUUGCAGUGCCUGCAUUGAAGGAAAGAUUCAUGAAACUGCUCAUCGUCCAACGACUCUCAUCUACACUAAGAGGCCAUUGGGGCUCCUCCAUAUGGAUCUUUUUGGCCCUCCAUCAUUUGAUAGUCUUGGAGGCAGAAAGUACUACUUGGUGAUUGUUGACGACUACUCAAGAUACACCUGGGUAUAUUUCUUCAAAAGGAAGAGUGAAACUCAACAAACUGUCAUCAACUUUGCUAAUGAAGCUCAACAUCAACAUGAAGCAAAUAUCUUGAUGAUUAGAAGUGACAAUGGCACCGAGUUCAAGAAGUACACCUUGGAUGAGUUUCUAGGUGAUGAGGGAAUAAAACAUCAAUAUUCAGCACCAUAUACCCCUCAACAAAACGGCGUGGCAGAAAGGAAGAACCGGACCUUGAUAGACGCUGCAAGAACAAUGAUGGCGGAAUUCAAAUCUCCAUAUAACUUUUGGGCAGAGGCCAUCAACACAGCAUGUCAUGCGUCCAAUCGGCUCUAUAUCCGCAAAGGUCCGAACAAGACUCCAUAUGAGGUUCUAACUGGAAACAAACCCAAUCUCAAGUACUUCCGGGUAUUCGGUUGUAAGUGUUUCAUUCUCAAGAAAGGUGCACGUUUAGCUAAAUUUGAUUCUAGAGCACAUGAGGGCAUCUUUGUUGGUUAUGCUACAAACUCUCAUGUUUACCAUGUCCUCAACAAGUCCUUCGGACUCAUUGAGGAGACGUGUAACGUGGAGUUUGAUGAAAAUAAUGGCUCCCAAGUGGAGCAAAGUGGUCUUUGUGAUGUAGGUGAUGAAAUUCCUCCCCAAGCCAUAAGAAGAAUGGGGAUUGGUCAAAUACUCCCCAUUGAGGAACCCCUUGUGGCCGAAGGAGAAGGACAAUGGUCUACUCAAAUGGAGCCAUCACCCCCACAAGCCCCACACGCUUCCGAUGAACAAAGAGAAGACUCUCAACAAAAUGAACAAGCUCAAGGUCAAGAUAAAUUGCCCAACAAUGAUGAUUUGUCCCAUGAUAUUCAAGCACUUACCCAAGGUUCCGAACCUGCGCAUGAUCAAGAUCAACUGCAACCACAAGAUCCAGACCAAGUAGAAGCACAAGAUCAAGAUAAAGAGCAACCACAAGUACAAGGACAAACAAGUGAACCUGCUCAAGUCGAAAGUCAAGAUGGUCAGGAUACUGUCUCACAAUUCCCUUCUGCAGCACCAACAACCGGUGCCAGGGGAGGAUCAAGACGCAAGGGCAAGCAAAGUAAACAGGCCGAUGCUCCCCAGUUAUCCAAUGAAGAACUCUUGGAGCAUCGAGCAGCCAAGAUUGCGAACAAGCUGAGAGUCAAGGCACAUCUUAUGAAGAAUGUACUUGGCAGUUUAAAAAGGGGAGUAUCCACCCGUCAACAGAUUUGGAAUUAUUGUGAGCAUCACGCGUUUGUUUCAUAUUGUGAACCUCAACAGGUACAGUAAGCGCUCGAUGAUGAGGAUUGGCUUAUGGCCAUGCAUGAAGAACUUAACAACUUCGAGCGUAACCAAGUCUGGGAUUUAGUGCCAAGGCCAACGGAGGAACAUAAUGUCAUCGGGACCAAAUGGAUAUUCAAGAACAAGCAAGAUGCCAAUGGGAUUGUGAUUCGAAACAAGGCAAGAUUGGUGGCUCAAGGCUACUCCCAAGUCGAGGGUAUCGACUACGGUGAAACUUUGCCCCUGUUGCUCGUCUAGAAUCUAUUCGCAUGUUGCUUGCAUUUGCUUCUCAUCAUAACUUCAAAUUACAACAAAUGGAUGUGAAAAGUGUCUUUCUUAAUGGUCCUUUAAAUGAGUUGGUCUAUGUCAAACAACCCCUGGGAUUCGAACAUCCCAAGCUCCCCAAUCAUGUGUACAAACUUAAUAAGGCACUCUAUGGCCUUAAACAAGCCCCACGUGCGUGGUAUGAGUAGCUUACUGAGUUGUUACAAGAUCGUGGGUUUGAAAUUGGGAAGAUAGAUCUCACUCUUUUUACUAAGAGGGUUAAAGGGGAUUUGUUCAUAUGCCAACUAUAUGUUGAUGAUAUUAUCUUUGGCUCUCCUAACAUUUCUUUCAAUGAAGAAUUUGCUGCACUAAUGACUGAGAAAUUUGAGAUGUCCAUGAUGGGAGAGUUGAAGUUCUUCCUCGGCUUCGAGAUUAAACAAGGCCUAGAAGGGACCUUCAUCAAACAAGCCAAGUACACUCAAGACAUGCUCAAACGGUUCGAGCUUGAAGAUGUCAAGCCGAUCAAGUUCCCCAUGCCAACAAGAUGCAAGCUUGACAGUGAUCCCAAUGGUAAAGCAGUGGAUCAAAAGGUAUAUCGCUCCAUGAUUGGAUCCCUCCUUUACCUUUGUGCAUCUAGACCGGAUAUUAUGUUGAGUGUAGGGAUAUGUGCACGGUUUCAAUCCGCACCAAAAGAAAGUCAUUAUAUGACUGUUAAGCGAAUCUUUCGAUAUUUGGCUCAUACCCCAAACUUUGGCCUAUGGUAUCCCAAAGGAGCAAACUUCAACCUAGUAGGCUAUUCUGACUCAGAUUGGGCAGGAGAUUGUGUGGAGAGGAAGUCAACUUCUGGAGGAUGCCAAUUCCUUGGUCGCUCACUGGUAAGUUGGUCCUCAAAGAAGCAGAAUUGUGUCUCUCUAUCAUCCACCGAAGCUGAGUAUGUGGCAGCUGCAAGUUGUUGUGCACAAUUGCUAUGGAUGAGGCAAACUUUAAAGGAUUAUGGUGUCACUUGUGACAAAGUGCCUCUUCUAUGUGACAAUCAAAGUGUUAUCAAGAUUUUCCUCAACCCAAUGCAACAUAGCAAGACCAAGCAUAUUGAUAUUCGCCAUCACUUCAUUCGUGAACAUAUCAAGCUAGGUGAUAUUGAGGUUCACUUCAUCCACACUGAAGAACAACUUGCAGAUAUUUUCACUAAGCCCCUAGAUGAAGCAAGGUUCGAGGAGUUAAGGCAUGAGCUAAAUGUCGUUGAUUCAAGUAAUGUGGAUUGAAGCUAGGCAUGUUGCACCUUACUAUGCAUUCUAUCUUGUUCUAGAUGUAGGGGGAGUGUUGUUCUCUCAAUGAACUCUUCCUCCCCCAUUAUGCAUAAAUCGAUCUAGUCUUUCACUUUAGCCAUUGCCAAAUGGCACUUGUGCUUCAAAGACGAGCGUUGGUCAUGAACCCAAGGAUAAUUCUUCGCGGUGUCAUACCUUUGUCUCAAACAUAGGUGGCCUCGGCCACCGCCCCCCACCUUUCUCUCAUAAGGAAGAGAGGAUACAAAAUGACAAGUUAGUAUAUCUUGCUGGUGAUAUCUUCUUAUUCUCACUAACUUGUCAUUUGCCCACGUUCUUCUCAUCUCCUAGGUCCCGUUGUGACAUUUGCAGCGGUACUACCGCCAGGGGUAGCGGUACUACCGCCAGGACCCCAGCGGUACUACUGCUAGGGUUACCGGUACUACCGCCAGGACCCUAGUCUACCACGACCUAACUAGGACAUUUUUAGGGCUGUCUCAAGGGGGAGCGGUACUACCGCCAGGGGGAGCGGUAAUACCGCCAGGACCUCAGUGGUAGUACCACUGGCCCGUACCCCUUGGGCUAUAUAAAGGAGGGGGCCCGUUUUUUCCUGCCUAUUUCUUCUUCCUCGUGGCUCCUCCCUCCCCAACCCCGAACUCCCCCUACUUGGAUCUCUAUCCGUGGAUCCCCUUCUCUCCGUUGAGUUGGAGGGUUUGCUCCACUUCUCCUUCCUCCUCCAAGUGCCAUGGACCCCGGUAAAGCUCCUCCCUUUCUUCUCUUGGUUGAUGUUUUCUUGUUCUAGGGUUAGGAGCAUUGGUGAUUUGGAUCCAUGCCUAUGGUAUUGUGCUUUGUUCUUGGAUGACAUGAAGGAGAUUUUCGAGGGGAGUGUAGGUCCUAUGAUUCUUUGCCUUUAUAUUGCCAUGCCCUAGGAUUUUCAUGUUUUAGAUCAAGCACUCCUUCUAUUUUUGGAUUAGAUCUAAAACUUGCAUCCUCUUGACUAGGCAUGUCCUUAUUUAGAUGGUAUUUGUGAUCCUCAUGUGGUUAGGGAUGUGGUGGAGUUUUUAGUGAUUAUAUACAGUCCCAUGGCCCUCGGAAAUCCCAUGUAGCUGUCUCUAUGGGUCCUUUUCAUAUUCAGAUCUGAAAGUCAAACCCUAGCGGUACUACCGCCAAAGGUAGCGGUACUACCGCUAGGACCCCAGCGGUACUACCGCCAGGGGUAGCGGUACUACCGCCAUGACCCCAGCGGUACUACUGAACGUGAAUGCUAUGCCCCUAAUCGACUUUUGGUGUUAAUGACAACACAUACAUAGGAAACUAAUCCUAUUUGUUGAGUGUAUCUCAGGAUGGCAAGUACUUUAGUAGAUUGAGAAUUAUGUGCCAAAGGUGGUCUGAGAAGAUCGGGAUUUAUAUGUCAAGAAGGCUCGGGAUUGAGAAAAGAUGAUGUAGACUAUCCUUUUGAGUUUACUAGUCUUGAGUAUACGGAUCCCGCACUAUUAAGAGGGGAUCGCAGGUUUUGCGAUGAACUUUCUCAUGCCACAUCUUCACUAUUCUGCUCAAUACCACAUAUUCUCUACUCCGCUCCUAUCUCAAAACAGGUCUAAUGCCUCGGACUUCCGGCUCCCUCCGGACGUCCGNNNNNNNNNNNNNNNNNNNNNNNNNNNNNNNNNNNNNNNNNNNNNNNNNNNNNNNNNNNNNNNNNNNNNNNNNNNNNNNNNNNNNNNNNNNNNNNNNNNNNNNNNNNNNNNNNNNNNNNNNNNNNNNNNNNNNNNNNNNNNNNNNNNNNNNNNNNNNNNNNNNNNNNNNNNNNNNNNNNNNNNNNNNNNNNNNNNNNNNNNNNNNNNNNNNNNNNNNNNNNNNNNNNNNNNNNNNNNNNNNNNNNNNNNNNNNNNNNNNNNNNNNNNNNNNNNNNNNNNNNNNNNNNNNNNNNNNNNNNNNNNNNNNNNNNNNNNNNNNNNNNNNNNNNNNNNNNNNNNNNNNNNNNNNNNNNNNNNNNNNNNNNNNNNNNNNNNNNNNNNNNNNNNNNNNNNNNNNNNNNNNNNNNNNNNNNNNNNNNNNNNNNNNNNNNNNNNNNNNNNNNNNNNNNNNNNNNNNNNNNNNNNNCCCACUUCGUGAGAGGGUGUUCAACACAGCUAGAACACAUCCAAGAACACCCUUCUUCUCACUCACUCUUGUCUACACCAAAUCUUAGACCCCAAGAGCAUUUGUGAGUCCCUUUGAGUGUUGUUCCAAUCAAAAGAUAGAUCGUCUCCUUCUCCUCCUUCCCACCAAAGUGAUUUGUGAUUUGAGCAAGUUUUGAGCAAUCCCCGUGAUAUUGUUACUCUUGGAGGUUGGAGACUCCUAGGCGGUAGGAGUCUUCGGAGAGGAAUCAAACCAUUGUGAUUUCCCCCGGAAAGUUUGUGAAGGUUUGGAAGCCACCUCAAGGCUUACCACUAGUGGUUGAGAAACGCCUUCGUGGAGUUAUCUCAAAGGGAGAAUAGGGUGAGCCUUCGUGGCGUUGGUGUGCCUUCGUGGUAACAUCCGCCCCUCUAACGGUGACGUAGCUUCCCUCCAAGGAAGUGACCAUCGGGAUACAUCCUCGUCUCUCUUGGAGUUUCGGUUAUUCCUAACCCUAACUCUCUACUUGUGUUAAUCCUUAUUACGUACUUGUAUUUGAUUAUUGUUUACCGCUUGCCUUACUUCACUCUAAAUAGCUUACUCCUUGUCAUAGCAAUUAUUAGGCCUACANNNNNNNNNNNNNNNNNNNNNNNNNNNNNNNNNNNNNNNNNNNNNNNNNNNNNNNNNNNNNNNNNNNNNNNNNNNNNNNNNNNNNNNNNNNNNNNNNNNNNNNNNNNNNNNNNNNNNNNNNNNNNNNNNNNNNNNNNNNNNNNNNNNNNNNNNNNNNNNNNNNNNNNNNNNNNNNNNNNNNNNNNNNNNNNNNNNNNNNNNNNNNNNNNNNNNNNNNNNNNNNNNNNNNNNNNNNNNNNNNNNNNNNNNNNNNNNNNNNNNNNNNNNNNNNNNNNNNNNNNNNNNNNNNNNNNNNNNNNNNNNNNNNNGAAGUCAAGUCUUUCACCUCUGAGGACCUGGAACGGGCCCUUGCCAAGCAAAAAGAGGAGCAUGAUGCUUCUCUUGAGGCCUUGGUCCAAAUAAGACUGGCAUCAUUAACCACGGGGACAACCACGUCCCCGAGGGCCUCAGGGCCACAUGUGCACGGUUCUUCAUUUGGCCAACAACCUCCGGAAAGGAACCAAACCAGUGUUCCAUGGCUUUAUGCUAGAUCUCAAAUUGAGAAACCUAAGUACAAUCGUGGAGGAAAACCUCCCUUGAUUGAUGACGAUUCCAAUUUUGCUUUGUGGAGAGUUGGUAUGCAGGAUCAUCUUAGGUACGCCAAUGAUGAGAUGUUGGACAUCCUCGAGCAUGGGUACAAUCCUGUAGAUCCAAGGUGCCUCACUCCNGCAAUUAUUAGGCCUACAGUCAUAUUCCGCACUUUUGCCUAAAAUUGCUAAGUAAUUAUUAAAAUUUGGAACUGUACCUAUUCACCCCCCCCCUCUAGGUCCACCUCGAUCCUUUUCAAUUGGUAUCAGAGCCUCGUGCUCUAUUCUUGUGGCUUAACCGCCCUAGAGCGAGAUGGACGGGAUUCCAACUACGGUAGCUCCAGUGGAGAGAGACGGGACUUCCACAGAAGUCAAGUCUUUCACCNNNNNNNNNNNNNNNNNNNNNNNNNNNNNNNNNNNNNNNNNNNNNNNNNNNNNNNNNNNNNNNNNNNNNNNNNNNNNNNNNNNNNNNNNNNNNNNNNNNNNNNNNNNNNNNNNNNNNNNNNNNNNNNNNNNNNNNNNNNNNNNNNNNNNNNNNNNNNNNNNNNNNNNNNNNNNNNNNNNNNNNNNNNNNNNNNNNNNNNNNNNNNNNNNNNNNNNNNNNNNNNNNNNNNNNNNNNNNNNNNNNNNNNNNNNNNNNNNNNNNNNNNNNNNNNNNNNNNNNNNNNNNNNNNNNNNNNNNNNNNNNNNNNNNNNNNNNNNNNNNNNNNNNNNNNNNNNNNNNNNNNNNNNNNNNNNNNUCCAAGGUGCCUCACUCCCAGAGAAACUUAUGACAAGCAUCUCAAUGACACUGCGAUCAUGUGCAUAAGAAAAGGAAUGAAUGACAAGCAACGAAGACCUUACAUUCACAUCACAAGUGCCAAGGAACCGUGGGAUAGCAUUAUAAGGACCAAGACCGGUACCUCGACUCUUUGGCUUUCUCAAUAUGAAAUUGCCAAGGGGCAAUUACAGAAUUUCUGUAUGGAAAAGGGUGAAUCUCCCAAGCAACUGCUAGAACGGCUCAUGACUCUCGCCGCAGACAUUGAGUCAUGUGACUGUGACAAGACGCAAGAUGGUUUCAAUCUGACCAAGAGAUUUCUCGUGGACAAGUUACUUCAUGCUCUUGCUCCGUACCACCAUCAAAUGGUAUGGGCAUGAGGCAGCACCAUGGGUUCAAAAAAAUGACUCCAGACUACAUCAUAUCCACUUCCCAAUUAUUUGAAGAGUCAAAGGAAAAUGCAAUAAAGCACCUUGCCAUGCAUGGCACUUCAACAUCAAAGAUCAAUCUUGCUUUGAAAGCCAAGCAUGAAUGUGAUGAAGAAGAAAGUGAAGAAGAAGAGGGUGAUGAUGACUGUGAAGAUGGUGAUGAUGUUGACUCUGAUGAAAGCCCAUCUUAUGAGGACAUUGCUCUCUUUGUAAAGAAGUUCAGUGCAGGAAAAUUCAAGGGAAGAUUCCCAAAGAAGAAGGUAAGGAAAUGCUAUAACUGUGAGGAAACCAACCACUUCUCCAAUGACUGCCCUUAUGAGAAGAGAUAAGAUAAACCAAGGUUUCCGAAGACCUUUGUAAAGAAGAAGUUGCCAAACCCUAUGAACUCCAAGCUCAAGAGAACUGAUGGAAGGGCAAUGGUUGCACAAGAAGAAUCAGAUCCAGAAGACGUUGGUGGGGUUGCUGGAGUAGCUCAGGAUACACAAAACACCUUGAGGCUAGUCAACAAAAGUGGCUAUGUUGUUCACUACAACUAUAUGAAAGACUACAAGGGCAACGCCCACAAGUGUUUGAUGGCAAAGACUGCCAUGGGAGAUGAGGAAGACCAAAGCUCCCAUGAUAAGGUUAAGGUAAAUCCACGGUUAAACUCUUUCAGUCUAGCUUCUACCUCUCCUGAUGAGUAUCUUGAUGUGGAAGAUCACUAUGAGGAUAAUGACUUAGAUCAUCCCAUGUUUGCCAAAAUAAACAAAUUUAUGUGCUCUCUUAAAGGAAAGAAGCUCACUAUGUUUCGCAUACUUAUGGAAAUGGUGAGUAAGCACACCAAUACCAUCAAGGAACUCGAAACCCUCGUCACUGAGGAGAAGGAAAGAAAUGAAAUCCUUGAGCAGAAAGUCCUGUAUGAGGAAGCACAAAAUGAUGCAUUAUGCUCAAAAGUUGGUGAAAACCUUGAUAAACAUGCUAAUGAUCUUGCCUCCUUGAAAAAGGCUGAAUCUGUGUGCAAAGAGUUACUAAAUGAUAAAAACCGACUAGUGAACUCUCAUGCUUCCCUUUCUAAGGAUGUGAGCGUCUAUCCUUGUCUCUCAAAGACAAGGAAGAGAAACUCACUGUUCUUACAAAGAGCUUUGAGGCACUCAAGGUUACUUAUCUUGACACUCUAGCUAAAGCUUACUCCUCACCUAUUAUUAAUGUUGAUACCUGCACUACUAACUCUAGUAGUGAACUGACAUCUAUCCUUGAGGGAAACUGUUUGCUAAAGGCACAGCUAGACAGAGGUCUUAUGACAUGUGCACAAGGACAAAAGACUCUCAAUGAGAUCUUAAGUCAACACAAUGGAGGCCUUGCCAAGGAAGGACUUGGGUUCAAUCCAAGCACCGCCAAGAAAAGUGCAUCUCCUCUCAAGUGUACCACUCCGCUUAAAGAAAUAUUUGUACGAGAGGGACACAAGGAGAAAGGUAAGGUUGCGAGUGGGUCGGCCACUAGGGGUUCGCCUACUUACAACAAGACAACUGAAUUCAUGCCUCCAUCCUAUGUACUUCGCAAAUCAAAGGAAGGAGAGGUUUAUGCUGAAUUCGUUGGUCCCCGUAAUGCAUUCCGAUUUUAUGCUAUUUGGGUCCCUAAGACUCUUGUAACUAAUGUGAAAGGCCCCAUGACGAAAUGGGUACCUCAAACCAAGUCUUAAUUCGUUACAGGCUGUUUUCUCUGGAGGAGCCAAAUGGGUGAUCGACAGUGGAUGCACCAAUCAUAUGACCGGAGAUAGUAACUUGCUCUAUGACUUCAUGCAAGCCAUUCGACCAUACAUGAGCAUUGUAUUUGGUGGAGGGUCAAAAGGGCAGGUAAUUGGGUUGGGCAAGGUGGCAAUCACUAAUGACAUGUCUAUUGCAAGUGUCAUGCUUGUCCAAUCUCUUCAAUAUCAUUUACUUUCAGUUUGCCAAUUGGCUUCCGUUGGUUAUGACACAUUAUUCAGACUAACGGAUGUGAAAGUCUUUAAGAGAGACACUCUCGAAGUGGCCUUUGUUGGAGAGUUGGAUGGCAACCUUUACACGGUUGAUUUCUCGAAAGAGAGCACCUUCCAUACAACUUGUCUAAUGGCCAAGGCCGACAUGGGAUGGUUGUGGCAUCGCCGGCUCGCCCAUGUCGGCAUGAGAAAUCUUCAAAAUCUCUUAAACGACAAUAACAUCCUUGGACUAACAAAUGUAUCUUUUAAGAAAGAUCGUGUGUGCAGUGCAUGCAUAGCUGGGAAACAACAUCAAUCAAAACAUCCACCCAAGAACAUUGUAUCCACUUCAAGGCCAUUAGAGCUCCUUCAUGUGGAUCUGUUUGGGCCUCCUUCAUGGGCAAGUCUUGGAGGGAAAAAGUAUGGCCUAGUCAUUGUUGAUGAUUACUCAAGAUAUACAUGGGUGUUCUUUCUCAAGUCCAAGGACGAGACGAAGAUCACCUUCAUUGAUUUUGCCAAACAAGCCCAGCGGAAGUUUGACAAGGACAUCAAGGCAAUAAGAAGUGAUAAUGGCUCUGAGUUCAAGAACUACACCCUAGAAGAAUUUCUUAGUGAUGAGGGAAUUGAACAUCAGUACUCCGCACCUUACACCCCUCAGCAAAAUGGUGUGGUAGAGAGGAAGAACCGGACACUUGUGGAAAUGGCAAGGUCCAUGUUAGACGAAUACAAGUCACCACAUAGUUUUUGGGCUGAGGCCGUCAACACAACAUGUCCUGCAUCAAACCGGCUCUUCCUUCGAUCAAUAUUGGAGAAGACUCCAUAUGAGCUCCUAACUGGGAACAAGCCCAAUGUUAAGUACUUUCGUGUGUUUGGAUGCAAGUGUUUCAUCCUCAACAAACAGGAACGGUUAGGAAAAUUUCAAUCCAAAACAAAUGAAGGGAUUUUUGUUGGCUAUGGAUCAAACUCUCACGCCUACAGAGUCUACAACAAAUCCACUGGAUGUGUUAUAGAAACCUGUGACGUGACGUUUGAUGAAUUUAACCGCUCCCAUGGGGAGCAAGUUGAUCUAAGUGACGCAGGUGAAGAAGACUCCUCACAAGAUAUCUUGAACAUGGGUGUAGGUGCACUUCUUCCCAUGGAACAAAGACCCCAUGAUGCUGAUGAAGAUGAUGAGAGUAUUUCUCAUCCUUAAGACAGUUCACUGCCCGUACCUCCACAAGAUACUAGCACACAUAUCAUGCCAGUUGUUGAGGAUCAAGUGGGAGAACAUGUCUCUCAAUCUGAUCACACUCAAGAACAAGUUGAUCUUCAAGAGCUAGACCAAAGUAUGGAUAUGCUUGAUGAUGAACCUCAACAGGUGCAACGCGAAGAGGAAUAUCUUCCUCUGCACAUAAAUGAUCCAUAUGUUGAGGACGUUGAUGAUGGAAACGAAGUCGAACCUCGUGAAACCCUGACCUCCAUCAUGCCACGUGUGGCCGGUCGUGUUGAUAUUGAUCGAAUCCUCACCGGCGUGUCGGAAGGUAGAGUGACUCGUAAACAAUUAACAAACUUUUGUGCUCACUUUUCGUUUGUCUCUAGUACCGUGCCACACAGGGUUCAGGAUGCAUUGUGUGACAAUGACUGGCUCCUUGCUAUGCAAGAAGAGUUAAACAGUUUUACACGCAACGAAGUAUGGUCAUUGGUAGAACGACCAACUGAGGAACAUAAUGUCAUUGGAACUAAAUGGAUUUUCAAGAACAAGGAAGAUGAGAAUGGGACUGUCCUACGCAAUAAGGCAAGGUUAGUAGCACAAGGGUACUCCCAAGUUGAAGGUUUGGACUUUGGUGAGACUUUCGCCCCUGUUGCUCGUCUUGAAUCCAUUCGCAUUUUAUUGGCCUAUGCUGCUUUCAAUGGUUUUACUUUGCAUCAAAUGGAUGUGAAAAGUGCUUUUCUUAAUGGUCCUCUACAAUAAGAGGUAUAUGUAUCACAACCACCUGGGUUUGUUGACCCUCACCACAAAGACCAUGUAUACAAACUUCACAAGGCUCUGUAUGGCCUCAAACAAGCACCCCGUGCUUGGUACGAUCAUCUUAAGAAGUUCCUACUCGAUGAUGGCUUUGUGGUGGGGGUGAUCGAUCCCACUCUUUUUAAUAAGAGGGAAAAUGGUGACUUGAUCUUAUGCCAAAUCUAUGUAGAUGACAUCAUUUUUGGUUAUCCUAACAUCCAUUUAUGCAAGAAGUUUGCGGCCUCCAUGACCAAGACCUUUGAGAUGUCACUCAACACGGACUUGAAGUUCUUUCUUGGGUUUCAAAUACAACAAUUUCAAGAAGGGAUUUUCUUGUCUCAAACUAAGUACCUCAAGGACAUUCUUGAAAAAUUUGAUAUGACAAAUGCUAAACCAAUGAAGACACCCAUGGCCACAGAUGUAGUUCUAAAUGAAGACACCAACGGUAUUCCUUUUGACCCAUCUACUUACCGCUCCAUGAUUGGUUUGCUACUUUAUCUUUGCGCAUCUAGACCGGACAUCAUGUUAAGUGUAGGCAUAUGUGAUAGAUUUCAAGCUUCCCCUAGGGAAAGCCAUCAUACGGCGGUUAAGCAUAUUCUUAGAUACCUUGUUCACACCCCAAAGUUAGGCUUAUGGUACCCUAAGGAUGCAAAGUUCGAUCUUGUUGGGUACUCCGAUGUGGAUUGGGCCGGUGACAAAGUGGGACGGAAAUCCACUUCCGGUGCAUGUCAGUUUCUUGGACGCUCCUUGGUAAGUUGGUCCUCGAAAAAGCAGAACUGUGUUUCUCUCUCCACGACCGAGGCCGAAUAUAUUGCAGCCGCAAGCUGUGCAACCCAACUGCUAUGGAUGAGGCAAACCCUAAAGGAUUAUGGUAUCACGUAUCGACACGUUCCUCUUCUUUGUGAUAAUGAAAGUGCCAUAAAGAUCUCCGAGAACCCCAUUGAUCACCCUCGCACAAAACAUAUUGAUAUUAGGUAUCAUUUCUUGAGAGACCAUGUGCAAAAGGGUGACAUUGAUAUUACCCAUGUGGGUACCGACAUGCAGCUCGCCGACAUUUUCACCAAGCCACUUAGCGUAGCUAGGUUCUGUCAACUUAGGCGUGAACUUGGUAUCUUGGAGCUUGAUGACAUAACUUGAAACCUUACACACAUACACACACUCACAUUAUGUUUGUGUCUUGAUGUGGGCUUGCAUUUAGGGGGAGUGGGUCAUAAUUUUGUGUUUUGAGCUUACAAAGUAUGCAUAAAUCAACUUCUGUCCACAAGUAGUAUAUGUAAUGCUUGUAGGCAACAAUGUUCGUGCUCUUUGUGAGAAACCAUGAAAAAUCAUCAUCUCAUCAUCAAAAAUUCCAGACUCAGCCUCUGCCUCCUCCUCUCUCUCGGUCGUCCGGCGGCUAACCUCAUUCCGGACGUCCGACCAGUGUCGGUCGUCCGACACAUCGGGGCCUAUAAAUAGAUGGGCGCGGGGCUGGGCUUUGCCCUAGCCCUCACGCGCCCCCUUUUCCCCAGCAGUCGCCGUCGCCAGCACCAGGAGCGCUCGCCCGCACCGCCACCCCAGAGAUCUGCCUGAUCUCCUCCGCGGAUCCUUCUCUUCUUCCUCUUCUUCCUCCGCGGGAUCCAUUUGCAGGUAUCUCCUCCGUACUUCUAUGAUGAUCUAUGGAUUGCUAUGAUAUCAUCAUAGGCUAUUAUGUUUUGCUCCACUACUUCUAUGAUGAUCUAUUGUCUUUCUAUGAUGAUUUAUUAUCUUUACAUGAUGAUCCAUUAUAUGUUCGAUACACACAUAAAGAGGGAGCUCCGAUAUUUUAUCAUGCACAUACUAAGGGGGAGCUCCAUACUAAAUCUCUCCAAGGCUAUAAUGUAUGUUAGAUCUUUUUGAGACCUAUGUAUAUGUUGUCAUCAACUACCAAAAAGGGGGAGAUUGAAAGUGCAUGCUAUGCCCCUAAUCGNNNNNNNNNNNNNNNNNNNNNNNNNNNNNNNNNNNNNNNNNNNNNNNNNNNNNNNNNNNNNNNNNNNNNNNNNNNNNNNNNNNNNNNNNNNNNNNNNNNNNNNNNNNNNNNNNNNNNNNNNNNNNNNNNNNNNNNNNNNNNNNNNNNNNNNNNNNNNNNNNNNNNNNNGCAAUUAUUAGGCCUACACUCAUAUUCCGCACUUUUGCCUAAAAUUGCUAAGUAAUUAUUAAAAUUUGGAACUGUACCUAUUCACCCCCCCUCUAGGUCCAUCUCGAUCCUUUUCAAUUGGUAUCAGGGCCUCGUGCUCUAUUCUUGUGGCUUAACCGCCCUAGAGCGAGAUGGACGGGAUUCCAACUACGGUAGCUCCAGUGGAGAGGGACGGGACUUCCACGGAAGUCAAGUCUUUCACCNNNNNNNNNNNNNNNNNNNNNNNNNNNNNNNNNNNNNNNNNNNNNNNNNNNNNNNNNNNNNNNNNNNNNNNNNNNNNNNNNNNNNNNNNNNNNNNNNNNNNNNNNNNNNNNNNNNNNNNNNNNNNNNNNNNNNNNNNNNNNNNNNNNNNNNNNNNNNNNNNNNNNNNNNNNNNNNNNNNNNNNNNNNNNNNNNNNNNNNNNNNNNNNNNNNNNNNNNNNNNNNNNNNNNNNNNNNNNNNNNNNNNNNNNNNNNNNNNNNNNNNNNNNNNNNNNNNNNNNNNNNNNNNNNNNNNNNNNNNNNNNNNNNNNNNNNNNNNNNNNNNNNNNNNNNNNNNNNNNNNNNNNNNNNNNNNNNNNNNNNNNNNNNNNNNNNNNNUCCAAGGUGCCUCACUCCUAGAGAAACUUAUGACAAGCAUCUCAAUGACACUGCGAUCAUGUGCAUAAGAAAAGGAAUGAAUAACAAGCAAUGGAGACCUUACAUUCACAUCGCAAGUGCCAAGGAACUGUGGGAUAGCGGUACUACCGCCAGGGGUAGCGGUACUACCGUCAGGAGGAUAUUCUGUCUCUUCUUUUCAUUUGCUUGGCAAUGUGUGUUUACUUUUAUGCCUCUUCUUGCUCAUUGCCGCGACUCCUUCUGUCGCUCUUUUUCGGUGUGUGUUUUGUGUCACAGGUGGUGCUCGCCGCUCGAACCCCCCACGGGACAAACAGUCAAAGCAUUACCGAAAUCCAGAGGCUCCAAAGGGCUCCGCCACUUCAGGUCUGCAACCCAAAAAGAAAUCCUUCAAGAAGGCCGCUCACAGAGACAAGGGGGUCAAUGUUCGCACUAUGCCCCCUAAGGAUUUUCUGCGGUUCCGCACCAAAAAUCACUAUCUCCAAGAAUAGGCUGUGAUCAGGAAUGUCGAGCAUGUUUGGGCAACGGAUCACUGCAUGAUCUAUCGUGACAUCAUCAAGCAUUUCAAGAAGAGUUUUGUUCCAGUUCAGUGGAUUGAAUUGGCUCACCUUCAGCGGAACGUGGAUUACUUUGGUGACGCUCUCUCUCUGAUUGACAAGCUGGGCAUUAAGGAGAUCAUCUCCUUCAAGAAAGACUUUGAUCCAAAUGUUGUUGCCCAGUUCUAUGUCAUGGUUCACUUCUCGCCUGAUGACGAGCGCUCCCUGGUUUGGAUGACUGGGACUAGAAGAUGACAGGUUCCUGGCGUGAAUUCAUGGCAUUUCUCAAGAUUGGUUUUCAGGGAGCUGACACUCCACUUGGGUCGCGUCCUCAUGCUGCAGCUUCCACUGAUAGGCCCCCCACCAAGGACAGGUUGCAGCAACUCUAUGUGAAGAAAGGUGUGCUCCCCAGGCAUCUGGAUAUCAUGCAUCGGAUCUUUCGCAACACCCUCUUCCCUCGCAUUGGCAACUUCGACGAGGUACACGGUUCUCUGGCUGAGAUGCUUCUGCUUUGUGAGGAGGCUAUGACUAAGGAGUCUGCCCCUCUCGAUAUUUCUGACGUCAUGUUCACUGAGCUCUGGAACUGCAUCAUGAUGCGCAAGGUUCCCAUCUACGGCCCCUACUUGUUUGCCUAUAUUCGCCAGAAGUGGCAAGACACUUAUCCGCUUGAGGAGUUUCACCUUCAGGCCGAUUACUUUGUGCAUGAUCCUAUCAAGCUCCGCAUCAAGGACAAAUGGGCCAACCCAUCAACUUCUUCGCAGCACAUGGACACUGACUCAGAGACUGCUACUGACAGAGGCACCGCUUCCCAGUCCCGCUCUUCUGCUAUGCCAUCUUGGGCCGUGAAACUACAGGAUAAAAUGAAGACUCUCUUCUGUAUGCAGGCUAAGAGACAGUAUCAAACUCAUGUGGCCCAGAAGGAGAACCGUCAGAGGCACAAGCGUGUCCUGAGGACACUUGAUGUUGAGAUCUCCAGCGGCUCAGAGGACGACAUCACUCCAGAGUCGGCUUGGAUGCGGGCUCAAGGUUAUCAGUGGUCUGAUGCCGAGGAGGAGGAGGACAAUGAGGAGGAGCAGGACGAUCCGGAUGCUACGGACGAGUCUGGGGAUGAUGAGGAUGAGGAGUGACCACCUGUGUCGUUAGGUGUGCCCCUUUUUGGUGUCUUGUGCAAAAGGGGGAGAGAGCCUAGGAGCUGGAUUUGAGAGUUGAACUUUGCUUAGCUUUGCUUAUCUUUCGUGUUUGCUUUGAACUUGGUUUGCUUCUAUUUUGCCAUAUUUGCUUUGUGUGACGUGAGACAUGAACUAGUGUGAGAUUUAUUUCCAUCAUAUGUUGUGAGUCAUAUGCUCCUUAUUUUCAUAUAUCUCUAUCUUUUUGUUCACAUGUUAUUCACUGUGCAAAUCCGGUAUUGUCAUCAAUCCACCAAAAAGGGGGAGAUUGUUAGGGCAUAGUUUAUGCCUAAGUAAUUUUGGUGAUUGAUGACAGUACCGUAAAGGACUAACCGUGUGUGCUAAGAUUUCAGAUAACACACGUCAACGGCACAAGACGACUCGCCCCCUCUUUCAUGGAACAGAAGCACGGUGUACUCUACGAUUCUCUUUAUUUGAGUCAUAGGAACGCCGUACUAUUAAGAGGGGAACCGUAGUGGAAAGGUUUGGGUGGAAUCAAUUUUGCACGCGCACACUUCAUCUCCUUUCCCCCUUGCCGACAACUUUGGAGUGGUUCCCGCCUUUGUGUUUCUCUCUUCUUUGCAAAUGGUUCCUCAGCGGUAGUACCGCUAGCCCUAGCGGUAGUACCGCUGGAGUGCUAGCGGUAGUAUCGCUGCAGCCAGCGGUAGUACCGCUAGCUGGCGGUAGUACCGCUCCAGGAGCUUAGUACCGCUAGCUGGCGGUAGUACCGCUCCNNNNNNNNNNNNNNNNNNNNNNNNNNNNNNNNNNNNNNNNNNNNNNNNNNNNNNNNNNNNNNNNNNNNNNNNNNNNNNNNNNNNNNNNNNNNNNNNNGUGGUUGGCCCGGUAGUGUUUAUGCACUACCAUGGGCCCAACGGUAGUACCGCUGGAGUGCGAGCGGUAGUACCGCUGCAGCCAGCGGUAGUACCGCUGGAGUGCCAGCGGUAGUACCGUUGCAUCGAGUGGUAGUACCGCUAGGCACGGGCUGUGAGUGGGAAAACGGUUGGAUUCCCCCCCCCACUAUAUAAGGGGUUCUUCUAGCUGUGGAACCUCAUCUCUUACCCUCCCAAGCUCCAUUGUUGCUCCCUAAGCUCAAAAGUGCGCGAUCUCUCUCCCUAGCCAAUCAAACUUGUUGAUUCUUUAGGGAUUGGUUGAGAAGGCCUAGAUCUACACUUCCACCAAGAGAAAAGUUGAUUCACCCACCAAUCCCUUGCGGAUCUUGUUACUCUUGGGUGUUUGAGUAUCCUAGACGGUUGAGGUCACCUCGAAGCCACAUUCCAUUGCGGUGAAGAUUCGUGGUCUUGUUGGGAGCCUCCAAGCUUUGUGUGGAGUUUGCCCCAACCUCGUUUGUAAAGGUUCGGUCGCCGCCUUCAAGGGCACCUAUAGUGGAAUCACGGUACCUUGCAUCGUGCGAGGGCGUGAGGAGAAUACAGUGGCCUUAGUGGCUUAUUGGGGAGCAUUGUGCCUCCACACCGCUCCAACGGAGACGUACUUCCUGUCAAAGGGAAGGAACUUCGGUAACACAUCCUCGUCUUCAUUGGUUCCACUUGUGGUUAUCUCUAACAUUUACUUUGUGAAUGCUUAUAUUGUUGUCUAUCUCUUACUUGUCUUAGUAGCUCUUGUUGUUAGCUUCAUUACGGUUCACCCCAUUGUUGUUAUAUUUGUGAACCCGUAUGUUGUUUACCCUAACUUGCUAAGAUUAAUUAAAAAGUGGUCGUUGCCUAUUCACCCCCCCUCUAGUCAACCAUAUCGAGCCUUUCACCUGUGCCGCGACGCAGGAGAACAGAAUGUGAGAUCCAGUCUCCGGGACAUGGCACAAGGGACAGAUGCCGUUACGCGGACCAUGGCGUUUCAGCACCUCGGUCCCUGAAGGUAAAUGGUCUCGGAGAAGCUGCCAAACAAAAAUCUUAAUCUUCAAGGGCAACGGUGCCUUCCAGAGUGGGGAUAACCACGGGAGGACCGGCAUCCUGCACAACGCCAGGUAGGCCGAACUAACGGAGAAUUCUCUUGAGGGAGAAAGACUCCAAAAAACACUAUCGCUGACCGACGAGACCGGGAGGGGAACCACUGAAAGUAAUAAUUCCCAAUCCUGGACCUGAGCUGAACCGAGGGGACGGCGGAACGAAACAUGCCAUCUGUCCUCCAAAGCAGACAGAGAGACAAGGACAGCAGGGUCAUUGCAAAUAGCAAAGAGCCUCGAAAAACGAAAGCGUAAAGGCUCCCCAUCCAACCAGGGAUCUAACCAAAACUGGGUCCCAGACCCAUUGCCCACCGAGACCCGUAGACCCAACCUAAUAUCGUGCUUGAUGCGCUAGAUAGAUUUUUAGAACCGCGACCCAUUUGCGAGCGAGCAGGCCAAGAGGGGUCUGCCUCGAAGGUACUUGGCCUCAAUCAAUUGAAGCCACAAACCCUCGUCUCCCUGCAGGAUCUGCCACACCCAGCGGAGCAUCAGAGCCACGUUCAUGCGGCGGGACGCAGGUAUGCCCAAGCCCCCUCGGUCUUUUGGCACGCAGAUGUCGGCCCAUUUCACCAUGUGAUACUUGGGUCUACCAUUCCCUGCCUGCCAGAAGAAUCUAGCCAGCUCCUUGUCAAAGGCGUUGUGCACACCUUCGGGCAAGAUAUACAUCCCCAUCAUAUACAUGGGGAGGCUCGCAAGGUUAGAGCUAAUGAGAAUGGAUUUGCUUCCUUUAGACGUGAACCUGCCGCACCAGGGCUCUGCACGGGACGCUACUCGUCCUACAAGUUGAUCAAACCCGCUAACCAGAAUCCUGGACUCAGCCAGGGGCAUCCCCAAAUACGAGAUGGGGAAAGCAGCCAGCUUGCAGUUAAGGUUGUCCGCGAUCCUGUGCUGCUUAGCCUCGGAGUAGCCCAGGACAACCACCUCACUCUUAUCAAAGUUAAUCUUAAGUCCAGACAUUUCCUCGAAGCAGAGCAAAAGGAACUUAAGAUUAACAAUGUCCGAGUCCGAGCCUGAGACCAUGAUCAUGGUGUCGUCCGCAUAUUGGAGGUGGGAAACCCCACCACCCGGGAUGAGGUGGCCAACCACCCCUUGGAUAUGACCAGCUAGCUUUGCCUUAUCCAGGAUGCCAGCGAGGGCGUCAAGAGCGAGAUUAAAAAGCAGGGGGAAAAUUUGUAUUGCUUCAGGGCAACUGUUUGAGAUACCGUUGAAUAAUUUGAGGGUAAUGAUAGGUAAAUGUGAGGCGGUUUGUACGAAGAAAUUGGAAUGCUCCUUCUUUUUUAUAUGUAAAUUUGUAUGGUCGCCGCGGAGUAUUGAACAAUUCGAAGGUAGUGAUAGGUACAAAGAAGGUGGAUUUUACCGAAAAUUGGAGGCACUCCCCCUGUUUCUAGUUACCAAGCGUAUAGGUUUUGUUACACAUGCUUCGAGUAGAAAAUCAUAACCGUAAACAAAUACUUUGAAAUGCGAAACUAAUAACCUCAAACUUAUUCCCUGUAUUAAUAGAGCAUAGUUGUCGAUUAAAUGCUUGUCCUAACGGAGCUUAAUCUUUUAUCUUUUAUUCUUAAAUAGCUAGAACUUACUAUCUAUUUUUUUCUCCAUGCAACAAUGCCACAUCAUCAAGUCAUGCAUGUAGUCAUACGUUAUUUUUUCAUUAAUAUUUUCAUGCAAAACAUACCAUCAUGCAUGAAAAAAAAAUCUAGGUAAUUAAGCAAGACAUUUUUGUAAUGGUUUUUGCAUUAACAUUAGUUUUCUAACAUUUAUCCAUAUAUUUUUUAACAAGUUUUCUGUAGCAACGCAUGGGGCAUCGUCUAGUAUGUUAAGUACUUUAAAAUGGAAGGAGUAUGUAUACACUUCAAGGACAUGAUUGUGCCUUUCUUGCUCUCCAUCUAGUGUCUUCUGCCUGUUUUAUAUCCAUCUUCAACUUUGGCAUCAUAAAUAUGGGUGAGUGGUAAGAAAAAUCGUACUCCAGUGCACACACAAAUAAGCAGUAGUAAAUUUAAAUUGUUUGAAUCAUAAACUCUUAAAUCAAAUUUUAACUUCAUUAACAUAUCUACAUUUAUCACAGCCUCUCUAGAACAACCAACAACUUUCAGCUUUUGGAUUGAUUAUUUCGAAAGGUAGAAAUGCAAACUUUUAGAUCACUAGUCUAACUUCUAAUUCAGACAAAAAUCACCAUUUCAAGUUGAAUGUAUUGCACUUGGUAAAACUCGUGGCAGCAUGUAAAUUCAUUCCAGAUCUAAUGCACACAUCUCUAAAUUACAUAGAACAACUCGACACUAACAUAGAAGAAAUGAAAGCGCGCAUAAUCGACCAAAGGGGGUAAAUGGAUGAUUUUACCAAAAAGUUGAAUGAAGGAAGAAACAAAACUAUAGUAAUAUGAAUAAUAACUUGAGAAAACUAAGACUAAGCUAUGCAUACAAUCAAUGAUAUGACAACACGAGAAAGCAUGCAUACAAGAUAGCAGCACUACAAGUAGAUUAGCAUAGACAAGCAAACACACUUAGGUAUUGCAAGAUUGAGGACAAAUCAGAACAUGGCAUACACUGCAGAAGUGGAAAGUCUUCAAGCAAAGUCUUUGGAAGGGGAGCAUACAAAGUCUUCACAAAGUAAGAACUGAAAGUAAGAGUGAAAAAUAAAACCAGUUGCUCAAUGAAGACAAUGCACUUGUUUGACUAGUUUAACUUGUUGUGACAACUGCACGUCUCAUUGGAGAUGAUGAGAUUUAACUCAGAAGAUCAAGUCUUCACCUUAUCAUCCUUGAGCUAAAGUCACUUAGACCUCACCUAAUCACUCUGGUAAGUCUUCAAGGAGGACUUCCAAAACCUUCACAUACUCGUUCAUCGGUGAUCCAUACACUACUAGGAAAUAGCUUAUAGAUAGAAUAUUACCAGUAACGUCUGUUAGGUAACAGACUAUUGGAAAUAUGCCCCAGAGGCAGUAAUAAAUUGGUUAUUAUUAUAUUUUCUUGUUCAUGAUAAUCGUUUAUUAUCCAUGCUAGAAUUGUAUUGAUUGGAAACUCAAAUACAUGUGUGGAUACAUGGACAACACCCUCUCACUAGUGAGCCUCUGAAGGACUAGCUCGUUGAUCAAAGAUGGUCAAGGUUUCCUGGCCAUAGACAUGAGAUGUCGUUUCAUAACCGGAUCACAUUAUUAGGAGAAUCAUGGGAUGGACAAGACCCAAACUAUGAACGUAGAAUAUGACCGUGUCAGUUUAUUGCUACUAUUUUUUGCAUGUCAAAGUAUUUGUUCCUAUGAUCAUGAGAUCAUGCAACUCCCGAACACCGGAGGAAUACCUUGUGUGUAUCAAACGUCACAACACAACUGGGUGGUGUCUGUUGAGUUGGCAUGGAUCAAGACUGGGAUUUGUCACUCCGUGUGAUGGAGAGGUAUCUCAGGGCCCACUCGGUAAUGCAGCAUCACAACAAACCUUGCAAACAAUGUGACUAAAGAGUUAAUCACGGGAUUUUGUAUUACGGAACGAGUAAAGAGACUUGCUUGUAACGAUAUUGAACUAGGUAUAGAGAUAUCGACGAUCGAAUCUCGGACAACUAACAUACCGAUGGACAAAGGGAAUAUUAUAUGGGAUUAACUGAAUCCUUGACAUAGAGGUUCGAUCAAUAAAGAUCUUAGUACAAUAUGUAGGAGCCAAUAUGGGCAUCUAGGUCCCACUAUUGGUUAUUGACCGGAGAGUGUAUCGGUCAUGUCUUCAUAGUUCUCGAACCCGUAGGUCCGCACACUUAAGGUUCGGUGACGUUUCGGUAUAGUUGAGUUAUGUAUGUUGGUGACCGAAGGUUGUUCGGAGUCCCAGAUGAGAUCUCGAACGUCAGGAGGAGUUCCAGAAUGGUCCGGAGAUGAAGAUUGAUAUAUAGGAAGAGGGUAUUUGGACUCCGAAAUGGUUUCGGGCAUUUCCGGUAGUGUACCGAGAAUGACGAAUGGGUUUCGGAGGUCCAACAGGAGAAGUCCACCCACCCGACGGGCCACAUGGGCCUAAGAGGUGGGAGGAAGCCAAGUGGGAGGGAAUCCUACUAGGAGUAGGACUCCACCUCCCUUAGUGGAGGAGGAUUCCUCCUCUUAAUGUGCCACCCUUCCCCUAUCCUCCUAUAUAUACUAGAGGGAAGAGAGGGCAGCCAACACCUGAAUCCAAGGUGCAGCCCCUCUCCCUCCCUCUAGUUCGUUCUUCCUCUAGAAUAGGUUUGGCAGUGCACGACGAAGCCCUGCAGGAUCAGCUCCAACACCAUCGCCGCCACGCCGUUAGGCUGUCGGAAAACUCAGCUACCUCUCCGCUCCCUCUUGCUGGAUCAAGAAGGCAUAGAUCGUCAUCGAGUUGUACGUGUGCUGAACGCGAAGGUGUCGUCCGUUCGACACUAGAUCGGGAUGGAUCGUGAUGCGAUCGCAGGACGGAUCGUGAUGCGAUCACCGAACGGAUCGUGAAGAGAUCGCGAGACGGAUCUGUGACAACCCGAGACCGAUGUUCCAGAAGAUUCCCCUUCUAUUCCGUUUUCGUCGUGUGUUUAUUUUAUUUGUCCUAUCAGCAUCGCAUCAUGCGCAUCAUCUGCAUUGCAUCGGCAUCCCAUUGCCGCUAGUUUUCAUAACUUGCAUCCGUUGUUAGUUGUCGGUUCUCGUCAUUGUCCGUUUUGAGCCCGACCAGACACGCACGCGCCCGCGGCAUCGACAAAACCUGUUUUUAAAAGUGUGUAUAAAACUUUCUCUGACUGGGUUGAAACUUGGCGUGCGAUCGUAUUUAGUUAUAGGUAGGCCGCCUGCCAAAUUUCGUCGCAAUCGGAGUCCGUCUGGUACCCGAACGAUCGACCGUAGCGGCAUCGUAUUCGGUCUAUCGUUGGACGUGAUUCGGUGUUUUAAAACGCAUGUCACGGGUGCAUCCCUUCCCUCUCAUCUUAGCCUAAGCCUCUCUACACAGCCACCUAACCACACUCCGCGAGAACGGCCAUCCGAUUACGAUCNNNNNNNNNNNNNNNNNNNNNNNNNNNNNNNNNNNNNNNNNNNNNNNNNNNNNNNNNNNNNNNNNNNNNNNNNNNNNNNNNNNNNNNNNNNNNNNNNNNNNNNNNNNNNNNNNNNNNNNNNNNNNNNNNNNNNNNNNNNNNNNNNNNNNNNNNNNNNNNNNNNNNNNNNNNNNNNNNNNNNNNNNNNNNNNNNNNNNNNNNNNNNNNNNNNNNNNNNNNCAUCCUUUAAUUUAGACAGCAAACACCUCUUCCACCUUGUUUUCCAUGCGAGACAGUGUGCAGAUGCCACCCCCCAACGCCCAUGUCUCCCUCCUCGCGCUAGCCCCUCCCGGCCCAGAUCGGGGCUCGCUCGAGCCCAUCUGGGCCCAGACGAGCCCGCUGGUGGUUGCAGCUCCCUGCAGCGCUCCUCCUCCCGAGACGCUGGCCCUAGCACCGCGCCGCCGUCGGGAGCCUUCGCCGCCAGGGCUCCCUCCGGCGCCCCAACACCGCCCUGCUGGCCCCGCCCUCCGUCGCGCCGCGUGCCGCCUCUGUCUGUCACCACGAGCAGCCUGGUGCCCCGAGCUGUUGCUGCUACCGAAGACCAUGUCGCGUCGCCACCCCAUCGCCAUGUCCCGUCGCCGGCCCUCCCCAGGCCUCCCCUCGCCGGAUCUUGCCGGUACCAACCGGAUCCGCCGCCCCCGCCGGCCUCGCCGAGCCCUGCUGCUCCGUCGUCGUGGCCUCCCGCUCGGGAGCAGCGAGGGUCGAGCCAGCGCCCCAAUCCAGUCGGCGUUGACCGCGAGCAGCGCUUCGCCCCGGUCCUGGGCCGCCUCGCCUCGCCAGGCCCAGCUGCGCCUCGACUGGCCCAGUUCCCGGCCUCCUCGAGGCCUGCGUCCCCUCCAACUGGGCCGAUCCCACUAGGUGAGCUCCCCCUCGACUAUCCCUCGCCCACGGCGUGUAAUUGCUUAUGGAGCCAAUGUGCUGUAUAGGCCCAGUGAAGGAUUUAGCCCGAUAGUAUUUUUUUAGGGUUUUCGAAUUAGUUAAUUUCAAGAUUUAUUAGAUAUUUAAAACGCCUGUAAUUAAUUAACCGUAUGUCGGAUCGAGAUGAUCUAUAUAUGUAACUUGUGUAGUUUUGCGCGUAGAUUAUGUUUUUGCAACUUGCAUGCAUGUUUGAAGUGAUUUGACCCGCCAUAUGCCUAGUUUUGCGUGCUGUCCUAAUAGGGAUUUAUUUCGUAGUUAUAUUCGUGCGUGUCCGGAUUGCUCAAACCCCGUAGAUAAAAUGCUCAUGUUUUUAGGGACCCUUUGCCAUGUAUUUUAAAGCAGUUGUUUGUAUUUUUGCAUUUUAUGUUCCCGUCGCUAGUUUGUUAUACCGUGUUUAAGACAUAUUCUUGCAUAUUCGUGUGGCGAUAUUUUUGUGUUGCAACCCCACAUGUUAUAUAUGUUUCCGGGGUAGAAAAAUCCAUAGAAUUUAACUGUGCAUUUAGUUUUAGAUUUUGAGCAAGUUAGUUCGCGUAAUAUUUUGCCAUGUUGCCCUUUUGUCUAUUUUGUGGGAUUUAAUCCGUGCAUGAUAUGAAUGAGUUGUCAACUAGAGAUAUGCCCUUGGAUGUGUAGGCUAGCCUCUGCUAAUNGACCUUAAGAUUCUCUAGAAUUCUGUGAAUUUUCAUGCCAUUUGGAGUCCUGUAGCUUAUGGUUUUGCUACUGUCAAUAUGCCUUCAGAUCGAAAACUGCACUGUCAUAGAAUGGUAUUUUCACUAAGUCUGAAACUGUGUGUGAGAUGCUAUUUUGUGAGUUCUUUUCCUAGUCAUCCAUGCUUCCAUGCUAGAUGUUAUUAGUUGUAUGUUGUAGUGCAUCUUGCCCUCUACCGCCUCAUACCUUGGUUGAGCAUAUUGGAUUUGUGUAGCUCGUAGUUGUGGGGUGUAGAAAAUGCUAUGUGGCUGAUUUUGGCAGAUUGUAGUGAUUCCUUUUUAGCUAGUAGUUGUUGAACCGUAGCUCCGUUUUGAUCGUGUCCUAUAUGAAACUUGCUUAGAAUCUCGUGUAGUUUCAUAUUAUCUUGCUGGUUGUAUGUUUUGAGAUGUUGCGGUUGCCAUUUGCACACAUAUUGCAUUCAUGGCAUCAUAUCUUGCGGUGUUCGUAUCUUUUAAACCGUAGCUCUGUUGAAGAUGUUCUUUAUGUGUAAAUUGUUUGUAACGACGCGUAGAAUCACGUGAUCCCUUUUUUCUAUUUAACAAUCAUUUAAAAGUGUUAGUUCAGAUCUGGACAGAAUUAUAAAUUAACAUGUGAGGUCGUCUCGGAGAUGCUAUAUGUCAUUUCCGACCUCAUUUAAAAUGCCUAGAUAGAUAGAUUAAUUGCACUUCACCUCUUGCCAUGAUUAACCACAUUUAAUAUUUCCGUGUACCUAAUCGAGAGUGAACUAAAUAAUUCGUAUGUGGAGUUUCGUCAAUAUGCAUCUCGUUGCAUAUUGAACUUCACUUAAUGUGUAGUGUUUGAUUGUUGUGAAUUGACAUGCCAUGUCUUGCAUAAGUUCAAAUGUUCAUGCAUUAUAUGUGUUGUGCAUCGUGUGGUGUAUAUCGUGUGUUGAUGCUUCUUUCUGGUUUGCUUCGUCUCGAUAGAGUUCCGCAAGCGUGUCGGAAGGUGAGGACCCGUUCGACUACAUCGGUUCGUCUGCUUCACGGAGUCGUUUUUCUUCCAAGCAGAAUCUCAAGCAAGAUGACCAUUUCCCCAGAUACCAUUACUAUCAUUGCCAUGCUAGUUUUACCGUUUCUAUCGUUAUGUCUCGUUGCCUACCACCUGUUAAAUAUAAGCCUCCCAACAUUGCCAUGAAAACCUUCAACAUGUUCACAACCUAGCAAACCACUGAUUGGCUAUGUUACCACUUGCUUUACCAUGUGUUAGCAUUGCUAGUUGCAGGUGUAGUUGCUUCCAUGUGAUAACAUGGGUUCCUUGUUAUAUUAACCUAUAAAAUGCUAUUUAAAUUAAUGCACCUAUAUACUUGGUAAAAGGUGGAAGGCUCGACCUUUCUAGCCUAGUGUUUUGUUCCACCUUUGCCCCGUUAGUUUCGGCAACCAAUGUUAUGUUCCAUAAUUGAGCGCUCUUAACACGAUCGGGGUUGUUAUGGGGACCCCCUUGAUAAUUCGUUUUAGAUUAAAGCUUGUCUGGCAAGGCCCAACAUUGGUACUACAUUUGCCCAAUAUAAUAAUUUUGUUAAUACUGAAAGCAUAGGGCGUCAUGAACCCGAGGAGUAAUUUGACAUAAUACAGGGAGGGCCAGUGCUGAUGGUGCUGGUCCAAAAUAGAGCAUUGUGCGGGGCCAACCCAGGGUAACUUGGGAGAUUUCUAUCAGGCCACCGUACGCGACGCUCAUCCGUCGUGUCCUUAGAACGAGAUAUGCGGCUUCUAUCAGCAUCGUCGACACGCCGGACGGCCUCGCUGGAUUAGUUUUACCUUUGACAAAUGUCUUCUGCAUCGGGAUUCCGGUGAUGCUUUGGGUAAUCUCAGAGUUGAGGUUUUCCACUAAGGAAUCCGACGAGAUCGCGAGUUUCGUGAUCGAGGAUUUCUAUGCGGCUUGUGGUAAUUUGUGAUGGAUUAGUUGGAGCACCCCUGUAGGGUAACAUCUUUCAGAAAGUCGUGCCCGCGGUUAUGUGGCAACGUGGAAACUUUGUUUAACACUGGUUCUAGAUAACUUGAAGUUCACUUAAUAAAAACUUGCCAACUAAGUGUGUAACCGUGACUGUCUCUUUCGCGAGUUCCUUCUCCGAUUGAGGACACGGUGGGGUUAUGUCUGACGUAAGUAGGUGUUCAGGAUCAUUCAUUUGAUCAACAGUAGUUCACGUCCGCUAUGCGUAGAUCUUCCCCCUCUUUAUUCUUGUACUCGUAAGUUAGCCACCUCAUAUUAUGCUUACUCGCUUGUUGCAGCCUCACCACUUAACCACACCUCACCCAUUAAGCUUUGCUAGUCUUGAUACCUUUGGAAAUGAGAUUGUUGAGUCCCCUGUGGCUCACAGAUUACUACAACACCAGUUGCAGGUACAGGUAACGGUUACUUGACGCGAACGCGGUUAUUGUUCAUUUGGAGUUGCUUCUUCUUCUUCUUCUUCUUCAUCGAUCUAGGAUGGGUUCGAGGCCGACAGUCUGGGAUAGCAAGGAUGGACGUCGUUCUUCUUUUCUCGUUUGUUUUUUCGUUCGUAGUCGGACCCUGCUCUUCUUCAUGAUGAUUAUGUAUUGUAUUGAUGUGACUGUGAUGUAGCUUGUGGCGAGUGUAAGCCAAUUCCAUAUAGUCUUCUCUUCAGUACAUGUACUUGUAACGAUAUCCAUUCUUGUGAAACGACGUGAUGCGCUUCUAUCCCUGACGAGGCCCUCGUGCCAAAUUAAGGAUAGGGUCGCAUCUUGGGCGUUAGAAGUUGGUAUCAGAGCAGUACCGACCUAGGAGCCCCCUUGAUUGAUCGAACUUGGCCGAGUCGAGUCUAGUGAAAAACUAUUUUGAGUCUUAGUUAUAUCGGAGAGUAGGAUUCUAUUUUCUCCUCUUCUAUGCUCUCGUGAGGAAUCUUGACGUAAUAAUUUAAUUCUACUCCUCUUCUCACUCAAAAAAAAUUUAGGAUCACACGGAUAUUUUUGGAGUCUAUAUGAUGUCGAUGUGACAGAGUUCUGUCUUGGUGCCUCCUGUCUGACUUGAUUUCUUCCGGGGAGUUGAGCUUGAUAACCCACAAGAAAAGGGGAUCAAUUGUAGCCUUUCUCGAUAAGUAAGAGUGUCGAACCCAACGAGGAGCUAAAGGUAGGACAAAUAUUCCCUCAAGUUCUAUCAACCACCGAUACGACUCUAUGCACACUUUACGUUCACUUUACCUAGAACAAGUAUGAAAAUAGAAGUACUUUGUAUGAGUGAUAGGAUAGGUUUGCAAGAAAGUGAAGAACACAUAAAUAAAACUAGGGGCUGGUUAGAUAAAGAAACAACUACGAGUGUCUAACGAGUGUGGAAAAGUGGUGGUAGGAGUUGCGGAAUUGUCCCGAAGCAAUUGACUACGUUACUAGAUUGAUAACAAGUAUCAUGUGGGAGAGGCCACUGCUAGCAUGUCAUCCCUUACUUGGAAUUGUAUGCAAUUAUGAUUGGAACUAUUAGCAAGCGUCCGCAACUACUAACGUUCAUUAAGGUAAAAGCCAACCAUAGCAAUAAGAUAUAUUGGUCCCCCUUCAAUCCCAUAUGCAUCAAUUUCUAUGCUAGGUUUAAAGCUUCUGUCACUCUAGCCUGCCAAUACAUAGUCCUAUCAACAUACAACUAACCCUAUGGUGUGACCCACACGCGCGAUCAUAUGAUGGGCACCAAAGGACAGCAACAUAACCACAAGCAAAUUAAACCAAUCAUAGCAAUUCAUCAAUCACUGAUAGGACAACGAUAAUCUACUCAGACAUCAUAGGAUAGCAACACAUCAUUGGAUAAUAAUAUGUUGCAUAAAGCACCAUGUUCAAGUAGAGGGUACAGCGGGUUGCGGGAGAGUGAACCACUGAAUAUAGAUGGGGGAAGAUGAUGGAGAUGUUGGUGAAGAUGACGGAGGUGUUGGUGUAGAUCGCCGUCACAGGAUGAUGUCCCGGGCGGCGUUCCGGCGCCGCCGGGAGAGAGGGGGAGAGAGCCCCCCUCCUUCUUCUUCUUCCUUGACCUCCUCCCUAGAUGGGAGAAGGGUUUCCCCUCUGGUCCAUGGUCUCCACGGCGGCGGAGGGGCGAGAGCUCCUCCGAGAUUGGAUCUCUCUCUCUGUGUCCUUCUGUUUCUGCGCUCCCAGAUUCUGCGUUUCACCGUUUCUUAAAUUCCCGGAGAUCCGUAACUCCGAUUGGGCUUAAAUUUUAACACAAUUUUGUUCCGGAUAUUAUCUUUCUUGCGGCGAAAGAAGGGCUCCAACCGCCUUAAGGAGUGGCCACAAGUAUGCCUGCCGCGGGCCCACCCCCUGGCCGCCGCGACGGGGCUUGUGGGCACUCCGUGCAUCGCCUCGCGUUGAUUCUUCUUCCCAAAAAUCAUAAAUAUUCCAAAAAAAAUCCUCGUAAGUUUUUAUUAAGUUUGGACUUCGUUUGGUAUGGAUAUUCUGCGAAACAAAAAACAUGCAACAAACAGGAACUAGCACUGGGCACUGGAUCAAUAUGUUAGUCCCAAAAAUAGUAUACAAAGUUGCCAAAAGUAUAUGAAAGUUGUAGAAUAUUGGCAUGAAACUAUCAAAAAAUAUAGAUACGACGGAGACGUAUCAGAGCUCCAGGGGAUUCUUGAGCACAUCGCUAUCAUUCAGAGUUCUUAGUAUCUCGGACGAAGGAUGUUCGAAAUUGAUUCAAUACUAGUAGUGGCGAGAGGAGUCCGGCUUCCCGAGUACUGGUGCAGAGAGUUGUGGAUGUAUCGCCAUACUUUGUAUCGUUGUGAUUGCGAAUGUCUGAGAUAGAUGAGUUUCCGAUAUUGUGGUUAUGUGUUGACGGAUGUGAUACACUGGACGGGUUAGUAUAGGAGUUGAGUGAUAUAUUACUCCUUGUAUCCGUGGACCAGAUUGCAUGACCAGAAAUUUCGGGAGUUCUUAGGUGGGAAUUCAAGUAGUUACUUAUAGAAAAAUCUUCCAACAAAUGCAUGAUGUUAGGUUGGGGUUCGACAUCUAGUGGAUUCGUUUGUUCACGGUCGUCUUACAGCGGUUCUCGUUGUGUCUUAAAGAGUCCUUGUAGCUUGCUACGACUCAGGGACGCUUUGUAUGUCGUGUGCACUGCCUGGUACGUGAUGGCUACUGUAAGGAUCGAGCCCGUGCGAUCCUGUCCACGAAAAUAUCGAACGGAAAUCUCUCUCAUGAAUUUUUUUUGGCUUGUUUCAGAAGCCUCACCCCUUGUUUUGUUGGAAUAUGGUAAUACGAGUCGCUUCGAUGUCAAGUGGUGAUUUCAGAUCUUUCCUAAGUGGUGUUCUCAUAUUUUUAUGAGAGUGCUAAUUCUUUUGCUCAAUCAAUUGUCUUAUCAAUUCUUGUCAACCGAAGUUGUUAUGUCAAGUCUUUUCAACCGGUGCGCUUCUCUUCAAGUCAAUUUUAUCAUUUUUAAUUUUGCAAGAUCAAUCUCUCUUUUGUUUUCGGAGUUGUCUCAUCUAUCCCAAGUUGUCUUUGUUUUUCCCGCCCUCCCGCCCUUUUCUUUAGUGAUUAGUUUUUAUCCAAGAGUUUUCUUUCUUUGUGCUUCCGCUAUCUUUUUCUUUCUCUCCUAUCCAGUGAUUCAUUGUGAAGAUUCUCAGGAGUUCUUGCUCAUCAUUCCUUCAAUCUGGUUAUCUUUUUCCGGUGAAUUCAAUUUAGUUAUCCGUGUUCAUUAUAUCCUAUUCAUCCUUGUAAUUCUUUCCUAUGUUGGAGAUUCUUAUCAGCCUAUCUUGUUAUUCAUUUCUCUCUAGUCUAUCCGGAGUGCUGAAGUUGUCUCACAAGUUUCUUGUUUUCAAUUCUUUCUAUUAUUGCGAGGUUCUCAACCUCAUCUAGUUUUCUUUAUACUGGUGCAUUCAAUCUUUCUUUCAAUCUUUUCAACGGUGGUUUCUUUGAGUGGGCCCAUAACCCACAUGUUCUUUCCUAGGGUCUUAUCUGGCUCUUGUAACCUUUUCCGGAGUUCUCUGAUUCUUUUCAACUAUGACGUAAGUAUGAAUCUCAUCAGUCAUAUCCCUUCUCCAAGUUCUAUUCGAAUUAGUUCAUUCUUUGUCUCAACCUUUCAUUCUUCUUUAUUCCGGAGUGUCUCGGUUAUUCUUGGUGGUGUUCUCCUCAUCAUUUUCGGCUUCAAGACCGAAGGAGUGUUUCUCGCAAAUCUUGGUUCAUUCUCUUCAAGAUUCAUCAUUUCAUCCUUGUGGCAUCAUCUCGAUUUGUUCCAAUCAUGAGUAAUUCCUUUCUUGUUGCCCGGUGCAUUUCUAAGUUGGGUUCAUUUCUCGAUCCUCCAAAGGCCAGCAUUUCAGAAGAUUUCUUCGUUCUCAGCUUUCAGCUUUCGUUCUCAAAUUCUUCUCAAUUGUUGUCUCUUCGUUCGUCUCUCAAUUAUUCUGGCGCCUUGUUCUAGUUUUCUCUCAGGUGGAUCAUGAUCUCUUCAUUGUCAUUAUCUCCAUUCAUUCUUGUUUUAUCCCCAUUCAAUCCAGUUCUUACCGGUGUCUCCUCAAGACUUCUUCUAGUUUGUGCUCAUAUAUCUCCUCAGUCAUUUCUAGAAGAAUAAGUGUUACGCUAAAUCUGUUGCUUGUCAUCAAUUUAACUUGAUGAAGGAUAAGCAUAACAUAAUUCUUAUUCUUGUUCAUAGUGAUCUGAAUUCUUCUUCCGAAGUGGCUCAUGAUAUCAAUUCUUGUGUCAAGAUGUUCUUCAAGAUUCUAGUGGUAGUAGUUCUCAAUUUCUUCUUCAUUCUUUUCUUGCCAAGAUAUAGUUUCCAUUCUUUGUAACAGAGGCAUUGUGAUGUUUCUCUCUUCAAAUCAUCAUUUUGUCUUUUAUAGAUCAUGUUGUUACCUUGUUUAAUUUAGUUGUUUGUUGUGAAUUUCCUCUAGUUCUCCUAUCUUAUCGAAUUUUUGUCCCCUUUUCCUACCGAAGUGCUGCCAAAAUUUUGUGUGAAUUCUUGCUUGUUCCUCAUAUCAUUCUUCAUCUCUUUGCAACCUUCAAGGAUUGUUGGUUUCACUCGUUCAUCAACAAGCAACUAAGUCUUACCUCUUGCUUUCUCAUCCUCUCCCCCUUUUCAUUCUUGGAUCUCGGGUCGAGGUCCUCUUGUAGUGUAGGAGAGUUGUGACAACUCGAGACCGAUGUUCCAGAAGAUUCCCCUUCUAUUCCAUUUUCGUCGUGUGUUUAAUUUAUUUGUCGCAUCAGCAUCGCAUCAUGCGCAUCAUCUACAUUGCAUCGGCAUCUCGUUGCCGCCAGUUUUCAAAACUUGCAUCCGUUGUUAGUUGUCGGUUCAAAACUUGCAUCGCAUCAUGUCCGUUCUAAGCCCGACCACACACGCACGCGCCCGCGACAUCGUCAAAACCUGUUUCUAAAAGUGGGUAUAAAACUUUCUCUAACUGGGUUGAAACUUGGCAUGUGGUUGUAUUUAGUUAUAGGUAGGCCGCGUGCCAAAUUUCGUCGCAACCGGAGUCUGUUUCGUACCCGAACGAUCGACUGUAGCGGCUCCGUAUUAGGUCUAUCGUCGGACGUGAUUCGGUGUUUUAAAACGCGUGUCAUGGGCGCACCCCUUCCCUCUCGUCUUAGCCUAAGCCUCUCUACACAUCCACCUAACCACACUCCGCGACAAAGGCCAUCCGAUUACGAUCNNNNNNNNNNNNNNNNNNNNNNNNNNNNNNNNNNNNNNNNNNNNNNNNNNNNNNNNNNNNNNNNNNNNNNNNNNNNNNNNNNNNNNNNNNNNNNNNNNNNNNNNNNNNNNNNNNNNNNNNNNNNNNNNNNNNNNNNNNNNNNNNNNNNNNNNNNNNNNNNNNNNNNNNNNNNNNNNNNNNNNNNNNNNNNNNNNNNNNNNNNNNNNNNNNNNNNNNCAUCCUUUAAUUUAGACAACAAUCCCCUCUUCCACCUCGUUUUCCAUGCGAAACAGUGUGCAGCCACCCCCCCAACGCCCAUGUCUCCCUCCUCGCACUAGGCCCUCCUGGCCCAAAUCGGGGCCUCCUGAGCCCAUCUGGGCCCAAACGAGCCCGUUGGUGAUUGCAGCUCCUUGCAGCGCUCCUCCUCCCGAGCCGCCGUCCCUAGCAGCGCGCCGCCGCUGGGCGCCUUCGCUACGAGGGAUCCCUCCGGCGCUCGAACGCCGCCCUACCGGCCCCGCCCUCCGUCGCGCCGCGUGCCGCCUCCGUCUGUCGCCUCGAGCAGCCUGGUGCCCCGAGCUGCUACUGCUGCCGCUAAAGACCAUGUCGCGUCGCCGCCCCGUCGCCAUGUCCCGUUGCCGGCCCUCCCUAGGCCUCCCAUCGCCGGAUCUGGCCGGUGCCAGUCGGAUCCGCCGCCCCCGCCGGCCUCGUCGAGCCCUACUGCUCUGCCGCCGUGGCCUCCCGCUCAGGAGCAGCGAGGGUCGAGCCAGCGCCCCGAUCCGGUCGGCGUUGACCGCGAGCAGCGCUUCGCCCCGCUCCUGGGCUGCCUCGCCUCGCCAGGCCCAGCUGCGCCUCGACUGGCCCAGCUCCCGGCCUCCUCCAGGCCCGCCUCCCGUCCAACUGGGCCGAGCCCACUAGGUGAGCUCCCCCUCGACUAUCCCUCGCCCACGGCGUGUAAUAGCUUAUGGAUCCAAUGUGUUGUAUAGGCCUAGUGCAAGGAUUUGGCCCGAUAGUAUUUUUUUAGGGUUUUCGAAUUAGUAAAUUUCAGGAUUUAUUAGAUAUUUAAAACGCCCGUAAUUAAUUAACCGUAUGUCGGAUCGAGGUGAUUUAUAUAUGUAACUUGUGUAGUUUUGCGCGUAGAUUAUGUUUUUGCAACUUGCAUGCAUGUUUGAAGUGAUUUGACCCGCCAUAUGCCUUGUUUUGCGUGUUGUCCUAAUAGGGAUUUAUUCCGUAGUUAUAUUCGUGCGUGUCCGGAUUGCUCAAACCCCGUAGAUAAAAUGCUCAUGUUUUUAGGGACCCUUUGUCAUGUAUUUUAGAGCAGUUGUUUGUAUUUUUGCAUGUAUGUUCCCGUCGCUAGUUUGUUAUACCAUGUUUAUGACCUAUUCUCGCAUAUUCGUGUGGCGAUAUUCUUGUGUUGCAACCCCACAGGUUAUAUAUGUUUCCGGGGUAGAAAAAUCCAUAGAAUUUAAGUGUGCAUUUAGUUUUAGCUUUUGAGAAAGUUAGUUCGCGUGAUAUUUUGCCAUGUUGCCCUUUUGUCUAUUUUGUGGGAUUUAAUCCGUGCAUGAUAUGAAUGAGUUGUCAACUAGAGAUAUGCCCUUGGAUGUGCAGGCUAGCCUCUGCUAAUNGACCUUAAGAUUCUCUAGCACGCCGUGAAUUUUCAUGCCAUUUCGAGUCCUCUAGCUUAUGGUUUUACUGCUGUCAAUAUGCCUUCAGAUCGAAAACUGCACUGUCAUAGACUGGUAUUUUCACUAAGUCUGAAACUGUGUGUGAGAUGCUAUUUUGUGAGUUCUUUUCCUAGUGAUCCAUGCUUCCAUGCUAGAUGUUAUUAGUUGUAUGUUGUAGCGCAUCUUGCCCUCUACCGCCUCAUGCCUUGCUUGAGCAUAUUGGAUUUGUGUAGCUCGUAGUUGUGGGUGUAGAAUAUGCUAUGUGGCUGAUUUUGGCAGAUUGUAGUGAUUCCUUGUUUAGCUCGUAGUUGUUGAACCGUUGCUCCGUUUUGAUCGUGUCCUAUAUGAAACUUGCUUAGAAUCUCGUGUAGUUUCAUAUUAUCUUGCUGGUUGUAUGUUUGGAGAUGUUGUGGUUGCCAUUUGCACACAUAUUGCGUUCAUGCCAUCAUAUCUUGCGGUGUUCGUAUCUUUUGAACCGUAGCUCCGUUAGAGAUGUUCUUUAUAUGUAAAUUGUUUGUAAUGACGCAUAGAAUCACGUGAACCCAUUUUUUCUGUUUAACAAUCAUUUAAAAGUGUUAGUUCAGAUCUGGACAGAAUUGUAAAUUAACAUGUGAGGUCGUCUCGGAGAUGCUAUAUGUCAUUUCCGACCUCAUUUAAAAUGCCUAGAUAGAUAGAUUAAUUGCGCUUCACCUCUUGCCAUUUUUAACCAUAUUUAAUAUUGUCGUGUACCCAAUCGAGAGUGAACUAAAUAAUUCGUAUGUGGAGUUUCGUCAAUAUGCAACUCGUUGCAUAUUGAACUUCACUUAAUGUGUAGUGUUUGAUUGUUGUGAAUUGACAUGCCAUGUCUUGCAUAAGUUCAACUGUUCAUGCUUCAUAUUUGUUGUGCAUCGUGUGGUGUAUAUCGUGUGCUGAUGCUUGUUUCUUGUUUGCUUCGUCUCGAUAGAGUACCGCAAGCGUGUCGGAAGGUGAGGACCCGUUCAACUACAUCGGUUCGUCUGCUUCAUGGAGUCGUUCUUCUUCCAAGCAGGAUCUCAAGCAAGAUGACCAUUUCCCCAGAUACCAUUACUAUCAUUGCCAUUCUAGUUUUACCAUUUCUAUCGUUAUGUCUCGUUGCCUACCACCUGCUAAAUAUAAGCCUCCCAACAUUGCCAUGAAAACCUUCAACCUGUUCACAACCUAGCAAACCACUCAUUGGCUAUGUUACCGCUUGCUUUACCAUGUGUUAGCGUUGCUAGUUGCAGGUGCAGUUGCUUCCAUGUGAUAACAUGGGUUCCUUGUUAUAUCACCCGAUCAAAUGCUAUUUAAAUUAAUGCACCUAUAUACUUGGUAAAAGGUGGAAGACUCGGCCUUUCUAGCCUAGUGUUUUGUUCCACCUUUGCCCCCUUAGUUUCGGCUACCGGUGUUAUGUUCCAUAAUUGAGCGCUCCUAACACGAUCGGGGUUGUAAUGGGGGCCCCCUUGAUAAUUCGUUUUAGAUUAAAGCUCGUUUGGCAAGGCCCAACAUUGGUACUACAUUUGCCCAACAUAAUAAUUUUUUUAAUACUGAAAGCAUAGGGCGUCAUGAACCCGAGGAGUAAUGUUACAUAAUACAGGGAGGGCCAGUGUUGAUGGUGCUGGUCCAAAGCAGAGCACUGUGCGGUGACAACCCAAGGCAAGUUGGGAGAUUUCUAUCAGGCCACCGUACGCGACGCUCAUCCGUCGUGUCCUGAGAACGAGAUACGCGCCUCCUAUCGGGAUCGUCGACACGCUGAUACGUCCGUUUUGCAUCAUGCUUUCAUGUUGAUAUUUAUCGCUUUAUGGACUGUUAUUGUACUUUGUGGAACCAUACUUAUGCCUUUUCUCUCUUAUUUUGCAAGGUUUAUUUGAAGAGGGAGAAUACCGGCAACUGGAAUUCUGGACUGGAAAAAGAGCAAGUCUGAGUCCUCUAUUCUACGCAACACCAAAUGCCCUGAAAAUCAACGUGGAUUUUUUUGAGAAUAUAUAAAAAAUACUGGGCGAAAGAAGUGUCAGAGGGGAGCUGCCAGGGGCCCACAAGCCUGGUUGCCGCGGCCUACCCCCCUGGCCGCGGCAACAGGGCUUGUGGGCACCCUGGUGGCCCACUGGCCCCCCUCUUUUGCUAUAUGAAGGGUUUCGUCCGAGAAAAAAUCAAGGUGGAGCUUUUUCGUGGAUUCGCCGCCACCACGAGGCGGAACUUGAGCAUAACCAAUCUAGGGCUCCGGCAGGACGAUCCUACCGGGGAAACUUCCCUCCUGGAGGGGGAAAUCGUCGCCUUCGUCAUCACCAACACUCCUCUCGUCGGAGGGGAGUCAUAUCCAUCAACAUCUUCAUCAGCACCAUCUCCUCUCCAAAUCCUAGUUCAUCUCUUGUAACCAAUCUCCGUCUCGCGACUCCGGUUGGUACUUGUAAGGUUGCUAGUAGUGUUGGUUACUCUUUGUAGUUGAUGCUAGUUGGAUUACUUGGUGGAAGAGUUUAUGUUCAAAUCCUUGAUGCUAUUCAUUACACCUCUGAUCAUGAUUAUGAUUAUGCUUUGUGAGUAGUUACUUUUGUUCCUGAGGACAUGGGAUAAGUCAUGCUAAUAAUAGUCAUGUGAAUUUGGUAUUCGUUCGGUAUUUUGAUAUGUUGUAUGUUGUUUUUCCUCUAGUGGUGUUAUGUGAACAUCGACUACAUAACACUUCACCAUAUUUGGGCCUAGAGGAAGGCAUUAGGGAGUAGUAAGUAGAUGGAGGGUUGCUAGAGUGACAGAAGCUUAAACCCCAGUCUAUGCGUUGCUUCGUAUGGGGAUGAUUUGGAUCCACUAGUUUAAUGCUAUGGUUAGACGUUGUCUUAAUUCUUCUUUCGUAGUUGCGGAUGCUUGCGAGAGGGGUUAAUCAUAAGUGGGAUGCUUGUCCAAGUAAGGGCAGUACCCAAGCGCCUGUCCACCCACAUAUCAAACUAUCAAAGUAACGAAAGUGAAUCAUAUGAACAUGAUGAAACUAGCAUGACAGAAAUUCCCGGGUGUCCUCGGGAGCAUUUUUCCUCUUAUAAGACUUUGCUCAGGCUUGUCCCUUGCUACAAAAGGGAUUGGGCCACUUUGCUGCACCAUUGGUACUACUUGUCACUUGUUACUUUUCGCUUGCUACGUUUCACCUCACUACACCAUCACUUGUUACCGCUACUUUCAGUGCUUGCAGUUAUUAUCUUGCUAAAAACCGUUUAUCAUAGCCUUCUGCUCCUCGUUGGGUUCGACACUCUUACUUAUCGAAAGGACUAUGAUUGAUCCCCUAUACUUGUGGGUCAUCAAGACUCUUUUCUCGCGCCGUUGCCGGGGAACGAAGCGCCUUUGGUAAGUGGAAUUUGCUAAGGAAACAUUUAUAUACUGUACUGAAAUUUAUUGUCACUUGUCACUAUGGAAACUGUUCCUUUGAGGAAUUUGUUCGGGGUAUCUUCACCACCAACGGAAGCACGAGGAGUUGUUCCUCAACCUGAGGUACCUACUGAAAAUAUCUUUUAUGAAAUUCCUUCGGGUAUGCUUGAGAAACUGCUGGCUAAUCCUUUUACAGGAGAUGGAUCUUCACAUCCACACUUGCAUCUAAUCUAUGUAGAUGAAGUUUGUGGUUUAUUUAAGCUUGCAGGUUUGCCCGAGGAUGAGGUAAAGAAGAAAGUCUUUCCUUUAUCUUUGAAGGAUAAGGCGUUGACAUGGUAUAAACUAUGUGAUGAUACUGGAUCAUGGGACUACAAUCAGUUGAAAUUGGAAUUUCAUCAAAAGUUUUAUCCUAUGCAUUUAGUACAUCGUGAUCGGAAUUAUAUUUAUAACUUUUGGCCUCGUGACAGGGAAAGCAUAGCUCAAGCUUGGGGGAGGCUUAAAUCAAUGUUAUAUUCAUGCCCCAAUCAUGAGCUCUCGAGAGAAAUUAUCACUCUAAACUUUUAUGCUCGGCUUUCUCAUGAAGAUCGUACCAUGCUUGACGCUUCUUGUACCGGUUCUUUUAUGAAGAAGGAUAUUGACCACAAGUGGACUUUAUUGGAAAGAAUCGAACGUAACUCUGAAGAUUGGGAGCUUGAAGAAGGUAAGGAGUCAGGUAUGAAUUUCCAGUUUGAUUGCGUUAAAUCUUUUGUUGAAACAAACACUUAUAGAGAUUUUAGCGCUAAGUAUGGACUUAACUCUGAGAUAGUAGCUUCUCUAUGUGAAUAUUUUGCUGCUCUUGUUGAUCUUCCCAAAGAGAAGUGGUUUAAGUAUCAUCCGCCUGUAGAAGUCAACAUAGUUAAACCCAAUCUAGUUGAAGAGAAAUUCAUUGCCUUUAGUGAUCCUAUUGUCCCUUGUGCCUACGCUGAGAAACCACCUUACCCUGCUAGGAAAAAGGAUUAUUCUAAAGCUCCAACUGUGAUACAUAGGGGUUACAUUAGACCACUUGCACCCCCUGAGGAAAUUUGAGUUGAACCUAGUGUUGCUAUUAUCAAAGAUCUCUUAGCCGAAGACAUAGACGGGCAUGUUAUUAAAUUCUGUGAGGACUCCGGUAGAAUUGCUAAACCUCACGCGAAAGACAAAUACGGACCUGUAGUUGUCCUGCCCAUUGUUUCUGUCAAGAUAGGGAUCACUGUUAUCAUGGUUUAUGUGAUAUGGGUGAUAGUGUUAGUGCAAUACCCCGGUCCCUAUAUGAUGAAAUCAAAGAUGAGAUUGCACCUGCUGAGUUAGAACCCAUUGAUGUCACUAUUACGCUAGCUAAUAGAGACACUAUCUGCCCCCUGGGAAUUGUGAGAGAUGUAGAAGUCCUGUGUGGUAAGAUGAAGUAUCCUACUGAUUUCCUCGUCCUUGCUACUGCACAAGAUAGCUUUUGUCCCAUCAUAUUUGGUAGACCCUUUCUCAACACUAUCAAUGCUCACAUUGAUUGCAUUAAACAGACUAUCACUGUUAGUUUCGAGGGUGUGUCUCAUGAAUUUAACUUCUCCAAGUUUGGAAGACAACCCCAUGAAAAAGAGUCGUCUGGUAAGGAUGAAAUCAUUGCUCUUGCCUCUAUUGCCGUACCUCCUACGGAUCCUGUAGAGCAAUAUCUGCUUGAGCAUGAAAAUGAUAUGCAUAUCGAUGAAAGAGAUGAGAUAGAUAAAAUUGUUUUAGAACAAUAUCCUAUUCUCAAGAAUAAUCUGCUUGUUGAACUGCUUGGGGAUCCUCCCCCACCAAAGGGUGAUCCUGUGUUCGAGCUAAAACAGUUACCAGAUAAUCUUAAGUAUGCCUACCUUGAUGAGAAGGAGAUAUAUCCUGUUAUUAUUAGUGCUCACCUCUCAAAUCAUGAAGAGAAGAAGUUAUUAAAAACUUUGAGGAAGCACCGUGCUGCUAUUGGAUAUACUCUUGAUGAUCUUAAGGGUAUUAGUCCCACUCUAUGUCAGGACAAGAUUAAAACCGAUCCUGAUUCUAAGCUAGUUGCUGAUCAUCAACGGAGAUUAAAUCCGAGGAUGAAAGAGGUCGUGAGAAAAGAAAUACUAAAGGUUCUCGAAGCAGGAAUCAUUUAUCAUGUUGCUCAUAGUGAUUGGGUAAGUCCAGUACAUUGCGUACCUAAGAAGGAAGGUAUCACCGUCGUUCCUAAUGAUAAGAAUGAACUAAUCCCACAGAGGAUUAUUACUGGCUAUAGGAUGGUGAUAGACUUCCAGAAACUGAACAAGGCAACCAGGAAAGACCAUUAUCCUUUGUCGUUUGUCGAACAAAUGCUAGAAAGGCUAUCUAAACACACACACUUCUGCUUUCUAGACGGUUAUUCAGGUUUCUCGCAAAUACCUAUUGCACAAUCUGAUCAUGAGAAAACUACUCUCACCUGCCCGUUCGGAACCUUUGCUUCUAGACGUAUGCCUUUUGGCUUGUGAAAUGCACCUGCCACCUUUCAAAGAUGUACGAUGGUUGUAUUCUCUGACUUUUGUGAAAAUAUUGUUGAGGUUUUCAUGGAUGAUUUCUCCGUUUACGGUUCUUCCUUUGACGAUUGCCUCAACAACCUUGAUCGAGUCUUACAGAGAUGCAAAGAUACCAAGCUCCAUUGUUGCUCCCUAAGCUCAAAAGUGCCCAAUCUCUCUCCCUAGCCAAUCAAACUUGUUGAUUCUUUAGGGAUUGGUUGAGAAGGCCUAGAUCCACACUUCCACCAAGAGAAAAGUUGAUUCCCCGACCAAUCCCUUGCGGAUCUUGUUACUCUUGGGUGUUUGAGCAUCCUAGACGGUUGAGGUCACCUCGAAGCCACAUUCCAUUGUGGUGAAGCUUGCAUGCNNNNNNNNNNNNNNNNNNNNNNNNNNNNNNNNNNNNNNNNNNNNNNNNNNNNNNNNNNNNNNNNNNNNNNNNNNNNNNNNNNNNNNNNNNNNNNNNNNNNACUCCAAAGUCCCCUCCGGCAGGGCACCGGGAAGGGUCUCCAUAUGAGAUCUCGCGGAAACGGAAGCUUGCGGCGGCAGAAAAGUGGUUUCGUGGAUCCCUUGGUUUUUUCUGCGAUUUUAGGGAAUUUAUAGGCCAAAGAGCUAGGGCAGGGGAGCGCCAGGGAGGCCACAAGCCUGGUUGCCGCGGGCCCCCCUGGCCGUGGCAACAGGGCUUGUGGGCUCCCUGUGGGCCCCCUGCCUUGGCCCUCAAGUCCCGUGACCUUCUUCUGAUCUGGAAAAAUUUAUUUCGGGGAUUUUAUUCCGUUUGGACUCCGUUCCAAAAUCAGAUCUGAAAAGAGUCAAAAACAUAGAAAAAACAGGAACUGGCACUUGGUACUGGAUUAAUAAGUUAGUCCCAAAAAAGAUUUAAAAGGUAUAUAAAACAUCCAAAGUUGACAAGAUAACAGCGUGAAACCAUCAAAAAUUAUAGAUACGUUUGAGACGUAUCAGAGGCCAAUUCCUCCAUGGAAGCGGCUAAAGGUAUGCGACCUUCUUCCCCUCACGACAAUAAUGGGACUGGAACCUAUGCCUCAGUUCCACCUCCCAUGGUCUAUGGAGGACCGGUUCCUACACCUUGUAUUAAUCUUGUGUGUCCUCCUCNNNNNNNNNNNNNNNNNNNNNNNNNNNNNNNNNNNNNNNNNNNNNNNNNNNNNNNNNNNNNNNNNNNNNNNNNNNNNNNNNNNNNNNNNNNNNNNNNNNNCGGAGGGGACUUUGGAGUUGGAGCGCUUCUACAUCAACAUCAUCGCCUCUCCAAUGACUCGUGAGUAGUCCACUUCAGACCUACGGGUCCGUAGUUAGUAUCUAGAUGGCUUCUUCUCUCUCUUGGAUCUUCAAUACAAAGUUCUCAAUGAUCUUCAUGGAGAUCUAUCCAAUGUAAUCCUCUUUGGCGGUGUGUUUGUCGAGAUCCGAUGAAUUGUGGAUUUGUGAUCAGAUUAUCUAUGAAUUAUAUUUGAGUCUUUGCUGAUUUCUUAUAUGCAUGAUUUGAUAUCCUUGUAAGUCUCUCCGAGUCUUGGGUUUUGUUUGGCCAACUAGAUCUAUGAUUCUUGCAAUGGGAGAAGUGCUUGGUUUUGGGUUCAUACCGUGUGGUGACCUUUCCCAGUGACAAAAGGGGCAGCAAGGCAUGCAUCGUGUUGUUGCCAUCAAGGGUAACAAGAUGGGCUUUCAUCAUAAAUUUGAGAUUGUUCAUCUAUAUCAUGUCAUCUUGCUUAAGGCGUUACUCUGUUCUUUUGAACUUAAUACACUAGAUGCAUGCUGGAUAGCGGUCGACGUGUGGAGUAAUAGUAGUAGAUGCAGAAAGUAUCGGUCUACUUGUUUUGGACGUGAUGCCUAUAGAUAUAAUCAUUGCCUUAGAUAACGUCAUGACUUUGNNNNNNNNNNNNNNNNNNNNNNNNNNNNNNNNNNNNNNNNNNNNNNNNNNNNNNNNNNNNNNNNNNNNNNNNNNNNNNNNNNNNNNNNNNNNNNNNNNNNGCUCCCUCCGGACGUCCGUGGGCCGGUCAAGGGUCGGACGACCGACAUGCUUCGGAAAUCCGGAGCUCUGCACCAGAAGAACUUGAGCCCUAUAACCCAGAUUUCCGGCUCCCUCCGGACAUCCGAGGGCCGGUCGACCGACCAGCUUCGGAAAUCCGGAGCCCUGCACCAGAAGAACGUGAGCCAUAUAACUCGAACUUCCGGCUCCCUCCGGACGUCCGAGGGUCGGACGUCCGUCCCCCUUUGGAAAUCCGGAACCUUGCACCAGAAGAAGUUGAGUCGAAUAACUCGGAUUUCUGGCCUUCUUCGGACGUCCGGUCCCUGUUCAACUCACAGUGUUUCCACACAUAUCUACAGCUCUCGGACGACCGACCCCUAUCGGACGUCCGACCCCUUGCGAACGCCCGGACUUCCGUAAACUGCCGGACGUCCGAACCCUGUGUGACUUAAAGUGUCCCCAACGGCUGUUUUACACUCCCCACUAUAUAUACCCCCCCCCCACUUCGUGAGAGGGUNNNNNNNNNNNNNNNNNNNNNNNNNNNNNNNNNNNNNNNNNNNNNNNNNNNNNNNNNNNNNNNNNNNNNNNNNNNNNNNNNNNNNNNNNNNNNNNNNNNNGGCCCGUCGCCCGNGACCCGUCGCCUCGGCUCCGUCCGUCCGUGGCCGUCCCGGCUCYSGGAGCAGGCGAGGGUCGAGGCCACGCGCCCCAACUCCACGUCGGCCGUUGACCGCCGAGCCAGCGCUUCGCCCGGUCCUGGGCCGCCUCGCCUCGCCAGGCCCAGCUGCGCCUCGACCUGGCCCAGUUCCCGGCCUCCUCGAGGCCUGCGUCCCCUCCAACUGGGCCGAUCCCACUAGGUGAGCUCCCCCUCGACUAUCCCUCGCCCACGGCGUGUAAUUGCUUAUGGAGCCAAUGUGCUGUAUAGGCCCAGUGAAGGAUUUAGCCCGAUAGUAUUUUUUAGGGUUUUCGAAUUAGUUAAUUUCAAGAUUUAUUAGAUAUUUAAAACGCCUGUAAUUAAUUAACCGUAUGUCGGAUCGAGAUGAUCUAUAUAUGUAACUUGUGUAGUUUUGCGCGUAGAUUAUGUUUUUGCAACUUGCAUGCAUGUUUGAAGUGAUUUGACCCGCCAUAUGCCUAGUUUUGCGUGCUGUCCUAAUAGGGAUUUAUUUCGUAGUUAUAUUCGUGCGUGUCCGGANNNNNNNNNNNNNNNNNNNNNNNNNNNNNNNNNNNNNNNNNNNNNNNNNNNNNNNNNNNNNNNNNNNNNNNNNNNNNNNNNNNNNNNNNNNNNNNNNNNNUGGGCCGGUCAAGGGUCGGACGACCGACAUGCUUCGGAAAUCCGGAGCUCUGCACCAGAAGAACUUGAGCCCUAUAACCCAGAUUUCCGGCUCCCUCCGGACAUCCGAGGGCCGGUCGACCGACCAGCUUCGGAAAUCCGGAGCCCUGCACCAGAAGAACGUGAGCCAUAUAACUCGAACUUCCGGCUCCCUCCGGACGUCCGAGGGUCGGACGUCCGUCCCCCUUUGGAAAUCCGGAACCUUGCACCAGAAGAAGUUGAGUCGAAUAACUCGGAUUUCUGGCCUUCUUCGGACGUCCGGUCCCUGUUCAACUCACAGUGUUUCCACACAUAUCUACAGCUCUCGGACGACCGACCCCUAUCGGACGUCCGACCCCUUGCGAACGCCCGGACUUCCGUAAACUGCCGGACGUCCGAACCCUGUGUGCCUUAAAGUGUCCCCAACGGCUGUUUUACACUCCCCACUAUAUAUACCCCCCCCCACUUCGUGAGAGGGUGUUCAACACAGCUAGAACACAUCCAAGAACACCCUUCUUCUCACUCACUCUUGUCUACACCAAAUCUUAGACCCCAAGAGCAUUUGUGAGUCCCUUUGAGUGUUGUUCCAAUCAAAAGAUAGAUCGUCUCCUUCUCCUCCUUCCNNNNNNNNNNNNNNNNNNNNNNNNNNNNNNNNNNNNNNNNNNNNNNNNNNNNNNNNNNNNNNNNNNNNNNNNNNNNNNNNNNNNNNNNNNNNNNNNNNNNACUUUUGGUGUUAAUGACAACACAUACAUAGGAAACUAAUCCUAUUUGUUGAGUGUAUCUCAGGAUGGCAAGUACUUUAGUAGAUUGAGAAUUAUGUGCCAAAGGUGGUCUGAGAAGAUCGGGAUUUAUAUGUCAGGAAGGCUCGGGAUUGAGAAAAGAUGAUGUAGACUAUCCUUUUGAGUUUACUAUUCUUGAGUAUAGGGAUCCCGCACUAUUAAGAGGGGAUCACAGGUUUUGCGAUGAACUUGCUCAUACCACAUCUUCACUAUUCUGCUCAAUACCACAUAUUCUCUACUCCGCUCCUAUCUCAAAACAGGUCUAAUGCCUCGGACUUCCGGCUCCCUCCGGACGUCCGAGGGCCGGUCAAGGGUCGGACGACCGACAGGCUUUGGAAAUCCGGAGCUCUGCACCAGAAGAACUUGAGCCCUAUAACUCGGAUUUCUGGCUCCCUUCGGACAUCCGAGGGCCGGUCGACCGACCAGCUUCGGAAAUCCAGAGCCCUGCACCAGAAGAACGUGAGCCAUAUAACUUGGACUUCCGGCUCCCUCCGGACGUCCGAGGGUCGGACGUCCGUCCCCCUUCGGAAAUCCGGAACCUUGCACCAGAAGAAGUUGAGUCGAAUAACUCGGAUUUCCGGACUUCUCCGGACGUCCGGUCCCUGUUCAACUCACAGUGUUUCCAGACAUAUCUACAACUCUCGGACGACCGACCCCUGUCGGACGUCCGACCCCUUGCGGACGCCCGGACUUCCGUAAACUGCCGGACGUCCGAACCCUGUGUGCCUUAAAGUGCCCCCAACGGCUGUUUUACACUCCCCACUAUAUAUACCCCCUCCCACUUCGUGAGAGGGUGUUCAACACAGCUAGAACACAUCCAAGAACACCCUUCUUCUCACUCACUCUUGUCUACACCAAAUCUUAGACCCCAAGAGCAUUUGUGAGUCCCUUUGAGUGUUGUUCCAAUCAAAAGAUAGAUCGUCUCCUUCUCCUCCUGCCCACCAAAGUGAUUUGUGAUUUGAGCAAGUUUUGAGCAAUCCCCGUGAUAUUGUUACUCUUGGAGGUUGGAGACUCCUAGGCGGUAGGAGUCUUCGGAGAGGAAUCAAACCAUUGUGAUUUCCCCCGGAAAGUUUGUGAAGGUUUGGAAGCCACCUCAAGGCUUACCACUAGUGGUUGAGAAACGCCUUCGUGGAGUUAUCUCAAAGGGAGAAUAGGGUGAGCCUUCGUGGCCUUGGUGUGCCUUCGUGGUAACAUCCGCCCCUCUAACGGUGACGUAGCUUCCCUCCAAGGAAGUGAACAUCGGGAUACAUCCUCGUCUCUCUUGGAGUUUCAGUUAUUCCUAACCCUAACUCUCUACUUGUGUUAAUCCUUAUUACGUACUUGUAUUUGAUUAUUGUUUACCGCUUGCCUUACUUCACUCUAAAUAGCUUACUCCUUGUCAUAGCAAUUAUUAGGCCUACACUCAUAUUCCGCACUUUUGCCUAAAAUUGCUAAGUAAUUAUUAAAAUUUGGAACUGUACCUAUUCACCCCCCCUCUAGGUCCAUCUCGAUCCUUUUCAAUUGGUAUCAGGGCCUCGUGCUCUAUUCUUGUGGCUUAACCGCCCUAGAGCGAGAUGGACGGGAUUCCAACUACGGUAGCUCCAGUGGAGAGGGACGGGACUUCCACGGAAGUCAAGUCUUUCACCUCUGAGGACCUGGAACGGGCCCUUGCCAAGCAAAAAGAGGAGCAUGAUGCUUCUCUUGAGGCCUUGGUCCAAAUAAGACUGGCAUCAUUAACCACGGGGACAACCACGUCCCCGAGGGCCUCAGGGCCACAUGUGCACGGUUCUUCAUUUGGCCAACAACCUCCGGAAAGGAACCAAACCAGUGUUCCAUGGCUUUAUGCUAGAUCUCAAAUUGAGAAACCUAAGUACAAUCCUGGAGGAAAACCUCCCUUGAUUGAUGACGAUUCCAAUUUUGCUUUGUGGAGAGUUGGUAUGCAGGAUCAUCUUAGGUACGCCAAUGAUGAGAUGUUGGACAUCCUCGAGCAUGGGUACAAUCCUGUAGANNNNNNNNNNNNNNNNNNNNNNNNNNNNNNNNNNNNNNNNNNNNNNNNNNNNNNNNNNNNNNNNNNNNNNNNNNNNNNNNNNNNNNNNNNNNNNNNNNNNGUGCGGUCGAAAUCGGCCCGGAAAACCCCUAACCCUAGCCCCCUUUCCUAUUUAAACACCCCAUCCUUUAAUUUAGACAGCAAACACCUCUUCCACCUUGUUUUCCAUGCGAGACAGUGUGCAGAUGCCACCCCCCAACGCCCAUGUCUCCCUCCUCGCGCUAGCCCCUCCCGGCCCAGAUCGGGGCUCGCUCGAGCCCAUCUGGGCCCAGACGAGCCCGCUGGUGGUUGCAGCUCCCUGCAGCGCUCCUCCUCCCGAGACGCUGGCCCUAGCACCGCGCCGCCGUCGGGAGCCUUCGCCGCCAGGGCUCCCUCCGGCGCCCCAACACCCGCCCUGCUCGGCCCCGCCCUCCGUCGCGCCGCGUCGCCGCCUCUGUCUGUCCACCACGAGCAGBCBDGUYGCCCCGGAGCUUGUUGCUGCUUACCCGUAAGACCAUGUMGCGUCCGCCACCCCAUCGCCAUCGUCCCCGUCGGCCCGGCCCCUCCCCGACGGCCCUCCCCUCGCCCGGGAUCCGUUCGGCCCGGUACCAACCGGCUCCCGCCCGCCCCCGCGGNNNNNNNNNNNNNNNNNNNNNNNNNNNNNNNNNNNNNNNNNNNNNNNNNNNNNNNNNNNNNNNNNNNNNNNNNNNNNNNNNNNNNNNNNNNNNNNNNNNNACUUUAGUUACCGUACAAACGUAAAGGAAGGAAAGAACGUCAAUWCGUUGUAGCGUGUGCGUCAGAUUGUCUGUAGUACGACAAUACACUUGUAAUCAAGUUAGGGAGGUUAAGUACUUCCUACGAUGAGAUAGUGAUAGUUCUCCAAAGUCACUGCCACCAAGCUGUGAGAGCUUCGUGAUGAACUAUAACAUAUCAAGGAUAGAUACAAUGAUCUUUGAGUGAUUCGCGAUGUUUGACACUGCGAAAGUAGAAAUCAAGAAGGAGCAUCAAUAGUUGAUGGUUAGUAAAACCACUAAGUUUCGAGAAAGGCAAGGGCUAGAAGGGAUACUUCGUGAAACGGCAAAACAGUUGCUGCACUAAUGAAGAGACCCAAGAUUAAACCCAAACCUGAGACUGAGUGCUUCUGUAAUGAGGGGAACAGUCACUGAGGCGGAGCAACUCUAGAUACUUGGUAGAUAAGUAGGCUGGCAAAAGUCAAAAGAAGUAUAUUUGAUAUACAUGAUGUGUACUUUAUUAGUACUCCUAGUAGCAUGAGGGUAUUGGAUACCGGUUCGGUUGCUAAGUGAUUAGUAACACGAAAUGAUAGCUACGGCAUAAACGGAGACUAGCUAAAGGCGAGGUGACGAUACGUGUUGGAAGUGUUUCCAAGAUUGAUAUGAUCAAAACAUCGCACGCUCCCUCUACCAUCGGGAUUGGUGUUAAACCUAAAUAAUUGUUAUUUGGUGCUUGCGUUAAGAAGGAACAUGAUUGGAUCGUGUUUAUUGCAAUACGAUUAUUCAUUUAAAGAGAAUAAUGGUUACUCUAUUUGCUUGAAUAAUCGCCUUCAAUGGUUUAUUGAAUCUCGAUCGUAGUGUUACACAUGUUCAUGAUAUUGGUGCCAAAAGACACGAGGUAAUGAUGAUAGUACCACUUACUUGUGGCACUGCAGCUUGAGUCAUGUUGGUAUAAAUUGCAUGAAGAGGCUCCAUGCUGAUGGAUCUUUAUACUCACUUGAUUUUGAAUCACUAGUGACAUGCAAAUCAUACCACAUGAGCAAGGCCUUGUUUUUCAUUGAGAUGAAACAAGAUAUUAACUUGUUGGAAGUGAUGCAUUUUGAUGUAUGCAAUCCAAUGGGUACUGAGGCACGCAGUGGAUAUCAUUAUGUUCUUACUUCAAUGACGAUUUGAGUGGAUACAAGAGUAUUUACUUAAUGAAUCACAAGUCUGAUAUAUUGAAAAGUUCAAUUCUGUUUCGGAGUGAAGUUCGUCGUAACAAGAGGAUAAACUGUCUACGAUAUGAUCAUAGAAAUGAAUAUCUGAGUUACGAGUUUUGGUACGCAGUUAAGACAAUGUGGAAAUUGUUUCGCAGUUCAUGCCACCUGGAACAUCAUAGUGUGAUGAUGUGUCUGAACGUCAUAGCCACGCACUAUUUGGUAUGGUGCAUGCUAUGAUGUCUCUUAUCGAAUUACCACUAUCAUUUAUGGGUUAUGCAUUACAGACAACCGCAUUCACUUUAAAUAGGGCACCACGUAUUUCCGUUGAGAUGACACAGUAUAGACUGAGGUUUGGAGAAAUCUAAACUGUCGUUUCUUGAAAGUUUGGGGCUUCGACACUUAUGUGAAAAAGUUUCAGUCUGAUAAGCUCGAACCCAAAGCGGAUAAAUGCAUCUUCAUAGGAUAUCCAAAACAGUUGGGUACAUCUCCUAUCUCAGAUCCGAAAGCAAAGUGUUUGUUUCUAGAAACGGAUCCUUUCUCAAGGAAAGGUUUCUCUCGAAAGAAUUGAGUGGGAGGGUGGUAGAACUUGAUGAGGUUAUUGAACCAUCACUUCGACCAGUGUGUAGCAGGGCGCAGGAAGUUGUUCCUGUGGCGCCUACACCAAUUGAAGUGAAAGCUGAUGAUGGUGAUCAUAGAGCAUCGGAUCAAGUUACUACAAGCCUCGUAGGUUGACAAGGUCGCGUACUACUACAGAGUGGUACGGUAACCCUGUCUUGGAGGUCAUGUUGUUGAGCAACAGUGAACCUACGAGUUAUGGGGAAAGCAAUGGUGGGCCCAGAUUCCGACAAAUGGCUGGAAGCCAUGAAAUCCGAGAGAGGAUCCAUGUAUGAAAACAAAGUGUAGACUUUGGAAGAACUACUUGAUGGUCAUAGGACUAUUGAGUAAAGAUGGAUCUUUAAAAGGAAGACAGACGAUGAUAGUGAUAAGUCACUAUUAAGAAAAGCUCGACUUGUCGCAAAUAUGUUUCCGAAAAGAUCAAACAGUUGACUAUGAUGAGACUUUCUCACUCGUAGCGAUGCUAAAAGUCUGUUAGAAUUUUGUUAGUAGUUGCUGCAUUAUUUAUGAAAUAUUGCACGUAGGAUGUCAAAACAUUGUUUCCUCAACGGUUUCCUUGAGCAAACAUUGUAUGUGAUACAACCAGUAGGUUUUGUCGAUCCUAAAGAUACUAGCAAAUAUGCAAGCUCCAGCGAUCCUUCAAUGGACUGGUGCAAGCAUCUCGGUGUUGGAAUAUACACUUUGAUGAGAUGAUCAAAGAUUUUGGGUUUGUACAAGGUUUAUGAGAAACUUGUAUUUCCAAAGAAGUGAGUGGGAGCACUAUAGAAUUUCUGAUAAGUAUAUGUGGUUGACAUAUUGUGGAUCAAAAGUAAUGUAGAAAUUCUGUAAAGCAUACAAGGUUGUUUGAAAGGAGUUCUCAAAGGAAUACCUGGAUUGCGCUACUUGAACGUUGAGCAUCAAAGAUCUAUGGAGAUAGAUCGAAAGCGCUUGAUAGAAGUUUCAACAAGAUGCAUGCCUUGACAAGUUUUUGAAGGAGUUCAAAAUGGAUCAGCAAAGAAGGAGUUCUUGGUUGCGUUGUAAGGUGUGAAUUUGAGUAAGACUCAAAACCCGAGCAUGGCAGAAUAAAGAGAAUAGACGAAGGUCGUCUUCUAUGCCUUAGCCGUAGACUCUAAAGUAUGCCAUGCUGAGUACCGCACCUCCUACCCCUGUGUGCCUUGCAGCAAGUCUGUUAAGAGGUACACAGAGUGAUCCAGGAUUGAAUCACUGAUCAACGGUCAAAGUUAUCCUUGGUAACUAAAUAGACUAAGGAAUUUUUCUCGAUUAUGGAGGUGGAUAAAGAAUUCAUCGUAAAGGGUUACGUCGAUGCAAGCUUUGACACUAAUCCGAAUAACUAUGAGUAGUGAAACGGAUUCGUAUAGUAGAGUAGAUAUUUGGAGUAUUUUCGAAUAGCACAUAGAAGAAACAUCUAUAAGAUGACAUAAAUAUUUGUAAAGAACACACGGAUCUGAAAGUUUCAGAACCGUUGACUAAAACCUCUCUCACGAGCAAGACGUGAUCAGACCCCAUAACUAUAUGGGUGUUGGAUUCGUUAGAAUCACAUGGUGAUGUGAACUAGAUUAUUGACUCUAGUGCAAGUGGGAGACUGUUGGAAAUAUGCCCUAGAGGCAAUAAUAAAUUAGUUAUUAUUAUAUUUCUUUGUUCAUGAUAAUCGUUUAUUAUCCAUGCUAUAAUUGUAUUGAUUGGAAACACAGUGCAUGUGUGGAUACAUAGACAAAACACUGUCCCUAGUAAGCCUCUAGUUGACUAGCUCGUUGAUCAAAGAUGGUCAAGGUUUCCUGACCAUGGGCAAGUGUUGUCACUUGAUAACGGGAUCACAUCAUUAGGAGAAUCAUGUGAUGGACUAGCCCAAACUAAUAGACGUAGCAUGUUGAUCGUGUCAUUUUGUUGCUACUGUUUUCUGCGUGUCAAGUAUUUGUUCCUAUGACCAUGAGAUCAUAUAACUCACGGACACCGGAGGAAUGCUUUGUGUGUAUCAAACAUCGCAACGUAACUGGGUGACUAUGAAGAUGCUCUACACGUAUCUCCGAAGGUGUUAGUUGAGUUAUAUGGAUCGAGACUGGGAUUUGUCACUCCGUGUGACGGAGAGGUAUCUCGGGGCCCACUCGGUAAUACAACAUCACACACAAGCUUUGCAAGCAAUGUGACUUAGUGUAAGUUACGGGAUCUUGUAUUACGGAACGAGUAAAGAGACUUGCCGGUAAACGAUAUUGAAAUAGGUAUGCGGAUACUGACGAUCGAAUCUCGGGCAAGUAACAUACCGAAGGACAAAGGGAAUGACAUACGGGAUUAUAUGAAUCCUUGGCACUGAGGUUCAAACGAUAAGGUCUUCGUAGAAUAUGUAUGAUCCAAUAUGGGCAUCCAGGUCCCGCUAUUGGAUAUUGACCGAGGAGUCUCUCGGGUCAUGUCUACAUAGUUCUCGAACCCGCAGGGUCUGCACACUUAAGGUUCGACGUUGUUUUAUGCGUAUUUGAGUUAUAUGGUUGGUUACCGAAUGUUGUUCGGNNNNNNNNNNNNNNNNNNNNNNNNNNNNNNNNNNNNNNNNNNNNNNNNNNNNNNNNNNNNNNNNNNNNNNNNNNNNNNNNNNNNNNNNNNNNNNNNNNNNCUAGGUCUUGCGCCUAUAUAUUCCCAAAUAUUCCGCAAAAAAUCACGGGAGCCUCGAAAAUACUUUUCCGUCGCCGCAAGCUUCCGUUUCCGCGAGAUCUCAUCUGGAGACCCUUCCCGGCACCCUGCUGGAGGGGACUUUGGAGGUGGAGGGCUUCUUCAUCAUCAUCAUCGCCCCUCCAAUGACUCGUGAGUAGUUCACUUCAGACCUACGGGUCUGUAGUUAGUAGUUAGAUGGCUUCUUCUCUCUCUUGGAUCUUCAAUACAAAGUUCUCCAUGAUCUUCAUGGAGAUCUAUCCGAUGUAAUCUUCUUUGGCGGUGUGUUUGUCGAGAUCCGAUGAAUUGUGGACUUGUGAUCAGAUUAUCUAUGAUAUAUAUUUGAGUCUUUGCUGAUUUCUUAUAUGCAUGAUUUGAUAUCCUUGUAAGUCUCUCCGAGUCUUGGGUUUUGUUUGGCCAACUAGAUCUGUGAUUCUUGCAAUGGGAGAAGUGUUUGGUUUUGGGUUCUGCCAUGUGGUGACCUUUCCCAAUGACAGUAGGGGCAGCAAGGCACACACRAGCAUUGCCAUCAAGGGUAAAAAGAUGGGGUUUUUAUCAUUGGUUCGAGAUUAUCCCUCUACAUCAUGUCAACUUGCUUAAGGCGUUACUCUGUUCUUAUGGACUUAAUACACUAGAUGCAUGCUGGAUAGCGGUCAACGUGUGGAGUAAUAGUCGUAGAUGCAGAAAGUAUCGGUCUACUUGUCUCGGACGUGAUGCCUAUAGAAAUAAUCAUUGCAUAGAUAUCGUCACGACUCUACACAGGUCUAUCAAUUUCUCGACAGUAAUUUGUUCACCCACCGUCUACUUGCUUUCAUGAGAGAAGCCACUAGUAAACACUACGGCCCCCGGGUCUAUUCACAUCCAUCGUUUACAUCUCCGCUUUUACUUUGCUUUGUUACUUUGUUGCUUUCAGUUCUCACUUGGCAAACAAUCUAUAAGGGAUUGACAACCCCUUCAUAGCGUUGGGUGCAAGCUUUUGUGUUUGUGCAGGAUCUUGAGAUAUUCUUCCGCCGGAUUGAUACCUUGGUUCUCAAACUGAGGGAAAUACUUACCGUCGCUGUGCUACAUCACCCUUUCCGCUUCGAGGGAACACCAACGCAAGGCUCCAAGGCACACAGGGGAUAGGCCUUUGCAUACUUGCCUAGGAAGUCCCUUAAGGCGUAGCCGCAGCUGAAAGAUUCCUGGUGCCGUCGACACAACUAUUUCUGGCGCCAUUGCAAGGGAUACAUAGCAGCCAUCAGAAGUAUUUCUGGCGCCGUUGCCGGGGAGGAGAAAUCAAGAUCUAUCCAAGUAGGUAUCACAAACUCUUCUCUUGCAUUUACUUUUGUUGCCAGAUGCCUCUCGUUUUCCUCUCCCCCACUUUACAUUUGUCGUUUUCAUUCGCCUUUCGCCUUCGCCAUUUUCUUUUGCCUUGUUGAUGUCUUCUUUUGCCCGUUUCACUCUCUCUUCCUUCUCGUUUGUGUGUGAGAUAGUCCAUCAAUGGCUAGACCCACCACUCCAAACGACACCCCUGAAAAUGAAGUUCUCAAUUUCAGGCAGAAUGAGGAAGAAAAUUUGAAGGACGCUUGGUACAGGAUUUGCAAUGCUCAAAGUAGAUCUACUCGUAAGCAAUCCACCACCGUCCUCCUUCGCGGUUUCUAUGUUGGAAUUUCUCCUUGGAGUAGGUAUAUCCUUGAUACCAUUGUAGGCGGGAAAUUUUGGGGAGCCAUACUAUUGACUCCUAUAGAGCUAUCAUUAAUUUGGUAGGCUCACCCCCGCUCAUGGUUAAUGGAACUAUCUUGACCUUGGAACACGUGAUGCAAAGGCUUGACGCUAUUGAAAACAAAAUUGCCACAGUUGAACUUAUUGAGGGUUUGGAUAGAAAGAUCCACAAUCAAAUUACUCAGUGCGGAUCCAAAGUGGGAAACUUUUUCAAAAAUUUAAAGGAGAAGGAACUUAUAGUUAAUGAUCUUCUAGAAUUGGCAAAUUAGAAGAUGUCAUAACCAACUUGGGUUCCGCUUUUGUCGCUGUGCAAAAUACUCCAAAUAUUAUUCUCAAAAAGACCGUCAAGCCUGUUUUUGUUCCUAGAGCUAGUGGUGAGUCAUCUAAUAAAGUUGAAAAUCUUAAGAUGAUAAAUGAUCACGCUACCUAUGGUUUGAGCACCAAAGAUGACUAUAUGUGAUUCCAUCACUUUCGCCUAGCUAAGGGCGUUAAACAAAAGCGCUAGUUGGGAGGCAACCCAACGAAUCUAUCAUUUUUCUUUCUGUUUUGUGUUUUCCACACUUUCAUAAUUCUUUUAUGAUUGUGUUUUUUGUGUUUCUUUUUGCGUUUGUGCCAAGCAAAACCGUUAUGAUUAGUCUUGAGGACGAUCGUUUGGUCAUGCUGGGAAAGACAGAAACUUUCUGCUCACGAAAAGAUUUUUCAUUUUUUUCUGUAAGAGAUUUUGAGUUGAUUCUUUUUGUUUAUGAUUGCUACGAAAAUGCUUCAGACUGUCGUAAUUUUUCAGAAUUGUUGAAGUACCAUAGGUAUACAAAACAUACAGAUUGCUACAGACUGGUCUGCUGUUAAGAGAUUCUGUUUUUGUUGUGUUGGUUGCUUAUUUUGAUGAAACUAUGGAUAGUAUCAGGGGGUAUUAGCCAUGGAAGAUUGAAAGUACAGUAACCCAACAUCAGCACAAGUAGAAUUUAAGUUUGCUACAGUACCUAAGGAAGUGGUGGUUUGCUUUCUUGUACUAAUGUUAUCACGAGUUUCUGUUUAAGUUUCGUGUUGUGAAGUUUCCAAGUUUUGGGUGAAGUUCUUAUGGACAAAAAGAUAAAGAGUGGCAAGAGAUCAAGCUUGGGGAUGCCCAAGGCACACAGGGGAUGAGGAUGUCGUAAAGCCUAAGCUUGGGGAUGCCCCGGGAAGGCAUCCCCUCUCUCGUCUUCAAUCCAUCGGUAACGUUACUUGGGGCUAUAUAUUUUAUUCACCACAUGUUAUGUUGUUUUUCGCUUGGAGUCGUCUUGUAUCGUAGGUAGUUCUUUUAUUUGUUGUGUCACKUGUCAUUCCUUGCUGCACUACCUAGAGAGAGAGACGNNNNNNNNNNNNNNNNNNNNNNNNNNNNNNNNNNNNNNNNNNNNNNNNNNNNNNNNNNNNNNNNNNNNNNNNNNNNNNNNNNNNNNNNNNNNNNNNNNNNGUACCCACCGGAACCGGUUUAACGUGGGUUUUAAAACCCUAACCCCGUAACCUACUACCCGGAACUUYACCGRUAWCGGAGKCCGAAAUUACCCUUCUAACGGUAAAGACGGUCUAAAGGUAAUAUGCGACAUUCCUCAUCUCACGAAAAGGAUGGGACUGGAACAUAUGCCUCAGUUCACCCCCCACUGGUCUAUGGAGGAUCCGCUCCCACACCGCGUCUUAAUCCUGUUGGUCCUCCUCCUAAGCUUGUGAAAGGUGACUUUGCUAACUGGGUAUUUUCUAUUAAGUCUCAUUUGAAUCACAGCUCAACAAACUUGUGGAGAAUCAUCGAGCAAGGAUAUUAUCCCCAUGAUCCAAGUAACCUCACUCCAAGAAAAGAUGCAGACAAUCAAUACAAUCACUCCGCCUUGUUUAUUCUCCAGUCUGCAGUGCCACCUGAAGAUCUUCCUCACUUGCGUCCCUUCACUUUGGCCAAGGAUUGUUGGGAGCAUAUUAUUGUGUUGUACAAGGGAAGCACAAGCAUUCAACGAUCCAACUAUGAAGUGAUACUUGAUAAGGCCGAUGAGUUUGUGAUGAAGGAAGACGAGGACCCUCGUGAUCUCUAUCGCAGGGUGACAGCUAUUGCUGUGGCACUCAAGGAACAUGGGAGCAAGGAUGUGGAUGAUACAUGGGUCAAGCGCAAGUUUCUCAAAGCCAUCAUGCCUUUCAACAAAGCCAUGUCAUCUGUCAUUCGUCAGCGGCCAGACUUCCACUCCUUGUCUUCUAGUGAGGUGUUGGAUGAAUUUAUUGCAAUGUCAAUCAUGAACGAAACAACCAACAAUGCACUUGCUUGUGUUCGCUCAAAGACAACUUCACCCAACCUUGCGUUAAAAGCAAAAGCAAUGUUUGAAGAAGAAGAAGAGGAUGAGGAAGAGGAGAGCUUCCUUGAAGACAUAAAGUAUGCCUAUCAUGAGCACAUGGCUCUUGCGUCAAGGCAAUUCUGGGGCAACAAGAGGAACUCAAGACCCACCUUCACCAAGAACAACUCGAGUGGAUUCAAACGCAAGCAACGAGUGAGGACAUGUUAUAACUGUGGUAACGUGAGCCACUUCGUGGCCGAAUGUCCCGAUGAGAAAAGGGAAGACAACGGGGGCAAGCUCAUUCGCAAAGACAAAACCAAAGUCAUUUCCAAUCAAGAACAACUUUGUGAAGAAACCCCACCCAAAAGGGAUGGUGGCCCUUGAAGAGUACCCUUCCGAUGAUGAUGAUGAUGAUGAUGCAGUGGCAACGGCAACUGUUGCUAUUGCCACUACCUCCCCCCCAGAAGGUGUCUCUCUUCAACGCCCCCAACGAGAACCACAUCACCAAGUGCCUCAUGGCAAAAGGUAUCAAUCAGGUAUCCCAUCAUUAAGACCAACAUCGCUACUGCUCCUUCAUUGUUAAAUUGUGUUGAUGAUAGUGAUGUUGGGGAACUUAAUGAGCAUGAUCUUGACAAGUUUUUGUGCACUAUUAAGGGAGAAUCCAAGAAGCACUUUGUUGCUCUCUUGGAACAACUGGGUGAGGCCAAUGAUCUCAUUGAGUCUCAUGAGGAGACCAUCUCCGAGCUUCAGGGACACAGUCGUGACUGUGCCGAAGAAAUUGCUGAAUUAUCUAUUGCUCUAGAAAAGGAGCGCACUCUUCGUUUGGCUCUUGAGGAGUCAUAUAACGAUGAAUGCGCUAAAAUGCAAAAGAAACUAGAUCAUGAUGUUGUUCUUACUCGUAUGCUUAAGUCUGAAAAGUAUGCUCUUGGGGUUGGCUAUGACAGACUCAAAGUGGAGUUUGACACACUUGACAAGGCCCACAAGGUCUUGAAAGGUGUUCAUUUCUCUCUGAAAGAGUCUCAUGAUCAACUCCAAGCAAAGCUUACCAAGGAGAUCUCUACUUGUCCUCCCUUUGUGUUAAUUGAUAAUGCUUGUGCAACUAAUCCCUGUUGUGAGCAUGUACAUCUUGUGGAGGAAAAUAGCCAAGUUAAAGGAGAAACUUGAGAAGGGCCUUGUGGCAUGCAUACAAGGUGAGAAGAGCCUGAACGAUCUCUUGAGCACUCAAAAAGGUGUUGUAGGAAAGGAGGGACUUGGACUUACCUCCAAGUCAAAAGGUAAAGGGAGGAACAGGAACAAACGAUCUCCUACCCUCAUGGACAUCUUUGUAAAAGAGGGUGAGGGGACUCAGAAGGUGAACAGGAACAAGGUGGACUAUGGAAACCUCAAGAAGGGCAAAACCUUUCCUACUAACACAUCCGACAAACUCAAUUCUUCUUUUGUCUUAUGUCGUGCUAGUGAUGGGCAUGUUUAUGCCACAUUUGUUGGUUCCUAUGAUGAGUACAUUGAAUGGGCUAUCUGGGUUCCUAAGACCCUUGUCUCUAACAUGAAAGGACCCAUUAAAAAAUGGGUACCUAAAACCAAGCCUUGAUCUAUUGCAGGAGUUUGCUUCCGGUAGCGUGUCAUGGUUGCUCGAUAGUGGAGCAACAAAUCAUAUGACCGGAAGCAAGGACUUAGUGGUGGAUGUGCAUCCUUCUCCAUCUAUGCCCACCCAUGUCCAAUUCGUCGAUGCAUCCUCGUCAAAGGUAUUGGGAUUUGGUAAGGUGGUCGUCUCUCAAGAGUUAUCUAUUGAGAAGGUCAUGCUUGUUGAGUCACUUGCCUACAAUUUACUUUCGGUGCGUCAACUUGCAAUUAUGGGUUUUUCCACAUUCUUUAAUCUUGAUAUUGUGGUCCUCGUGUGGAGGAAGACUCUUAAAGUAGCCUAUGUUGGAUAUGUCGAAAAUGGUCUUUAUGUGGUGAACUUCUCAAAGCGACCCACUAAGACCGCGACGUGUUUAAUGGCUAAAGUUGAUGUGGGCUGGCUUUGGCAUCGCCGUUUAGCUAAUGUCAAUAUGAGAUCUUUGCAAAGUCUUCUAACAGGGGACCAUAUUCGUGGACUAACAAAUGUGAGUUUUGCUAAAGAUCGUGUUUGCAGUGCCUGCAUUGAAGGAAAGAUUCAUGAAACUGCUCAUCGUCCAACGACUCUCAUCUACACUAAGAGGCCAUUGGAGCUCCUCCAUAUGGAUCUGUUUGGCCCUCCAUCAUUUGAUAGUCUUGGAGGCAGAAAGUACUGCUUGGUGAUUGUUGACGACCAAUCAAGAUAUACCUGGGUAUAUUUCUUCAAAAGGAAGAGAGAAACUCAACAAACUGUCAUCAACUUUGCUAAUGAAGCUCAAUGUCAACAUGAAGCAAAGAUCUUGAUGAUUAGAAGUGACAACAGCACCGAGUUCAAGAACUACACCUUGGAUGAGUUUCUAGGUGAUGAGGGAAUAAAACAUCAAUAUUCAGCACCAUAUACCCCUCAACAAAACGGCGUGGCAGAAAGGAAGAACCGAACCUUGAUAGACACUGCAGGAACAAUGAUGGCAGAAUUCAAAUCUCCAUAUAACUUUUGGGCAGAGGCCAUCAACACAGCAUGUCAUGCGUCCAAUCGGCUCUAUAUCCGCAAAUGCUUGAACAAGACUCCGUAUGAGAUUCUAACUGGAAACAAACCCAAUCUCAAGUACUUCCGGGUAUUCGGUUGUAAGUGUUUCAUUCUCAAGAAAGGUGCACGUUUAGCUAAAUUUGAUUCUAGAGCACAUGAGGGCAUCUUUGUUGGUUAUGCUACAAACUCUCAUGCUUACCGUGUCCUCAACAAGUCCACCGGACUCAUUGAGGAGACGUGUAACGUGGAGUUUGAUGAAAAUAAUGGCUCCCAAGUGGAGCAAAGUGGUCUUUGUGAUGUAGGUGAUGAAAUUCCUCCCCAAACCAUAAGAAGAAUGGGGAUUGGUCAAAUACUCCCCAUUGAGGAACCCCUUGUGGCCGAAGGAGAAGGACAAUGCUCUACUCAAAUGGAGCCAUCACCUCCACAAGCCCCACACGCUUCCGAUGAACAAAGAGAAGACUCUCAACAAAAUGAACAAGCUCAUGGUCAAGAUAAAUUGCCCAACAAUGAUGAGGUGUCCCAUGAUAUUCAAGUUCUCACGCAAGGCUCCGAACCUGCUCAUGAUCAAGAUCAAGUGCAACCGCGAGAUCCAGACCAAGUAGAAGCACAAGAUCAAUAUCAAGAGCAACCACAAAUACAAGAACAAACUAGUGAACCUGAUCAAGUCGAAAGUCAAGAUGAUCAGGAUACUGUCUCACAAUUCCCUUCUGCAGCACCAACAGCCGGUGCCAAAGGAGGCUCAAGACGCAAGGGCAAGCACAGUAAACAAGUCGAUGAUCCCCAGUUAUCCAAUGAAGAACUCUUGGAGCGUCGAGAAGCCAAGAUUGCGAACAAGCUGAUAGUCAAGUCACAUCUUAUGAAGAAUGUACUUGGUAGUUUAAAAAGGGGAGUAUCCACCCUCAACAGAUUUGGAAUUAUUGUGAGCAUCACGUGUUUGUUUCGUACUGUGAACCUCAGCAUGUACAGGAAGCGCUCGAUGAUGAGGAUUGGCUUAUGGCCAUGCGUGAAGAACUUAACAACUUCGAGCGUAACCAAGUCUGGGAUUUAGUACCAAGGCCAACGGAGGAACAUAAUGUCAUCGGGACCAAAUGGAUAUUCAAGAACAAGCAAGAUGCCAAUAGGAUUGUGAUUCGAAACAAGGCAAGAUUGGUGGCUCAAGGCUACUCCCAAGUCGAGGGUAUCGACUACGUUGAAACCUUUGCCCCUGUUGCUCGUCUAGAAUCCAUUCGCAUGUUGCUUGCAUUUGCUUCUCAUCAUAACUUCAAAUUACAACAAAUGGAUGUGAAAAGUGCCUUUCUUAAUGGUCCUUUAAAUGAGUUGGUCUAUGUCAAACAACCCCCAGGAUUCGAACAUCCCAAGCUCCCCAAUCAUGUGUACAAACUUAAUAAGGCACUCUAUGGUCUUAAACAAGCCCCACGUGCGUGGUAUGAGUAUCUUACUGAGUUGUUACAAGAUCGUGGGUUUGAAAUUGGGAAGAUAGAUCCCACUCUUUUUACUAAGAGGGUUAAAGGGGAUUUGUUCAUAUGCCAACUAUAUGUUAAUGAUAUUAUCUUUGGCUCUCCUAACAUUUCCUUCAAUGAAGAAUUUGCUGCACUAAAGACUGAGAAAUUUGAGAUGUCCGUGAUGGGAGAGUUUAAGUUCUUCCUCGGGUUCGAGAUUAAACAAGGCCUAGAAGGGACCUUUAUCAAACAAGCCAAGUACACUCAAGACAUGCUCAAACGGUUAGAGCUUGAAGAUGUCAAACCGGUCAAGUUCCCCAUGCCAACAAGAUGCAAGCUUGACAGUGAUCCCAAUGGUAAAGCAGUGGAUCAAAAGGUAUAUCGCUCCAUGAUUGGAUCCCUCCUUUACCUUUGUGCAUCUAGACCGGAUAUUAUGUUGAGUGUAGGGAUGUGUGCACGGUUUCAAUCCGCACCAAAAGAAAGUCAUUAUAUGGCUGUUAAGCGAAUCUUUCGAUAUUUGGCUCAUACCCCAAACUUUGGCCCAUGGUAUCCCAAAGGAUCAAACUUCAACCUAGUUGCCUAUUCUGACUCAGAUUGGGCAGGAGAUUGUGUGGAGAGGAAGUCAACGUCUGGAGGAUGCCAAUUCCUUGGUCGCUCACUGGUAAGUUGGUCUUCAAAGAAGCAGAAUUGCGUCUCUCUAUCAUCCACCGAAGCUGAGUAUGUGGGAGCUGCAAGUUGUUGUGCACAAUUGCUAUGGAUGAGGCAAACUUUAAAGGAUUACGGUGUCACUUGUGACAAAGUGCCUCUUCUAUGUGACAAUCAAAGUGCUAUCAAGAUUUCCCUCAACCCAGUGCAACAUAGCAAAACCAAGCAUAUUGAUAUUCGCCAUCACUUCAUUCGUGAACAUAUCAAGCUAGGUGAUACUGAGGUCCACUUCAUCCACACUGAAGAGCAACUUGCAGAUAUCUUCACUAAGCCCCUAGAUGAAGCAAGGUUCCGGGAGUUAAGGCAUGAGCUAAAUAUCAUUGAUUCAACUAAUGUGGAUUGAAGCUAGGCACGUUGCACCUUACUAUGCAUUUUAUCUCGUUCUAGAUGUAGGCAUGGACAUAGGGGGGGUGUUGUUCUCUCAAUGAACUCUUCCUCCCCCCAUUAUGCAUAAAUUGAUCUAGUCUUUCACUUUAGCCAUUACCAAAUGGCACUUGUGCUUCAAAGACGAGUGUUGGUCAUGAACCCAAGGAUAAUUCUUCGCGGUGUCAUACCUUUGUCUCAAACAUAGGUGGCCUCGGCCACCGCCCCCCCACCUUUCUCUCAUAUGGAAGAAAGGAUACAAAAUGACAAGUCAGUAUAUCUUGCUGGUGCUAUCUUCUUAUUUUCACUACUUGUCAUUUGCCCACGUUCUUCUCAUCUCCUAGGUCCCGUUGUGACAUUUGCAGCGGUACUACCGCCAGGGGUAGCGGUACUACCGCCAGGACCCCAGCGGUACUACCGCCAGGGGUAGCGGUACUACCGCCAGGACCCCAAUCUACCACGACCUAACUAGGAUAUUUUUAGGGCUGUCUCAGGGGGAGCGGUACUGUCGCCAGGGGAGCGAUACUACCGCCAGGACCCCAGCGGUACUAUCGCUGCAACUAGCGGUACUACCGCCAGGACCUAAGCGGUACUACCGCUGGCCCGUACCCCUUGGGCUAUAUAAAGGAGGGGAGCCCAUUUUUCUGCCUCUUUCCUCUUCCUCGUGGCUCCUCCCUCCCGAACCCCGAACUCCCCCUACUUGGAUCUCUAUCCGUGGAGCCCCUUCUCUCCGUUGACUUGGAGGGUUUGCUCCACUUAUCCUUCCUCCUCCAAGUGCCAUGGAUCCCGGUAAAGCUCCUCCCCUUCUUCUCUUGGUUGAUGUUCUCUUGUUCUAGGGUUAGGAGCAUUGGUGGUUUGGAUCCAUGUCUUUGAUAUUGUGCUUUGUUCUUGGAUGGCAUGAAGGAGGUAUUCGAGGGGAGUGUAGGUCCUAUGAAUCUUUGCUUUUAUAUUGCCAUGCCCUAGGAUUUUCAUGUUUUAGAUCAAGCAUGUCUUCUAUUUUUGGAUUCGAUCUAAAAUUUGCAUCCUCUUGCCUAGGCAUGUUCUUAUUUAGAUGGUACUUGUGAUCCUCAUGUGGUUAGGGCUGUGGUGGAGUUCUUAGUGAUUAUACACAGCCCAUGGCCCUCGUAAAUUCCAUGUAGCCAUCUCUAUGGGUUCUUUUCAUAUUCAGAUCUGAAAAUCAAACCCCACCGGUAAUACCGCCAGGGGUAGCGGUACUACCGCUAGGACCCCAGCGGUACUACCGCUAGAAGGAUUCUCUGUUUAUUCUUUUUCAUGUGCUUGGCAAUGAGUGUUUACUUUUCUGCCUUUUCUUGUUCAUUGCCUUCACCCCUUUUAUCGCUCUUUCACUUGAUGUUGACAUCUCCAGCGGAUCAGAGGACGACAUCACUCCAGAGUCUGCUUGGAUGCGGGCUCAAGGUUACCAGUGGUCUGGCGAAGAGGAGGAGCAGGACAAUGAAGAGGAGCAGGACGAUCCGGAUGCUACGGACGAGACUGGGGAUGAUGAGGAUGAGGAGUGACCACCUGUGGCGUUAGGUGUGCCCCUUUUUGGUGUCUUGUGCCAAAGGGGGAGAGAGUCUAGGAGCUGGAUUUGCUUUGAGAGUUGAACUUUGCUUAGCUUUGCUUAUCUUUCGUGUUUGCUUUGAACUUCGUUUGCUUCUAUUUUGCUAUCUUUGCUCCGUGUGACGUGAGACAUGAACUAGUGUGAGAUUUAUUUCCAUCAUAUGCUGUGAGUCAUAUGCUCCUUAUUUUUCAUAUAUCUCUAUCUUUUUGUUCACAUGUUAUUCACUGUGCAAAUCCGGUAUUGUCAUCAAUCCACCAAAAAGGGGGAGAUUGUUGGGGCAUAGUUUAUGCCUAAGUAAUUUUGAUGAUUGAUGACAGUACCGCAAAGGACUAACCGUGUGUGUUAAGAUUUCAGAUAACACACGUCAACGGCACAAGACGACUCGCCCCCUCUUUCGUGGAACAGAAGCACGGUGUUCUCUACGAUUCUCUUUAUUUGAUUCAUAGGAAAGCCGUACUAUUAAGAGGGGAACCGUAGUGGAAAGGUUUGGGUGGAAUCAAUCUUGCACGCGCACACUUCACCUCUUUUCCCCCUUGCCGACAACUUUGGAGUGGCUCCCGCCUUGGUGUUUCUUUCUUCUUUGCAAAUGGUCCCCAGCGGUAGUACCGCUAGGCCUAGCGGUAGUACCGCUGGAGUGCUAGCGGUAGUACCGCUGCAGCCAGCGGUGGUACCGCUAGCUGGCGGUCGUACCGCCCCUGGUCAGCGGUAGUACCGCUCCAGGAGCUUAGUACCGCCUGCCUAGCGGUUGUACGUGGACGGACCUUUUUGCGAAGACUUUCUUGGCGGUGGUAGUGCUUAUGCACUACUAGGGGCCCAGCGGUAGUACCGCUGCAGCCAGCGGUAGUACCGCUAGGCACGGGCUGUGAGUGGGAAAACGGUUGGAUUCCCCCCCCACUAUAUAAAGGGUUCUUCUAGUUGUGGAACCCUAUCUCUUACCCUCCCAAGCUCCAUUGUUGCUCCCUAAGCUCAAAAGUGCCCGAUCUCUCUCCCUAGCCAAUCAAACUUGUUGAUUCUUUAGGGAUUGGUUGAGAAGGCCUAGAUCCACACUUCCACCAAGAGAAAAGUUGAUUCCCCGACCAAUCCCUUGCGGAUCUUGUUACUCUUGGGUGUUUGAGCAUCCUAGACAGUUGAGGUCACCUCGAAGCCACAUUUCAUUGUGGUGAAGCUUCGUGGUCUUGUUGGGAGCCUCCAAGCUUUGUGUGGAGUUUGCCCCAACCUUGUUUGUAAAGGUUCGAUCGCCACCUUCAAGGGCACCUAUAGUGGAAUCACAGUACCUUGCAUCGUGCGAGGGCGUGAGGAGAAUACGGUGGCCUUAGUGGCUUAUUGGGGAGCAUUGUGCCUCCACACCGCUCCAACGGAGACGUACUUCCUGUCAAAGGGAAGGAACUUCGGUAACACAUCCUCGUCUUCAUUGGUUCCACUUGUGGUUAUCUCUAACCUUUACUUUGUGUAUGCUUAUGUUGUUGUCCUUCUCUUACUUGUCUUAGUAGCUCUCGUUGUUAGCUUCAUUACGGUUCACCCCAUUGUUGUUAUAUUUGUGAACCCGUAUGUUGUUUACCCUAACUUGCUAAGAUUAAUUAAAAAGUGGUCGUUGCCUAUUCACCCCCCUCUAGUCAACCAUAUCGAUCCUUUCAGGUUCAUUAAAGACUUCUCUAAGAUUUCUAGGCCUCUUACCAACCUCUUGCAGAAGGAUGUUCCUUUUGUUUUCGAUGAGGAUAUUGAGGAAGCUUUCGAAAUACUUAAGAAGGCCUUGAUAACCGCACCUAUUGUUCAACCACCUGAUUGGAACUUGCGCUUUGGAAUCAUGUGCGAUGCUAGUGAUUAUGCUGUUGGUGAUGUUCUAGGACAAAGAGUUGACAAGAAGUUGAAUGUCAUUCAUUACGCUAGUAAAACUCUAGACAGUGCCCAAAGAAACUAUGCCACUACGGAGAAGGAGUUUUUAGCAGUCGUGUUUGCAUGUGAAAAGUUCAGAUCUUACAUAGUUGUUUUCAAAGUCACUAUUCACUCUAAUCAUGUUGCUAUUAAGUACCUUAUGAAGAAGAAGGACGCUAAGCCUAGGCUAAUCAGAUGGGUUCUCCUGCUACAGGAAUUUGAUUUGCACGUUGUUGACCGAAAGGGUGCUGAUAACCGUGUAGCAGAUAACUUGUCUAGGCUAGAGAAUGUCCUUGAUGACCCACGACCUAUUGAUGACAGCUUUCCGGAUGAGCAAUUGAAUGUCAUCCGCACUUCACAUAGUGCACCAUGGUAUGCUGAUUACGCAAACUAUAUCGUAGCCAAAUACAUACCGCCUAGUUUCACCUACCAGCCAAAAGAACAAAUUCUUCUUUGAUUUGAGACACUACUUUUGGGAUGAUCCUCACCUUUAUAAGGAAGGAGUAGAUGGUGUUAUUAGACGUUGUGUGCCCGAACAUGAACAGGGACAGAUCCUAUAGAAGUGUCAUUCCGAAGCCUACGGAGGACACCAUGCUGGAGACAGAAUUGCUCAUAAGGUAUUGCAAUCAGGUUUCUAUUGGCCCACUCUCUUCAACGGUGCCCGUAAGUUUGUCUUUUCUUGUGAGGAAUGCCAAAGAAUAGGGAAUAUCAGUAAGCGUCAGGAAAUGCCUAUGAACUAUUCACUUGUCAUCGAACCAUUUGAUGUCUGGGGCUUUGAUUAUAUGGGACCUUUCCCGAGUUCCAAUGGGUAUACUCACAUCUUAGUUGUUGUGGAUUAUGUCACUAAGUGGGUAGAAGCUAUUGUUGGAAAUAUGCCCUAGAGGCAAUAAUAAAUUAGUUAUUAUUAUAUUUCUUUGUUCAUGAUAAUCGUUUAUUAUCCAUGCUAUAAUUGUAUUGAUUGGAAACACAGUGCAUGUGUGGAUACAUAGACAAAACACUGUCCCUAGUAAGCCUCUAGUUGACUAGCUCGUUGAUCAAAGAUGGUCAAGGUUUCCUGACCAUGGGCAAGUGUUGUCACUUGAUAACGGGAUCACAUCAUUAGGAGAAUCAUGUGAUGGACUAGACCCAAACUAAUAGACGUAGCAUGUUGAUCGUGUCAUUUUGUUGCUACUGUUUUCUGCGUGUCAAGUAUUUGUUCCUAUGACCAUGAGAUCAUAUAACUCACCGACACCGGAGGAAUGCUUUGUGUGUAUCAAACAUCGCAACGUAACUGGGUGACUAUAAAGAUGCUCUACAGGUAUCUCCGAAGGUGUUAGUUGAGUUAGUAUGGAUCGAGACUGGGAUUUGUCACUCCGUGUGACGGAGAGGUAUCUCGGGGCCCACUCGGUAAUACAACAUCGCACACAAGCCUUGCAAGCAAUGUGACUUAGUGUAAGUUACGGGAUCUUGUACGGAACGAGUAAAGAGACUUGCCGGUAAACGAGAUUGAAAUAGGUAUGCGGAUACUGACGAUCGAAUCUCGGGCAAGUAACAUACCGAAGGACAAAGGGAAUGACAUACGGGAUUAUAUGAAUCCUUGGCACUGAGGUUCAAACGAUAAGAUCUUCGUAGAAUAUGUAGGAUCCAAUAUGGGCAUCCAGGUCCCGCUAUUGGAUAUUGACCGAGGAGUCUCUCGGGUCAUGUCUACAUAGUUCUCGAACCCGCAGGGUCUGCACACUUAAGGUUCGACGUUGUUUUAUGCGUAUUUGAGUUAUAUGGUUGGUUACCGAAUGUUGUUCGGAGUCCCGGAUGAGAUCACAAACAUCAUGAGGGUUUCUGGAAUGGUCCGGAAACGAAGAUUGAUAUAUAGGAUGACCUCAUUUGAUUACCGAAAGGUUUUCGGAGUUACCGGGAAUGACGAAUGGGUUCCGGGUGUUCACCGGGGUGGCAACCCAUCCCGGGGAAGCCCAUAGGCCUUGGGGGUGGCGCACCAGCCCUUAGUGGGCUGGUGGGACAGCCCAAGAAGGCCCUAUGCGCCAUAGGAAGAAAAUCAAGGAGAAAAGAAAAAAAAGGAGGAUGUGGGAAAGGGAAGAAGGACUCCACCUUCCAAACCAAGUUGGAUUCGGUUUGGAAGGGGAGACCUUCCCCCUUUGGCUCGGCCGACCCCCUUGGGGCUCCUUGAGCCCCAAGGCAAGGUCCCCUCCCUCCCACCUAUAUAUACGGAGGUUUUAGGGCUGAUUUGAGACGAUUUUCCCAUGGCAGCCCGACCACAUACCCCCACGGUUUUUCCUCUAGAUCGCGUUUCUGCGGAGCUCGGGCGGAGCCCUGCUGAGAUUAGAUCACCACCAACCUCCGGAGCACCGUCACGCUGCCGGACAACUCAUCUACCUCUCCGUCUCUCUUGCUGGAUCAAGAAGGCCGAGAUCAUCGUCGAGUUGUACGUGUGCUGAACGCGGAGGUGCCGUCCGUUCGGCACUAGAUCGUGGGACUGAUCGCGGGGCGGAUCGAGGGACAUGAGGACGUUCCACUACAUCAACCGCGUUUCUUAACGCUUCUGCUGUGCGGUCUACAAGGGUACGUAGAUCGAACAUCCCCUCUCGUAGAUGGACAUCACCAUGAUAGGUCUUCGUGCGCGUAGGAAAAUUUUUGUUUCCCAUGCGACGUUCCCCAACUGUGGUAUCAGAGCUAGGUUCAUGCGUAGAUGUCUUCUCGAGUAGAACACAAAAUUUUUUGUGGGCGAUGAGGUGCGUUUUUCUGCCCUCCUUAGUCUUUUCUUGAUUCCGCGGUAUUGUUGGAUCGAAGCGGCUCGGACCGACAUUACUCGUACGCUUACGAGAGACUGGUUUCAUCGUUACGAGUAACUCCGUUGCUCAAAGAUGACUGGCGGGUGUCAGUUUCUCCAACUUUAGUUGAAUCGAAAUUGACUGAGGAGGUCCUUGGAUGAGGUUAAAAAGCAAUUCAUAUAUCUCCGUUGUUGUGUUUGCGUAAGUAAGAUGCGAUCCUACUAGAUACCCAUGGUCAGCACGUAAAACAUGCAACAACAAAAUUAGAGGACGUCUAACUUGUUUUUGCAGGGUAUGCUUGUGAUGUGAUAUGGCCAACGAUGUGAUGUGAUAUAUUGGAUGUAUGAGAUGAUCAUGUUGUAAUAGUUAAUAUCGACUUGCACGUCGAUGGUACGGCAACCGGCAGGAGCCAUAGGGUUGUCUUUGAACUAACGUUUGUGCUUGCAGAUGCGUUUACUAUAUUGCUAGGACGUAGCUUUAGUAGUAAUAGCAUGAGUAGCACGACACCCCGAUGGCGACACGUUGAUGGAGAUCAUGAUGAUGGAGAUCAUGGUGUGACGCCGGUGACAAGAAGAUCGUGCCGGUGCUUUGGUGAUGGAGAUCAAGAAGCGCAUGAUGAUGGCCAUAUCAUGUCACUUAUGAAUUGCAUGUGAUGUUAAUCCUUUAUGCACCUUAUCUUGCUUAGAACGACGGUAGCAUUAUGAGGUGAUCUCUCACUAAAAUUUCAAGACGAAAUUGUGUUCUCCCCGACUGUGCACUAUUGCGACAGUUCUUCGUUUCGAGACACCACGUGAUGAUCGGGUGUGAUAGACUCAACGUUCACAUACAACGGGUGCAAAACAGUUGCACACGCGGAACACUCGGGUUAAGCUUGACGAGCCUAGCAUGUGCAGACAUGGCCUCGGAACACAUGAGACCCAAAGGUCGAGCAUGAAUCGUAUGGUUGAUAUGAUUAGCAUAGAGAUGCUUACCACUGAAACUAUUUUCGACUCACGUGAUGAUCGGACUUGAGAUAGUGGAUUUGGAUCAUGUACCACUCAAAUGACUAGAGAGAUGUACUUUUGAGUGGGAGUUCUUAAGUAAUAUGAUUAAUUGAACUAAUUGUCAUGAACAUAGUCUAAUGGUCUUUGCGAAUUACGAUGUAGCUUGCGCUAUAGCUCUACUGUUUUUAUAUGUUCCUAGAGAAAAUUUAGUUGAAAAUUGAUAGUAGCAAACUUUGCAGACUGAGUCUGUAAAGCCGAGGAGUGUCCUCGUUGCUGCGCAGAAGGCUUAUGUCCUUAAUGCACCACUCGGUGUGCUGCACCUCGAGCGUCGUCUGUGGAUGUUGUGAACAUCCGACAUACACGUUUCUGAUGACUACACGAUAGUUCAGUGCAAAAAUACUUAAUUGCUUAGAAGCAAGGCGCCGAAAACGUUUUGAAACAUCACGGAACAUAAGUGAUGUUCUAAAGAGGUGAAAUUGUGAUUUCAUGCUCGUGCCCUUGUUAAGAGGUACGAGACCUCCGACAAGAUUCUUUGUCCACAAAGUAAAGGAGAAAAGCUCAAUCGUUGAGCGUGUGCUCAGAUUGUCUGAGUACGACAAUCACUUGAAUCAAGUGGGAGUUAAUCUUCCAGAUGAGAUAGUGAUAGUUCUCCAAAGUCACUGCCACCAAGCUGUGAGAGCUUCGUGAUGAACUAUAACAUAUCAAGGAUAGAUACAAUGAUUCUUUGAGUGAUUCGCGUAUUGUUUGACACUGUACGUAAAGUAGAAAUCRAGAAGGAGCAUCAAUAGNNNNNNNNNNNNNNNNNNNNNNNNNNNNNNNNNNNNNNNNNNNNNNNNNNNNNNNNNNNNNNNNNNNNNNNNNNNNNNNNNNNNNNNNNNNNNNNNNNNNAUAGAAUACUCAAGCUUAACUCCUGCUCGUCCUCGAGUAGGGAAGUGAUAAGAAUGAAUUUUUGAUGCUUUCAUGCUACCUAGCAUAGGUGUCCUUUGUAAUUCCUCUUAUGUGACGUGAAUGUUCAGAUCCAUUAGAUUCAAAACAAUAGUUUGCUAUUGACGUGGAAACAAUAAUAAUUGAAGCAAACUAGCAAAGUAAUCAUGAACUUUCAAAAUAACAAGGCCAAAAGAAAGUUAUCCCCACAAAAGCAUAUAGUCUGGCUAUGCUCUAUCGUCAUUGCACAACGAAUUUAAAUCAUGCACAACCCCGGUAUUGGCCAAGUAAUUGUUUCACACCUUUACUUUCUCAAACAUUUUCAACCCUCAUGCAAUACAUGAGCGUGAGCCAUGGUUAUAGCACUAUAGAUGGUGUGGAAUGUGGUGGAGGUUGCAAGACAAAAAAGGAGAAGAUAGUCACAUUAACUAGGCAUAUCAAUGAGCUGUGGAGAUGCUCAUCAAUAGAUAUCAAUGUGAAUGAGUAGGGAUUGCCAUAGAAAUGAUGCACUAGAGCUACAAGUAUGUGAAAGCUCUUAAAGAAAACUAGUGGGUGUGCAUCCAACUUGCUUGCUCACGAAGACCUAAGGCAAUUUUGAGGAAGCCUAUCAUUGGAAUAUACAAGCCAAGUUAUAUAAUGAGAAUUUCCCACUAGCUAUAUGGUGGUGACAAAACGAGAGACUCUCAAUCAUGAAGAUCAUGGUGCUCAAUAUGCACAAGUGUGGAAAAAGUGGUAGCAUUGUCCCUUCUCUCUUUUUCUUCUUUUUUUUUUAAUUUUGGUGGGCUCUUUGGCCUCUUUUUUUAUGGGCUUCUUUGGCCUCUUUUAUUUCCUCACAUGGGACAAUGCUCCAAUAAUGAUGAUCAUCACACUUUCAACUCAAAACUUAGAGCAAUUAUGACUCUGUAUGGAAUGCCUUCGGUAGUGUAUCGUGGCAAUGAUCUAGCAUGGCAUAACCAAUGGAAACAUCAUGCUGGCUAUCUUACGAUCAUGCAAUGACAAUGUACACGUGGUGGCACAUAUCAUGGUGGUAGUUGCAUGGCAAUAUAUCUUGGAAUGACUUUGAAAAAGCCAUAAUAGGUAGGUAUGGUGGCUGUUUUGAGGGGAGGCUAAUGGUGGGUUUUGUGCACCGGCGAAAGUUGCGCGGCACUAAGAAGAUAGUGAUGGUGGAAGGUGAAAGUGCAUCUAAACCAUGGACUCAACAUUAGUCAUGAAGAACUCAUAUACUUGUUGCAAAAGUUUUAUUAGUAAUCGAAACGAAGCAUUCAACGCAUACUUCUAGGGGAAGGGUUGGUAGGUAUGAACCAUCGCGCGAUCCCGACCGCCACGCAAAGGAUGACAAGCAAUAGACUAAUCAUGCUCACAUUUCAUCACAUAGCGGUUCACCAUACGUGCAUGCUACGGGAAUCACUAACUUCAACACAAGUAUUUCUAGAUCCACAACACCUUACUAGCAUGACUUCAAUAUUACCAUAACCACAACUCAAAACUAAUUGAGAUGAAUCAAACUUCUCUAACUAUUCAAGGCACACAGGGGAUAGGUUUCGUAUCCCUUUGGAUAACUACCCCUUUUGAGACUACUUUGAAAGCAUAGAUCAACUACCAAGCCAUGCACUGCUGCGCUCUAAAAUAUAUAAGUGAAGCACAUAGAGAAAAAGUAUCUAGCUCAAAAGAUAUAAGUGAAGCACAUGUGAGCUGAAUUGUCUACCAAAAGAUAUAAGUGAAGCUCGACAAAAUCACGGUGAGUGCAUGUCUCUCUCUCUCUAGGUGUGCAGCAAGGAUGACUGUGACAACAAACAAAAAUAAAAGACCUCCUACGAUACAAGACGCUACCAAGAACAAAAACACAAUAACAUGGUGGUAGAAAAUAAAAAUAUACGACCCCAAAGUUAACCGUUACCGAUGGAUURGAAGACGAGAGGAGGGGAUCGGCCCGUUCCCGGGGCACUNNNNNNNNNNNNNNNNNNNNNNNNNNNNNNNNNNNNNNNNNNNNNNNNNNNNNNNNNNNNNNNNNNNNNNNNNNNNNNNNNNNNNNNNNNNNNNNNNNNNUACAAGUUAGUUGUAGACUGUGAUUCAAAUAGAGACUUAAUAGAAAAUACCCAGUUAGCAAAGUCACCUUUCACAAGCUUAGGAGGAGGACCAACAGGAUUAAGACGCGGUGUGGGAGCGGAUCCUCCAUAGACCAUGGGGGGUGGAACUGAGGCAUAUGUUCCAGUCCCAUCCUUUUCGUGAGAUGAGGAAUGUCGCAUACCUUUAGACGCUUCCUUAGAGGAAUUGGCCUCCGAAUCGGUGAUGGUGGGUUUAACCACUAACGCUGGUUCGGGUGGACUUUUAAAUCCCUCAAUUAACUCUUUAAGCAUGGUCUUGACUUCGUUCGUCAAGGACGUCUUGAGGGCGGCCAUAGCCGUAUUCAAGUCGUCCCUUGUGACCGAAGUCAAGUCCAUGGCCUCGGGUUUCCCAUGGUUAAUUCCCUCUUCGCCUUCCAUACUCUUCGGGUGGUGAAACCCUUAAUAAAGAGAUGUGGCUCUGAUACCAAUUGAAAGGGUCGAUAUGGUUGACUAGAGGGGGGGUGAAUAGGGAACGACCACUUUUUAAUUAAUCUUAGCAAGUUAGGGUAAACAACAUACAGGUUCACAAAUAUAACAACAAUGGGGUGAACCGUAAUGAAGCUAACAACGAGAGCUAAUAAGACAAGUAAGAGAAGGACAACAACAUAAGCAUACACAAAGUAAAGGUUAGAGAUAACCACAAGUGGAACCAAUGAAGACGAGGAUGUGUUACCGAAGUUCCUUAGCUUUGAAAGGAAGUACGUCUCCACUGGAGCGGUGUGGAGGCACAAUGCUCCCCAAUAAGACACUAAGGCCACCGUAUUCUCCUCACGCCCUCGCACGAUGCAAGGUACCGUGAUUCCACUAUAGGUGCCCUUGAAGGCGCCGACUGAACCUUUACAAACAAGGUUGGGGCAAACUCCACACAAAGCUUGGAGGCUCCUAACAAGACCACGAAGCUUCACCACAAUGGAAUGUGGCUUCGAGGUGACCUCAACCGUCUAGGAUGCUCAAACACCCAAGAGUAACAAGAUCCGCAAGGGAUUGGUCGGGGAAUCAACUUUUCUCUUGGUGGAAGUGUGGAUCUAGGCCUUCUCAACCAAUCCCUAAAGAAUCAACAAGUUUGAUUGGCUAGGGAGAGAGAUUGGGCACUUUUGAGCUUAGGGAGCAACAAUGGAGCUUGGUAUCUUUGCAUCUCUGUAAGACUCGAUCAAGGUUGUUGAGGCAAUCGUCAAAGGAAGAACCGUAAACGGAGAAAUCAUCCAUGAAAACCUCAACAAUAUUUUCACAAAAGUCAGAGAAUACAACCNNNNNNNNNNNNNNNNNNNNNNNNNNNNNNNNNNNNNNNNNNNNNNNNNNNNNNNNNNNNNNNNNNNNNNNNNNNNNNNNNNNNNNNNNNNNNNNNNNNNUUUACUAACUCUGGUACAAAGUUAGUACAAAGUUGAGUCACUUAUUUUGGGACAGAGGGAGUAGUUCACUGCACCAAAAUAAGGCAUCAGCGGAAGUAUCUAUAUUUUCAAAGCCCAAAUAGAGGUGCAGAAAUGGUACUCGCCAACAAAUCAGUUGAUGAUUGCAUCUUGAGGUUGUAUCUAGAUUGUUUUAUCUAUCACAUUCUAAGGAACACCCAAGCAAAUGACAAACAGAAAUCCCAUAACGAAACACAGUACACAGCAUAGUACUGCUGAUAGCAAUCUAAUAGUUAGAUAAUAUUACCAUUUCCACCCGCUGAGUGAGCCUGAUCCCCUGAAGAUGAAAUAAAAAUGCCCUGGAGAAGUAUACAUUGGUCAAACAAAAGGGAUCGAUGUUUAACCCAAGAAACUUCCAAUGAAUCAUGUAUGGCGAUGUAGAGCACAUACCUGUUGCCGAGCGCGCUGAAGCUCUUGCUCUAGUUGAGUAAGUUUCAAUCUACUACUCUCCAGGUUUUGGAUAUAUGCCUGACAAAGCCAAAUGGUGAAAUAAUGCAAAUCAGUUCUCCCAAGUGACUCAGUAGAACACACAUAGAGGAAAACAGGGAAAUAGGUAGGGUUAAGAUGAUAACAAUAAAGGAUGCUAACCAAGUCCACCACUGAAGUAAAAUCAUGUGUUAGGCUCACAAAGACUGUCUAGCACAAAUCCAUGCUACACUAGUACUAAAGGUUUAGGGUGAAAUGAUACUCCCUCCGUCCGGAAAUACUUGUCCUAAAAAUGCAUAUAAUGGAUGUAUCUACAAUUAAAAUAAGUCUAGAUACAUUCAUCUCUAGGACAAGUAUUUCCGGACGGAGGUAGUACAUCAUACACUGUUUAAACUAACUAUCAUGCUACCAAAGUAUGCAAGCACAUCACAAAUGGAAUCUAAUAACAUUUUAAGAACAUAUAAGCUCACCUUCUUUCUUAAACGGCUUUUCCUAGCAGCUUCACGGUUUUGGGCAAGACGGCGAAGUGACUGCUGGUAAAGAAACUAAAAUCUUUAAGCAAUGGAUCAGCAUGUGACCGAAGCAUCAGAUAUGUAGUGUUAACUGUACCUUAUGAUCUAAUUUGUCCCUUGAUUUGUCACUAGAAUCAGAAGCUGUGGGGGCAGCAAGCUGUCCUUGUUCAAACUGUUAAGUGGGAUAAUCAUCAAUAAGUAUAAAUACUGUGGCAUUAAUUUUCAGUCUAAGUUUGUAGUUUAAUGAGUAASUAACCUUAAAAUUACCAAAAGUUACGGACCUAAACCGUAAGGUACCUAAAGUUAAGUGGGUUAAGGGAAGGUAAGUUAAAGGUGUACUUACGUAGUNNNNNNNNNNNNNNNNNNNNNNNNNNNNNNNNNNNNNNNNNNNNNNNNNNNNNNNNNNNNNNNNNNNNNNNNNNNNNNNNNNNNNNNNNNNNNNNNNNNNACAUAUAAGCUCACCUUCUUUCUUAAACGGCUUUUCCUAGCAGCUUCACGGUUUUGGGCAAGACGGCGAAGUGACUGCUGGUAAAGAAACUAAAAUACUUUAAGUCAAUGGAUCAGCAUGUGACCGAAGCAUCAGAUAUGUAGUGUUAACUGUACCUUAUGAUCUAAUUUGUCCCUUGAUUUGUCACUAGAAUCAGAAGCUGUGGGGGCAGCAAGCUGUCCUUGUUCAAACUGUUAAGUGGGAUAAUCAUCAAUAAGUAUAAAUACUGUGGCAUUAAUUUUCAGCAAUUGUGUUAAUGAGAACUAAAUUCAAAUAGGCAACUAGGCAAUAUGUGGGAAGAUAAAGGUGCUACUGCUUGAAAUGUCAUUAAGAUAUGACACCAUCCUGGAUACACAUAGGACCUUUUUCCUCUCUCGGAUACAUAUCAUUAAGAAAUAAGAAGCAUGUCGAAAUGACACAAAUAUCCAAACAGACUCAAACAAAAGGAUAGGAAACCAAGAACAGGAACAAGGUAUCUAACUAACGCUACCGAAGGACCUUAACACUAACAAAUCAUUCAAGAUCUCAAGCCAGGUGUACACGUACAUAAUACUGAAAUUCAAAGAUCUUUUAGGAAAUUUAAAAAGCUCUUUAACUGCAAGGAAACAAACAUUUUGGAAACGAAAUUUAGAUCUCCAAAACCUGAGAGUAUGAAAAGUUCAAUAUCAAGCGUGCCACUAUAAUGGGACAGGCUGACAAAGGGUUGAGCUGAGAAUGGUAGGUACCAUUUGGUUCCUCUCAUCAAUGUCUAUAUCCGGAUCCGUUGAUGUAUCAGUCCUAGGACUUGUAUCAGCCAUACUUGACUCUCCCCAGUUCUCAUUGUUACGAGUUCUUAAAGCUACUAGAUUUGGCUGCACUGCCUUUUGCUGUAGUAGUGCCUGAGGAUCAACUGCUGUUACUGCUGCCGCCGCCGUAGUAGCUAGAUCAGUCGGAGAAAUGGACUGCAAUAUGGGGUGCAAAAAUUGCAUCAAUCCCUAAUGCAGAUGGAAUAUCACCUAAUAAUUGGGGCUCUGACUUGCCACUGGUACCUUUCCGUAGUUUCCAAACUGAAGGGGGUCACUGGUAUAUGCAUGUGUAUUUGGCUUCAGGUUGAAUAAAUUAUCUGAACAUCAGCAGACAACGGAGAAACAAACUUCAGUAAUCAUGAACAUCGACGGUGCUACUUACUGAAAUCUUAUAUGAAGUUGUAAACUUCUCACAAGCAGAAAAGCGUAAAGGAUCCAUGAUUGAAGUCACUGGAGGAGGCUAUGUUUCUAGCGCAAUUGAUUGAGGAAAGAGCAACAUACUUGUACUGAAAUUAGCAAGAUCUUCUAUUCUGAAUCCAGCAGAGUGCGCGAGCGCCCCGAAAUCAGCAACUCGGGAUGGCUGCAUGAUGUUCACAUCUGUUGGGCUGCAAGAAAUUUUCACCACAGUUAAAAAAAUCUCAGAAAACAACAUGUGCCUGCAACAAAACUCCUAUCUUUUCUUAUUCUUGUCUUGCAUGUGACAUGCUACAUCCUAUGCCCAUCCCAUACCGCUCAUUCAGUAACUAACACAGCCGCAACCUAUAUAUUUAUUUUCUAUUGGAAGAAUCACAAUGCCAUUCAACUGCAUCGGUCAGAGAGACUUAUGUAUGUGCACCAACCAUCAAGAGGGACCGCUCGGAUGUGUGAUAAAUAUAUUUGGUUUUGGUCCACAAACCCAUAGUUUCUUCUACUACAUGUAGUAGUAGUAGUGCUUUGUUCAAAUUAUUACUCCAUGAGUUUAACCCCAAACGUGCAUGCCCAACCUGCAUGUUCUGCCCUUUUUUUUCUGAAGAUCUGGACCUACCACAUGUACGUGCCACUGAUUCCCAGUGAUCAGUGAUGAGCCCCCUGGAGAGUUAAUGAUGCACACACAAACGAGGCAAUCAUGGUACUACUAGCAUGGCAGGAAGAGGAGUAGCGAGGCCUCGCGGCAAUUAUUGCUCCUUCUUCGGCUUCCGAAGACCCUGUUACUACUACUCCUACUCCUCCUCCUAGUAGUAAAGCUGCUCUGCCCCUCUAAUCAUCACGGCACUCGAGCUAAAGGUCGCCGCACUCCACAUCGACAAGGGCUAAUCGGAGGGGAAAAGCGGCCGGCUUUUUCCGUGCUGGAAAAGGAGGAGCAAUCAGCGGCGCCGGGGGCGCCAUGAUCAAUUAAGUAAUCCGCAACCAGGGGUCGUUAAUUCGUAAUCGCGCCGUGCGGCACAGGGAUGCGAGUGAGACAACACGGAGCGUGCGGAAAUGAGCGAGCGAGCGAGCGCAUGGGGCAGGGAAGGAAACCAUCAAGAAAUGGAGGAGGGGGUGGCGGACGUACAUGGUGUGCUGAGGAGCCCCGAAUCCCGGCAUCGGCCCGCGCGGGUCUCCGGCCGCCGCCGCCGCCGCCGCCGCCGCCCUCCUCCUCCUCCGACCUACUCCUCCAUCCGGCCACCAUCCAACCCGCCGUGCCCGACCCCCGGUGCCUGCUCGCCUGGCUCACUCCACCCCCGCCUCCACCACGCCUGGCCGGGAAGGGGGAGGGAGGCGGAACGGGGGGUUCCUUUCCGUCCGGACCGGCCCGCCGCNNNNNNNNNNNNNNNNNNNNNNNNNNNNNNNNNNNNNNNNNNNNNNNNNNNNNNNNNNNNNNNNNNNNNNNNNNNNNNNNNNNNNNNNNNNNNNNNNNNNAUUUACCCUUUCCUACGUUAGUACUUAGUUUUAAUUAGUUUAGUCCUAGCCGUAAAAACUUAAGUAAGUACUUUKKUCUUAAUUUAAUAUUUUUGCGUAACCUACAUUUGUAGUAUUAAUUUAAUUUUUUUGUWAAAAAAGAAUAUGUUAAUAUUGCGAAGAUACUAAUUACAUUCAGCUUCUGCAACUACAAAAAUGUCACAAAAGACAUCCACAAUGUACACAUGCAAAGAAGAAAAUAAAAGGGAAAGUCCCGUCAUAGUGUUCGAUUUCUCUCAACGACAGGCAUACAUACCACCACCUAAUACAACACCCAAAAAAUAUAAAAGGUAUCCAAAGUCAGCGCCUUCAAGAAAGGAACAGUGUAUAAGCACCGUCGUUGCCUGAUACAAGAUCUUAGAUUUUCACUCUCGAAAAAGUCCGCCCUCACAAAACAAUUCCUUCAAUAAGGCAACCCCAUGCACAACCAAUGAAGGUUAGACCUUAGGUUUUCAUCAUGAAAGUCACGACUCAACAUCUAAGGAGCAUCAUAAAAAAUGAAAUAUGUCAUUGUUGUCGUCCCCAUUUAUCAUUACUGCUCUUGGGGUUAUGUGACACCUGAUUGACUCCAUCGUCAUCAAGGCCACGUCCGUCUAACCGAUCCUCCGAUCUCAGCCACCAUGACCUUUUUCACAACUAUCGAUCAAAGUUGUCAGAAUCGUGACACAAUUCUUAGAAUCUUACGACUUUACGAUCCAAACCAGUCCCUUCGAUUCUACGAUUUUGUUCAUAGAAUCUAAGUUUCUAUGAUCCUAGUAGUUAUGAUUCUAUGAUUCACGAUUCUAGCAACGGAGCUCCGAUCCGAUUCAGAAUCGCGAUUCUGACAACCUUGCUAUCGACAUCAUAGAAAUCGAGAAACCGACACGUUCCAUGAUGUCAACAAACAACAAAGCUUCGCGCCACGCCUUCAUGAAACCUCGUGUGCUGAAAUGAACGUGCACGAAUGAAAUCUAUCCGAUCCAAAAAUCCUGGGCAAGAUCUCCGGCGGCACUUCCGGAACACGUCAAUGACGAGAUCGAGAAGAACCGAUCAUGCAUGACGUUGCCAUGAAUCGAGAAGAGCGCCAGGACUGCCUCCUUAGUCGAGCAAAACCAGCAGCCCACAUGCCGCCGAUCAGCAGCAGAGGAGAAAACGGCUGCAACGCCUCCGAACGCCCGCAGUACUCCACCCAGAGCGGGCCCCAGCCGUCCAAGGCCGGUCCUCCGUCGAAAGGAUUGGAAACCGCCCGAGAUCGGAUCACUACCCGCGUCGUCGGAGAUCGCUGGAGACUGUGCCGCCUUGCACCUCCCCACCACUCGCCCGUGGUGCGCCGCCGUGAUGCACUUCCUUGCCCUCCAUCCUUUUGCAAGAAGGGUGUCGGCGUCGACGCCGGCCAGGAUCAGAGUGUGAGGGGUGAAGGGUCAGUGGGAUCAUGAUGGAGCGCCUCCAGAGUCGUUCGGACGGAAGCAAGCCGGAAGAAGUUUUCGCGAGAGACACUUAUCCCUUCGUCAUGUGUUGAUUGCAUAUAUCCAUAUCAUGUGUUGAUUCCACGGUCAUUGUUUGUAAUUCAUUGUGUGAACAUGACACACACAAAACUAUGCAAUACAUUUCCCCUAAAAAACCAUGCAAUAGAUGGAAAAGUGUGGCACUAUGAAAUACAUAAAAAUUAGGAAAAUGAUGCUAAUCA
rnacentral:lncRNA from 1 species